rnacentral:lncRNA from 1 species
CAAGAUCACCUUGGCAGGAUUUGCCAUGUUUUCUUCCUUGGCAGGAUCAAUUAUAUCCCUGUUAAAUUCUAAUUUCAUCCAUAAUGUUGGCCAAUGUUUUCACUUUAGUUCUUGAUUAAGGAUUUAUGCAAUUUAACCUUCAAUUGAUCAACAAUCUUUUAAUUUUUUCAAUUUAGUGCCUAAUUUGGACAAUUUCAAUUCCUCUAUUUAUGUGUCUUUUUUAGUUUGGUUCUUGCUUUCAUAUUUCUUCAAUCAAGUUCAAUUGGCCAUCAAACUUUAAUAUUUUAUGUAAUUGAGCACUUGAUUUGACCAAAUCAACUCUUGAAAAUUAUAUCUUGACCUCUAAACUUUAAUCUCUUUAAAUUAAAACUCAAAUUGACUUAAAAAUUAUUUUUUCUUGCAAUCAGACCCUUUAUAAAUUCAAUUAAACUUUUAAUAAAAUUUAAUUAAGUUCAUAAACAUCUGAUUUUUAACUUUGUUUCCUCAAAUUGAAUUUUCUUUGUCAGUAGAGCUCUCAUCAGUAAAAAAACAUACUGUCAAAUUUUAAUUUUUAUAUUUUUAAACCUCCUCAACCAAUUUUUAGCUAUUUUUAAGUACUUUGAUAUCCUCUUCUCAUUACUAUUAUUUUUUUUUCUUUAAAAUAUAUAUUUUUUGUAUAUUUUUUUUGCGAGAGAACCCAAAAAUAGAUAAUAAGAAACUGAAUAAAAAAACAAACCCUAAUUAUUAUUAUUAUUAUUUUUGUAUUAAUCAGAGCACAUCAUAUAUAUAUAUAUAUAUUUGUGCCCUAUCAACUCUAAUUAAGUCGGCCUCCUUUCCUGGUUAUUACCGGGGCAUUAAGCCUAUCCAAUAUAGUAAGCAUUAAAAAUAUAUAUAUAUGGAGUCCUUAUGUUCAAAAGCUUUUUCAAAUAAAGUAAAAUAUCUAUUUUAGUAGUUACAUUUUUACUUGCUAUUUGUUUAUUGAUAUGAUAUUUAAUUUCAAAAAUUCCUAGCCAUUAAUUAACUUGAAAUGUUAUGUGAAGAUUUAACUAGUGUUAUGUAACAAGGGUAUGCUCGAUACGUGGGUAAAGGAGUUUUCAUCUCUUUUACUUAUGUUCAUAACAAUUUCAAGGGUAGGAAAAAAUCUAAAGAAGUUUAAGAUUUUAUCUCGAAAGUGGAGUUAAAUGAUAACUUUAUGGAGGGAGGGAGGCGUAAAAAAAUGAUUUAUCUAUAUAAUCAUAAUUAAGAUUUUAGAAGUAGAAAAUAAUGUCAAUUAUAAUACGACAUUAAUUAUAAAGUUUCUCUAAAAAAAAUGAUUUUCAUGUUAGAAAAAAUAGCACUUAAUCAAUGCAUUUUCUUCUUCUUUUUUUAUAUAUAUAUAUAUAUAUAUUUUUUUCUUGCACCAAAUUCAUUUUGAUGGAUAGAGAUUGAUGAUGAUGAUUGAUGUAGAAAAUCAAAUGUUCGGACAAAUAACUUCUCCAGUCUAAAAAAAAAAAGAAGCAAAGUAGCUUACACUACACAAGCUGGAGGAACACCCCAUCCCACAAGCUUGAAAAAAACAUUAAUAGACUAAAAAAUAAUUAUGGGGCCUAAGAUCAAAUCAAUUGCUUAAACAGUAAUCACAAUUUAUUUUAAUUUUGUUAAAUUUUUAUGUUAAAUAAUUUAUGUUGAAAAAUAAUUUUUAAUAUUAAAAAUAAGUGGGGUUUGUUUUUUAUUUGACUUUAAAUAUGUCAAUUAAUCAUGUUUUAGAUAAUGUUUUCAUCAAAUAAUUUAAUAUUAUAGGAUUAAGUUUAGUUAAUCAAGUAAUUUAACAUAUAGAUAAAUUUAACUUAAAACUUCUUGUUUUUUUUUUUUUUUGCAAGCCCUUGAUAUUGUCUUUCGUUUUCAAUUUUAUUGGCCCACGUGGUAUUGAUGUCAGUCAUCUCUGCCCUAACUUUCUUCAUUCAAACACAUCAAUAUUUUAAUUAAUGCAUUCUCUUCUUUUGUAGUUAUAUAAAUAUAUUUAUAUUAAAAAAAUGAAUUUGUUUUGAAUGGACUAAUAUCAUUUAGAUUAAGAAUAUUCAAACAAUAAUUAAUAUGAAAGUAAAUCAACCUAAGAGAUAUUUCUUUCUGAAAUUGAUGAUGUUGAUAAUAUCUUGGGAAUCUUGACUGACUUCACAAGUUUACUGAGAAAAAGAAGUGCAAGUGGAUGAUGAAGCUAUCGGCAAAUCACUUCAUUCCAUGAAAAAAAAGUUAAGGAAGAAAUUUUUUGAUUCCACAAGAUCAAAUCAAUUGUUUAGAACACAUGACUUUUCAUGUCUAUAUAUGAAGAAAAACCAAAGUUACACAACAAGUUGGAGGACCUCCUAUCUAAUUACUACUAUUUAGUCCUAUGGUGUGUUUGGAGUUGUGGUAAAACCUACUUUUUAUUAAAAAAAAAUUUGUUUUUAUUUUUUUGAUUUUUUAAAUCAUUUUGAUAUUUUAAUGUUAAAAAUAAUAAUAAAAUAUAAAAAAAGGAACAGAGAUAAAAUUAAAAACCAAUCACAAACGACUUCACGGGUCUACGAAAAAGAAAAAGCAAAGUAUCUUAUACAACAAGUUGGAGGAAUAACCCGUUCCACAAGCUUGAAAAAAAAAAACUAUAACAAAUAAUAGAUUAAUGAAAAUAAUUGUAGGGCCAAGAUCAAAUCAACUACUCAAACAGAGAAUCACAAUUUAUUUUUAAUUAUGUUAAAGAAUUUAUGUUGAAAAAUAUGGAGUCCUUAUGUUCAAAAGCUUUUUCAAACUAGGUACCUAGAUAAAUGUUGACUAAUGCAAAGUGAAGAAUAAAUGGUUUAUUAUAAAUUAAAAUUUUCAAAAAUCAAGAACAUUAUAAAUAUAAAAAACUUUUAAAAUACUCAAUUUUAUUUUGCUCUUUUUUUAUUUGUUAAAAGGUUAUUAUAAAUCUUUAUAUAAAAAAUAAACUAGAAAACCAUAAUAAUACUAAAUAGAAAAAAAUAAAUUAGAAAAGGAAAAAAACUAUAAAAGCAUCAUAUGAAUAAAAAAAUAAAAUUAACAAAGUAAAAUAUCUAUUUUUCUAAAAACAUUUCCUACAUCAAAUGUUUCUUUCUUUCGGUUUCUUCUUUUUCUUCUUCUUCUUUUUUUGUUGCAAUUAAGUUGCUAACUAUAAUUAUUAAAUCUAACUCCACCUAGUGGUUUAACUCUUAAAAUAAUUUGGACUAAUUUUGACAUUGAUGUAACCAAAAACUCACGGAAUCUUCAAAUUGAUAUGCAACUCAAUACAUAUAUUUAUAUUCAAAAUCCAAAUUAAUGUAUUGUAAACUCUCUCUCUUUUAUUGUACAUUCUUAGAAUGUAUUUAUCGCUCCAGAAUAAGUGAUACUGACUUUAUACCAGCUUCACAUAUAAGUUUUUUUUACAUAAAAAAAAUAUUUAUUUUCAGUAUGCUACUCAUCUACUAUUUCUCAUUUUACAAUCAGCAGAGGAGAGAGAAUGAGAAUGAGAAUGCUAAAAAUUAAGAUUUAUUUCCAACUCUAAAUAUUUCCUUUUUUAUACGCUAUUUAUUUUAGUAUUUACAUUUUUACUUGCUAUUUGUUUAUUGAUAUGAUAUUUAAUUUCAAAAAUUCCUAGCCAUUAAUUAACUUGAAAUGUUAUGUGAAGAUUUAACUAGUGUUAUGUAACAAGGGUAUGCUCGAUACGUGGGUAAAGGAGUUUUCAUCUCUUUUACUUGUGUUCAUAACAAUUUCAAGGGUAGGAAAAAAUCUAAAGAAGUUUAAGAUUUUAUCUCGAAAGUGGAGUUAAAUGAUAACUUUAUGGAGGGAGGGAGGCGUAAAACCAGGAGUAAAUCACAUAUAUCAGAUAUUUUUUUUCUUGCACCAAAUUCAUUUUGAUGGGAUAGAGAUUGAUGCAGUGGAUAAUUGGGAAUCUUGACUUCACAGGUCCACGAAGAAGAAAAACAAGCGCUAGUGGAUAAUGAGAUUAAUUGAGUGGUCGUGGUUUGUUUUUAAAUAAUUUUUUAUAUUAAAAUAUAUAUUAAUGGUAACUUUUUAUUUUGUUAAAAUAAUUUUUAUUAUUAGUAUAUUAAAAUAAUUUAAAAAUACUAAAAAUAUAUUAAUUUGAAGUUAAUAAAAAAAAAUAAAAAAAAAUAAUGUUUUUAAAAAUACUUUUAAAAUGAAAAAACAAACAAUUCUAAAAACUUUUCAAAAAAUCAAAUGUUUGAACAAAUGACUUCCCAAGUCUACAAAGAAAAAUAAAAAAAGUAGCUUACAUAAUAAGUUGAAAGAACAACCCGUUCCACAAGCUUGAAGAAAAACAUUAACAGACUAAUGAAAAUAAUUAUAGGGGCCCAAGAUCAAAUCAAUUGCUCUCUUUUGAUUUAUCUGUUCUUUUUUUGUUGCUUUCUCCUGUUUUAUGCAACAGUUUUUGUGCUUCUCUUUCCUCUGUUUGUUUUUCUGAUGUAAGUUAGGCUACUAUCUUUGUAGCUUUUUCCUUUUAAUAAAAUUUCGACUAUUAACAAAAAAAAAUAAAUCAAUUGCUCAAACAGUAAUCAUCAUUUAUUUUAAUUUUGAUAAAUUUUUAAGUUAAAAAAUUUAUAUUAGAAAAUAAUUUUUAAUAUUAAAAAUAAGUGGGAUUUAUUUUUUAUUUGACUUUAAAUAUAUUAAUUAAUCAUGUUUUAGAUAAUGUUUUCAUAAAAUAAUUCAAUAUUACAGGAUUAAGUUUAGUUAAUCAUGUAAGAAACCCAUGCAUGCUUCCAAUCUAAUAUAUACAAGGGCGGAGGAGUAUAGGAGGCUAAGGUGGGCUGUAGCCCAGGUAAAAAAAAAAUUAUUAAAAAACUCAAUACUCUCCUACAUAACCUUUACAUCAUAUCUGUGUGAAAGGAAUUAAGGGUCGCUUGAACCGUUUACCUUCUGCCUACGUUGGUGAUAUGGUAAUGGCCACUGUCAAGAAGAAAUGAAGGCUCAGCAAUUACCUGUCCAAUUGGAAAGGAGUGUGCUGAUCUUUGGCCUAGGAUUGCAAGUGCAGCUAAUGCUAAGAGCUUUAAUUUGUUUAUUCCAGUUCUUUGGGAAUUAUACUGUCAUUAAAUCCUAUAUAUUUUUAUAGGGUUAAUUUUAGUUGUGUUUUUGUUAUUUUGACUAAAUUUUAUUUUUCGAGUUUUAUAUGUAGUAAUGAACUUCAUGGAUUUUGUGCAAGAAAAAAAAUAAUUUUCGGGGCUUCGCCCCGAAUCCCAGUAAUGAGCGCGCUGUCUUCUACGUCUUCUACAAACGCAUUUGCUAAAGUAAAAAAUAUAGACUUUUCCUUUUGUUUUUUUUUGUAAAAACCCACUUCUUGCAAAUAUUUUUUCUUCUAUCAAUAAUUAAAAUCCGUUCUUUUAUCUUUAUUAAUACUCAAGAAGCAUCAUGGGAUUUUAAUUUCCUUUUUCUCAACAACAUCGGGUUUUAGCUUAGAUUUUAAAGAGGAAUUUAAAUAAAGAGUCACAAAGAGUGCAAAACCAUCACGAUCAAGUAAUAAUUUCUAAGCUCUAACUUAGCUUUACAACAAGCCUUAGUAACAGUUUAUAGCCCAAGAUAAAAAUCUUUCCUAGCUCCGCCCUUGAAUAUAUAUAUAUAUAUAUAUAUAUAUAUAUAUAUAUAUAUAUAUUAGGAUGAUGUUACAAGUACUGAGGGAGUAUUGUUACAGCUGUUAUGGUCACUGUUAGUGCAGAUUAAUUAGGGUAGCUGACAGAUACAUGGACACGUGUUAGAAAUCAUUUCACUCCAUUGCAAAAAUGAAGGAAGUGUGGAUUAUGGGAAUAUUGACUUCACAAGUCUAUGAAUAAAAACAAGUGAAAGUGGCUGAUGAAAUUACAAGGAAGUGGGGGUAGGCGAUAUUGAUAUUUCAAAAGAGAUAUUCUAAAUAUUUCAAAAGGACAAAAUUGUAUAUAAGAGACAGAAUAUCCUUUAAUCCAACACCACAAACCGAGCGAUCUGUGCCGUGAAGACUCUCCCAAUUGAUGAAGCCCAAGUCUCCCUUGGAUAAUUAAUUCAGCAUAGAAAAUUCAAUGAUACAGAUAAUUAAGUCCGAUCAAAGCAUGAAGAGGACAAAUAAAUUUGUAUAUAAGAGACAGCUUGCUUGCUUUUGUAUGUGGUCAAGUGGAGCGUUUUGAAGAUGAGGCAAAUGUGGGUGUGGAUGCUGCUCAUGGCACUGUCCUUCCUCAACGACCGGAGCCAUUGUUGUUUGGACGAAGAGAGAGUUAGUCUCUUAGAGAUAAAAGCUUGGCUCAGUCAUGCAGGUGCAGCUGGGUCCAAUGAUCUAGAAGUUUGGGAUAAAGAGCAUUUUAAUUGCUGUAACUUGGAUUGGGUUGUGUGCGACAACACCACAAACCGAGUGAUCGAACUAUAUCUUUCUUUCGUAAAUUAUGAUGCAGUCGAAGACUUGGAUCUCAAUGCGUCUUUGUUUCUGCCUUUCAAAGAACUGGAGAUUCUCGACUUAAGCGGCAACCAAUUAGUUGGUGGCUUAAAGAACCAAGGUUCUAUGCUUUCAAUUUUCUUUUAGUUAACACAUAAAGUUAAUUAUAUUUCAAGUAACUUUACAUUGAAUCUUUAUGGAUAUUGGAAUGGUUGAUAUAUAAAUCUGUUAAUUGUCUUUGCUUUUGACAAUCUUCUUUCAGGUUUUCAAGUCCUAGCUUCAGGAUUGAGGAAUUUGAAGGAACUUUAUCUAAGUUACAAUAAAUUUAACGACAGUAUUUUAUCAUCUCUCAGUGGAUUUUCAACUCUCAAAUCUCUAGAUCUAUCAGACAACAUGUUUACAGGAUCAACUGGUCUCAAUGGUAAAGUUAUAAAUCAUUCCUAUCUUGGAUGACAUUCCCCAGUGAGGUUUAAUUUAUUCUUUAGUAAACUUGUCUAAUAAAUAGAUGUGUUUUAACCAUUAACUUUUGUUCAAUUUUUUAAAUUUUAUUAAAGGAAUGGAGGUGAUAUGUUAAAAUUCAUGAAUAUUUGGUUAUUAAAAUAUUGAUAUAAUGUCAAAAAAAUUAACACACAAAUUCAUAUCUCAUUGAUUUUAUAUGGAUAAUAUAUAUAUAUAUAUAUGUUAAUUUCUUUGCUUCUGACAAUCUUCUUUCAGGUUUUCAAGUGCUAGCAUCAAGGUUGAGGGAUUUGGAGGAACUUGAUCUGAGUGACAAUAAAUUGAACGACAACAUUUUAUUAUCUCUCAGUGGAUUUUCAACUCUCAAAUCUCUAGAUCUAUCAGACAACAUGUUUACAGGAUCAACUGGUCUCAAUGGUAAAGUUGUAAAUCAUUCCUAUCUCGGAUGGCAUUCCCUAGCAAGGUUUAAUUUAUUCUUUAGUGAACUUGUCUAAUAAAUAGAUGUGUAUUAACCAUUAACUUUUGUUUAAUUUUUUAAAUUUUAUUAAAGGAAUGGAGGUGAUAUGUUAGAAUUCAUGAAUAUUUGGUUAUUAAAAUAUUGAUAUAAUGUCAAAAAAAUAACACACAAAUUCAUAUCUCAUUGAUUUUAUAUGUAUAUUGGGAUGGUUGAUAUAUAUAUAUAUAUAUAUAUAUAUAUAUAUAUAUGUGUUAAUUUCUUUGCUUCCGACAAUUUUCUUUCAGGUUUUCAAGUGCUAGCUUCAGGGUUGACGAAUUUGGAGAAACUUGAUCUGCGUUACAAUAAAUUUAACGACAACAUUUUAUUAUAUCUCAGUGGAUUUUCAACUCUCAAAUCUCUAGAUCUAUCAGACAACAUGUUUACAGGAUCAACUGGUCUCAAUGGUAAAGUUGUAAAUCAAUCCUACCUCGAAUGACAUUCCCUCUUGAGGUUUAAUAAUUACAUGUGUAUUAACCCUUAAGUAAUUGUUUGGAUGAAGCCUUAAAAAGGCUUUAUAUAAUUAAUUCUUUAACGAGUGAAAUAAUUUGAAAAUGACAUGUAAACGCUAUUAACUUUCUUUUAAUUUUUUAAUUUUUUUUAAAUAAAUAAAGGUGAAUAUUUAAUUAAUAAAAUUUUAAUAUUAUAUUAAAAAUUAUUUUAAUUUAAAAACUUAAGCUAUGUCUUGUAUAUUAACUCUAACAUUAUAAAUUAUUUAAUUAUUGUAAAUAAUCAUUAUUGAUUGUUCUCUCUAUCACAGGUUUAAGGAAUUUAGAAAUCUUGAAUCUAGAUUCAAAUGACUUCAAGGAAAGCAUUUUGAUAGACUCAUUGGGAGUGUUGCCAUCCCUCAAGACCUUAUAUGCUAUUGAUAGUAAUUUUACACACUUUGGGAAAGGUCAGUGACAGUUUUGGUGCCUAAAGCAAUACGAUAUUUAUAAUAUAUUGAUGGAUUUAUUUGAUCUGUUCCAUAGGGUUGUGUAAUUCGUCUAGCCUUGAAGAAGUGUACCUCGAUUUUUCUUCUCUCCCAGCAAGCUUUCUUAGGAACAUUGGACCCUUGUCUACUCUUAAAGUCCUAUCAUUGCUCGGAGUUGACUUCAAUAGCACCCUACCUGCUCAAGGUAAUUCUACAAAUGAACAAUUAUAAGAGUAUUGAAAUCCAAAUAACAGUUGUUCAUUAGAUAUUUGUGUUAUAUCUAUGUUUUAUUAAACUAGAAAUUUACUCCUAAUGUUACGUAAAGAAAAGGAUAAAAUCUAGAGUUUCUCAAUCUCUAAAAUUUCUCAGUCCUAAAAUUAGGGUAGCUGGCAGAUGCAUGGACACGUGUUAGAAGUUGUUAAGAGUCAACUAGAGUUAGUUAACAGUAGAAUAAACCGUGUAAUGCAUGUGGGGAAGUAUAUAUAUAAUGGUAGGAGGAUUACGCACGCAAGAAAUAACAGAAUCAUUCUCCUCUUAACAACCAUCCUUGAAGACCCUUUCUCUCAAGGAUACUGGUUAAUCAGUGUUUAGUUUCUUAAAAUCUUAAUUAAUAAUAUUGAAAUGAAUGACUAUUCUGUACCACCACUAUUUUCAUCAUACCUUUUCUUCAUUUUUUUUUGUCACAGGGAUUUUCUUCAAUUCGAGCACCCUUGAAGAAUUGUAUCUAGAUUACACUUCUCUCCCAUUAAACUUUCUCCAGAACAUCGGAGCAUUGCCUGCUCUUAAAGUAUUGUCUGUUAGUUACUGUAACCUCAAUGGCACCCUGCUCACUCAAGGUAAAUUAACAACUCUCCAUCCACUCAAGAUUCUUUCAACAUUAUAUAUUUUGACUAUUUCCAUAUAAAUUGUAUAGGUUGUUUUUAAUUGAAGGCUUACUCCUAACUUUACGCUUUAUUUAGCAAAGAAUAACAUCUAGGGUUUCUUAAUUUCUAAAAUUUUUCGUUCCUAAAAAACUUUGAAUUAAAAAAAUUAUGGAUAUAAAUUAUUAAAUUAUGGAUAUAAAUAAUCUAAAUAACCAAUCUCUAAUAUAUAUAUCGAUAUAUUUUUACAGGCUUGUGUGAACUGAAGAAUCUUGAACAGCUAUAUCUCUCAGGAAACAAUCUAAUGGGCGUACUCCCUCCUUGUUUUGGAAAUCUAUCAUUUCUACAAGUCUUGGAUGUAUCCUACAACCAAUUGGAGGGGAAUAUUGCCUCUGGUCACCUUUCCCAUCUUACGCAGCUCAAAUCCCUCGAAGUUUCAAAUAACAACUUUCAAGUCCCAAUAUCAUUUGGUUCAUUUAUGAACCUCUCCAACCUCAAGUUCAUUGCAUGCGAUAACAAUGAGCUAAUAGCUGCACCCAGUUUUCAGCCUUCAGCUCCCAAGUUCCAGCUUCUUUACUUUAGUGCUUCAAACUGUACUUCAAAACCACUCGAGGCUGGAUUUCCAAACUUCCUCCAGAGCCAACAUGAUUUGGUGUUUGUUGAUCUAUCCCACAACAAAUUCGUUGGACAACCUUUCCCAUCUUGGUUGUUUGAGAAUAAUACAAAGUUAAAUCAACUAUAUUUGAGAGACACCUCAUUUAGAGGUCCUUUGCAGCUGCCACAACACCCAACACCCAACCUUCAGACAGUAGAUAUGUCUGGCAACAACAUACAUGGUCAAGUUGCAAGAAACAUAUGUUCGAUUUUUCCACGUUUGAAGAACUUCAUGAUGGCUAACAACAGCCUCACAGGUUGUAUUCCUCCUUGUUUUGGGAAUAUGAGCUCUCUCGAAUACUUGGAUCUUUCCAACAAUCACAUGUCUUGUGAACUGCUUGAGCAUAAUUUUCCAACAGUAGGCUCCUCGUUGUGGUUUUUGAAGCUGUCCAACAACAGCUUCAAUGGGCGAUUACCACCAUCUUUGUUCAACAUGACUUACCUACUACCUCCUUCUAGAUGGAAACAAAUUUGUAGGAGAAGUACCAGGUACUUUUUCUCUUGAAUCAUCACUUUUGUGGUUGGAUAUCAGUAACAAUCUUUUGUCAGGCAUGCUUCCAAGGGGAAUAGGGAACUCUUCAAAAAACCAACUUGAUGGAAUUGAUUUGUCCAGAAAUCAUUUUGAAGGUACCAUUCCAAUAGAAUAUUUCAAUUCUUCUGGGCUUGAAUUUUUAGAUCUUUCUGAAAACAAUCUGUCUGGGUCAUUACCGUUGGGCUUCCAUGCAUUAGAUUUAUGCUAUGUCCACCUAUACGGAAAUAGAUUGAGCGGUCCACUGCCAUAUGAUUUUUAUAAUCUCUCUUCGUUGGUGACAUUAGAUCUCGGCGAUAACAACUUAACUGGGCCCAUUCCAAAUUGGAUUGAUAGCCUUUCGGAAUUGAGCAUUUUUGUUCUCAAAUCUAAUCAAUUCAAUGGGAAACUUCCUCAUCAGUUAUGCUUGUUAAGGAAAUUAAGCAUAUUGGAUCUUUCAGAAAAUAAUUUUUCUGGUCUGUUACCCUCAUGUUUGAGCAAUUUAAAUUUUACGGCAUCAGAUGAAAAAACUUUGGAUCCUCGUACGGGAUAGGAUUCUGAAAGCGGAUUUUUAAAAUUUGCAUCCAUAGGGGGAAGAGGAUUUUCUCUUCAUCACAAUAUUUUGUGGGCAGCGAUCAGUGUAAAAAUAUCUAUAGAGCUUACAGCAAAGAAACGUUUCUACACUUACGAAGGCGAUAUCCUUCGUUACAUGUCUGUUAUGGAUCUUUCUUGUAACAGAUUCACUGGAGAAAUCCCGACAAAAUGGGGAAACUUAAGUGGGAUAUAUUCUCUAAAUCUGUCACAAAAUAAUCUCACUGGAUUGAUCCCUUCAUCUUCUCAAUCUGAAGCAGAUAGAGAGCUUGGAUCUUUCUCACAACAAAACUUGAAUGGGAGAAUUCCUGCACAACUCGUUGAACUGACCUUUCUAGAAGUUUUCAACGUGUCGUACAAUAAUUUGUCAGGAAGAACACCGGAGAUGAAAAAUCAAUUUGUACCUUUGAUGAGAGCAGUUAUAAAGGGAAUCCUCUUCUUUGUGGACCUCCAUUGCAAAACAGUUGCGACAAAACAGAAUCACCAUCAGCGAGAGUGCCUAACGAUUUCAAUGGAGAUGAUGGCUUCAUAGACAUGGACAGUUUCUAUGCCAGCUUUGGUGUGUUUACAUAACUGUGGUGUUGACAAUUGCAGCAGUACUGUGCAUAAAUCCGCAUUGGCGACGCAGGUGGUUUUACUUCAUUGAAGAAUGCAUUGACACUUGCUACUGCUUUUGGCUAUAAACUUUCGCAAGUUGUCCAGAUUCAGAAGGUGAUUGGUCUUAUCAUGAGCGUGUGGGCUGCUUUCUGAAUUUUUUGUAAUCCUCUGUGGAGAAGAAGUUGCAUUCCAAAUCAAUGGUUGCUCACUACAUGUUUAGCAAUUUUCCUGUGAGAAGUGUUCUGUCGAAGUGUUUGGUUCUUGUUGCUUAGCCUUUAUGUUUUGACAUGACUUGUGUUUGUCCUUGUGCUUGUAUCCAUAUUUGUUUGUUUCGUUGUUAUGUCUUUAUUAUGUUGCGUUUUGGUCUUAGAUAAGCAACCAACCAAUAUUUCUUGGUUUCUUGUGAUUUCUAUAUCCCUAAUAAUAUGGAAUUUAUUCACAAUUGUAAUAGUUUACAGUAUCAUAUUUUCUCAAUUAAAAAAAUAAUUGAUAGAACUAAAGGAUCAUACCAGCAAGGUGGAAUGUGGUAAAGCAAUAAUUUUGUUUGCUGAAAGAACAUAAGUCUAAACUUAAAACAAGGAAAUAUUUAUUGAAUAAUCAGUAUUUAUCUAUUUUGGCAAUUUUCUCAGCCCUAGCUAUUUAAGCCUUACUUGUGGGCUAUUUUGAACAUCAAGAGUUUAUUUCAGAUUUUUCUCUCCUGUUGGGUCUCUUUCAAGCCCGUUUUGCACUUAAUUUUGAAUUCUUUUAAUUAAAUCGGUUUUAAACUCUUAUAUCAACAAUUGGAGGAUUGUUUUAAGAUUAGAUUAUUUAAUUGUAAUUUUUCUGAAAAAUACAAGAGUUUUUUUUCUUUAUUCGUCUAUAAUGUCAAGGCUAUAAGAGAACCCUAAUUCAUUCAUGCCUCAUGAAAUUCAAUUUGGCCAGUGGUGGUAUAAGGAAACAAAAAGGUUGUUAGAAAAAUUAAGAAUUUUGAAUGUUUCAUUUUAAAAUGGUGACUACUUUUUAAUUUCAGAAUUCCAGAUUGUUAAAUCUUCUAUUACUUGUUUGCCUCUUAUGAUUUCUACUGUUGUGAUAGUCAAGCUUGAUGAUAUAAAUUACCUAUUCCAGUCUUAUACUUGGCUCCUCCAAGCAUGCAAUUGAAGGAGAAUAUAAAGAUAUCAAAGGCUCUAGUCCUGCCACAUAUCAAAAGAUUAGAGAAUAAAAUAGUUAGAAUGUUGUUAGUAACUGUUAGCCUUAUUUGUUAGUUAAGAGAAUCAGUUAGUAUUAUUUAGUGAAGAAUAGAUAACGUGAAAGGAAAACAGACAAGAAAAACAAAAAGGAACAGCAAAGAAAAGAAAAGGAAAAACAGCAAACGAAAAAAACAAAGAAGGAGAGAAGAAAAGUAGUCUUUCUCUCUCUAUUUAUCUUUCUAUUAGUUGCAUCACCAUCGCCAUUCUUCCUCCUCACCGCCACCAACAUCACCAUAAGCCAUCGUAGGUCCGCUUCCCCCUCUCUUUCUUCUUCUUCUCCCCCACCCCGAUCUUCAUUGUUCUACUAAUGAAUAGUGAAGGGUGAAUUAUAAUUCACGCUCCACGUGGAGAGCCAUUAUUUCUAGGUCGGACCAAUACCUGCCUAGACCAAAACAUUAGGGUCGGGUCCAACUUAAUUCCCCUUAGUAUAGAGUACAUUGGGCUGAAAUUGGCCCCACUCCUAAUUCGGGCCGAUAUUGGCCCAACUCUACUAGGCUAAUCUCAGCCCAAUCGCUUUUUAGGUCAACUUUGUGCUAAUUCCUUUUAAAUCAAACUCGGCCUAACUAGGGUGGGCUCAGCCCACAUAACUGGGCUAAGCCCAUCCUAAUAUAUUUUAAUAUAUAAUUAUAAUUAUAAUUAUAUAUAAAAAACAACAAAAAAAAUCCAAAAAUCCUUUUAAAAAAAUUUGUGAUUUUCUCAUGUAUUUUUCUACCAUUUUGUAUUAAUAUAGGUUUAUAUUUUUAUACUAUAAAGAUACAAAUCCAAUAUUAAAAUAUCUAGUUUUCUCUGAAAUAUUGCAAAAAUAUAUAUAUAGAGAAAAAAAAAUAUCUUGUUUUCAUGCAUACAGUUAAGUCUCUUAAGCUUAUAAGAAAUUUUCAUAUCAUAUUUUCAUACAACAAAAAAUUCAAAAAAUAUGUAUUAACAUGCACUUUGAAUUUUAAAAAUCAGUUUAUUAAAGUCAUGAGAACUAGACCAAUAUUUUAAAAAUACCAAAAAACAUUAUUUUGUUUUCUUUUAAUAUUUGAGAUUUUAAACAUAUACGUAAGACAUAUUCUUAAAAUUAAAUAAAAAGUAGUUUUUUUUUUUUUUUUACGUUAGAAUAGUUAGGUUUUAUCUGAUAAGAUAAUGAUCUCCUUAUUGAAAAGGAUUUUUCUUAAACCUUUGACAGACCAACAAUUAGAAAGCACAACAACACCUUAGUAUACAUUAAACAAUAAGCAAUGCAGCUUACCUUAGAUAGAGUGUAUUAGGGGUGAUAAUAUCUUUAUUUUAAGCAACCAGUCCUCGUGUUCGAUCUCUGAAACCAGUUAUUGUUAAUAGUGACAAAAAUACCAAAUGGUGAUUUUCAUUCCCUCUCUCCACUAAUAAAAGAUAAAAAAUCAUUUUCUACCCCAUUUCCCGAUACCACCCAAGAGCACAAUCACGGGCGACACUUUGGAUAGGUUGAUUAACUUGUUGCUUAUUUAUCACGCUAUGUCAUGUAGCUUUUAGUUAUUAUUUUGAAUUCUAAAAUAUAAAGACAGACUUUUUGUAGACAUGGUUUUAGAGUUGAAUUUUCCAGCGUUGACUUUUUAUUUUACGUCUCUCUCUCUCUCUCUCUCUCUCUCUCUCUCUCAUACUUGUCACUUAUGUCCUAAAUUGUUAACCAAACACAAUCUACUAUCAAAUUUAAUAGUUUUACUGAUUAAUUUUUUUUUCAGUAUUUACACUUAUAAUUUGUCGGUGUGUAUAUUACCAAUGGGCUAAUGGAUGGAAACAAUCUGUCAGAAAAAAUCUCAUUUGUAAUUUAUUGUUUGUCAAUAAUAAAUAUAUUGAUGAAUUUACAGACGACAAAAACACGUAAAAAAAAUUAUUCACUACAUUCUGUUGAUAUCUUUAUCGGUAAAUUUAACAUAUCAUCGACAGGAAAAUCGUAUGUAAUGUCAUCAGUGUUUAUAUUUAUCCAUCGAUAAAUAUAACAUAUCACCAACAGAAUACCAUCUGUAAUUCUAUCAGUGAGUUAACCGUCGAAGUGAUAUUUGCAGUAAUUAUUUUCCAACUCUCUCUAAAUAUACAGACGGAGUUGUUCCUUCAGUAACCCCGUCAGUGGUAUUUAAUAUAUAUAUAUAUAUAUAUAUAACUAGAAAAAUAUUUAAAAUAAUAUAAAAAUCAAAUAUGUAUUACAAAUUUAAAUAUUUGUACGUUCAAAUACAAUAAAUCUAAAAUAGAGGCAGUAUUGGAGGAGAAGGAGGCUAGUUGUUGUCGGGAUCGUGAGGCAAAUUAGAAGGUGUGCAUGUACCACCUAUCUGUGAUAUCAUCUUCAUUACCAAUAAAAGAAGUUCUUUAUAAUUAGCAAUGAGUCAUUCAUAUUUUUUUAUUAAGAUGAGUUAUUUGAGCAUAUAUUCGUUGGUAUAACAUCACAACGAGCUUGAGAGUUUGAGUGGUCAGAAUUGAAUGUGAGCAUCCAACGAUCAAAACAUUAUGGGUCGUCUACAAGUUAUUAGUCGUAAUGUUAAAAAGUUCAUACACCUAAUUUAUAUCGGAUCCACCAAACAAUCCUGCUUAUAACCACAAAUCCAGAUCAAGAUUUGGAUGGGUCGAAGGAUCAUCCUUGUAUCUCUUCUUCAACUAACUGUUAUACGUAUUCUGGAAAGAAAAAAAAAAUUCAUCAAAUUCAAGGAAAUAUUAAAAAUAAGUUUGAGUUAAACCAAUAUUUUGUUGUUUAUUUAGUUUACAUAAUUAAUUAAUACAUGUUGUCAUCAAUAUUCUAUAUAGGUUUGACAUAAGUAAUGGAUGAUUAUUUAUGGAUGUAUCAAGAUUCACCGAAACGGUUGCGUAGGAUGGAUUGUUGUAAUAAAGUUCAGGGUUUUAUUAAUUAUGCACUAUUUAAUUCGAGAAAUAUUAAUGAAAGCAAUAUUAGAUGUCCAUGUAUGAGAUGUAAAAAUGAAAAGUUUCUUGAUUCAGAUAUUGUAACGAUGCAUCUUCUACAAAAAAGGUUCGUGAAGAGAUAUUUGUGUUGGUUUGCAUACAAAGAACCAUAUGUUCCUCAUGAGACCAUUAUAGAAAGAAUGAUUGGGUCAACUUAUAGUUCUAGCAACGUGCAUGAAAUUAUAUAUAACAAUAGUAAUCCUUAUAGGACUUUGGUUAAAGAUACGAUGAAAAUAAAUCAGGGUUAUGCUAGUAAAUGUUCAAUCAUAAAUGAAGAACAUAACACAAACACGACCAGUUUUUUUUUUUUUUAUCUUUUGAAAGACUUUGACGAUACUUUGGGAUUUAAAGAAAUUGACAAACUCAUCAGCCUAGGAUACCAUAAAAUUGACAUGUGUCCAAACUUUUACAUAUUGUAUUACCUUGAAAAUGUAGAGUUGAUCAAGUGCAAAACAUGUGGGCAUGCUCAUUAUAAAUCUAGAACUGGUAGGGAAGGACUUUUAUCGCACAUAGAAAACUUAGAUACUUCUUAAUCACACCUAGACUACAAGGGUUAUUCAUGUCACCAAAAAUUAUUGAGCACAUGACAUGGUAUCAUUCACAUGAUGCAGUGGAUGAAGUAAUAGUGCAUCAUUCUGAUGGUGAAGCCUGAAAACAUUUUAAUAUGGUGCAUCUUUAGUUUUCAAUGGAAUAAAUGAACGUGCUUCUUGGGUUAUGUACAAAUGGAUUCAAUCCAUUCAAAUCAUUUGCUACUUCUUCUUUUUUUAAUCAAAUGUAAGAAUAUAUUGAGAUCAAAGGAACAAAGCCACAAAAAUAGGAAAACACAAAAUAUAUAUACAGUGAUGAGGGUAACCAAUACCCUGAACUAAAAUGGGAACAUGCUCCCAUUGAAAAGAACAUAAAAUAAACAACUCCAAGGCUAGAAGUAGCCACACAGAAGACAAAAAAAAAGAGUGGUAAAAUUGAGCAUAACCAGCCAAUCCGAUGUACUGCCAGCCAAGCCAACUUACUGCCACCCAAGCCAAGACAAGCUGCCGAAAGCCAAUAGAACAUCCAGCUGCUCCUUUUCCAUGCAGGACCAAGGCGGCAACAUAUACCCCACAACCAAAACAGCAUCACAGCAGCCCUUAUUCCAUCCAUGAGCCUUAUCAUGCAGGGACGUGAAAAGCCAUGGCCAAUAGCAGCCUCCUAGAAAAACAGCCAAGACAACUUUAAAAAUCCAUACAUUAAAUAAUCAAUGCAGGUCGAGGAUCCAAGCAAUCAUUUGCUACUUCUUAUUUUUAUUGGUUGGUGAUACUCCUGGUUUACAAUUUUCCAUUGGGGAUGUGUAUGAGGUCGGAGUUCAUAUUUUUAUCUAUAUCAUAUUUGAUCCUAAUAAUCUGUGUCGGAAUAUAGAUGUUUGUCUUCGUCCACUUAUUAAUGAGUUGAACUAGUUGUGGUCGUUCAGGGCUUUGAUAUAUAAUGUAUUGAGAAAACAAAAUUUUUAGACAAAGGCACUUUCUUGUGGAGAAUCAAUGAUUUUUCUAUGUAUGGAAUGGUUUCUGGUUAAAACACAUGAAAAACUACAUGUCCAUAUUGUAUGGAAAAUAAUAAGGACCUUCAUGUUAACAAAUAGUGGUGAUUUUGAUGUUUUUAAGCUAAGAAAAAAUGUCUAAAAAUUGUUUAGGUUACUGAAGAAAUUGAUCAAACUUUCUUUAUGGGCUGACAAAAAAUAAUUCUUUAUAGGUCAAAGAUUUAUUUUAUAAUAAACUCAAUUCCAAAUCUAUAAUAGGUUAGCGAGUUUGGAGCCUAUGCCCAAGUAAAGUUAAGCACGCGUGUGGGAUAGAGGAUUUUGGGUUUCGUAAAAACAUUUAAACUAAGAGGUUUUUUAAAUUAAUUUUUUAUUUAUUCACAAUUUAAUUACUUUAAUCAUAUUAAUGUUUCAUGUUAAUAAACAUUUAAUAAUUUCCAACAAAGUUUUUACUCCAAAAGUGAAUGAAUUUCAUUUUAAAUUUAGCCCCAAAUGUAUCAAUUGAACAUGUUUUAUUAAAACAAUUCCUACACUAUCAUCCUUAAACUACUAGUUAUGAUGAAAACAUUGGAUUAUCAUUACAUAGCCGUGUGCUUACCACUACUAAAACAUGUGCUGAUUAUGAUUAUAUCUCAACACAAUACUUUUAUCAUAAAAAAAAAAAAACAGAGAAGAAUAUUGUGUCAUUUCUGUUGUAACCCAUUUUUGGGUCCCCAUGAAAAAUAAAAUAAAUAGCCAAAAGAGUUUAGAAAAAAUAGCAGGAGGCAGAAACGCUCAGAAAACAGUCAGAAAAUUGGUCAAGGAAUUUAAAAAUACAAGGAUUGAAUUUUUAACAAUAUAUUCUUGAAGGAUGAAAGCCCUAUUGAGAAGGAAAAUUUGAAUUUUGAGGAGAAAAGCCCAAAUUUGGAUGUUUAUGGAUUUAAUUGGAUUUUGUUUUUGAAUUUAUAGAAGAUUUGAUUACAAGAAAAAUUGAUUUUUAAGUCAAUUUGGGCUUUAAUUAGAAGAAAUUUAAGUUCUGGGGCCAAAAUAUAUUUUUUAGGAAUUUAUUGGGUCAAAUCAGGGGCUUAAUUGCAUAAAUAUUGAAGUUUAAUGGCCAAUUAGGGGCUUAAUUGUGAAAAUCCGAAACCAGGGACCAAUUUGGAGAAGGCGCAAAGAUAGAGGGGGCUGUUUGGAUUUGAUUCAGGGGCUUAAUUGAAGAAAUUGGAAGUUUAUUGGUCAAUUAGGGGUUUAAUUGUAAAAUUAGAGGCCAAGGACAAAGUGGAAAAACGCGGCCAACUAUGGGGUAGGGACCGAAUUGGCAGGGACGAAUUGAGUUAAACAAAGAUGAUUAAGGACUGAUUCAAAAAAUGUUCUGGCGCCUUUUCUUUUAAAAUGAAACGGCGCGUUUUAUCCAAAACGACGCCGUUUCAUGCAUAAUAAAAAAAAAAAAAAAAAGAGACCGAACGGUGCCGUUUUGAACGGCACUGUUCACUUUCUUCUUCCCCCGAACAUUACAGCGGGGAAGAAGGAAAAGUUUGUAUUUUUUUUUAUGUUUUGCAGGUCCCUCUUGCCACCAACCGACCGAGGCCCCACGCCGGUGGCCCACCGACAGAAGACGCUGGCCGACCACCCGCCGCGCUGCCGAAGCCGAGGGAGGCCCGCCUGGAUAGCCGCUCCCCGACAGCCGCUCCUCGACCCGCUCCUUGGCUCCACGGUGAAGCCACGCCUGUUAGUUCUAUAAAUAGAGAACCGAAGGAACCCGAGAGGACGACGAAAAAAAAAACAGAAGAGGAACCCGAAGAGAACAAGAAAAAACGAAGAGAGAGAGAAGGAGAGAGAAACCACAGAACUUAAGAAACAGCCACCGAAAACCUAAAACUGAGAAGCUUGGGAAAAUUUGAAGCCGAUAGGAAUCUCAGGAAACCGAAGCAGAAGCAACAAACCGGGUGAGCGACGACGAACCGUGGGAAAAAGCUGUAGCGCCGCCUGACUCGCCGUCCGUAAGCCACGACGCUGCCACCGCCUCCACCGCAGCACCGCCAGCAAGCCACCGUCUCCACCGCACCAGGUACGCUUCCUUUCCCCCCUUGCAUUUUUUUUUUAAAAAACCUGCAUCAGUUUUGCCUCCUGCAUGCAGAAUCAUGCUGCAUGCAGGAGGCGGGGGGGAAAAUAAUCCCCCCCCGUUUUGUUUUAUUUUUUAGUUCUCUGGGCCAGAUGGUGUCUGGCCCAGAACUAUGUGGGACGGGCCAGAGGGACCUGGCCCGAUCCGGCGGUCUGGGCCGGACAAGGUUAUUUAGUUUUUGGGCUGAGAUCGGCCCAGUACCGGUUGGGCUGAGAUCGGCCCAGUACCUGUUGGGCCAAGUUCGGCCCAACGCCUUUUAGGGUUGGGUCCGGCCCAGUUUAGUUGGGUCGGCCCAGCCCACUUAAUAUAUAUUUAUUAUAUUAUUAUAUUUUAUUAUUAUAUUAUAUUAUGCAUGUAUAUAUAUAAAAAAAAAAAAUCCGAAAAGUUUUUUUUUAAAAUAUAUUGUUGUUUCCUUUUCAUAUAUAUAUUUUUUAUAUACAUUGGUUUGUAUUUUUAUAUUGUGGAGACACAAACUCAGUGUUUAAAAUACCCGGUUUUCGUCAAAACAUCCAGAGUUUCAAAGAUAAAAAUGUCCGUUUGCUUUCAAAAAUUCUAAAAAAUAUCCUUAAGAAUAUUGUGGAUUUUCCUGCACAUUUUUUUUAUGAUUUUUAUAUUGGUUUGUAUUUUUAUACCGUGGAGAUACAAAUUCAGUUUUUUUAAAUACCCGUUUUCGUCGAAAAAAAUAUAUUUACAAAAAAAAAUGUUUUCUUGCGUGUUGCAUACGGCCAAUACUCUAACAUGUUUUGAUUUCUUUUUUUUUAAAAAAAAAAAUAUUUUGGAAGCUUCGAAAGUGUGUUUUCGCAUAGAUUUCUUAAACACAAAUUAUUUUCUUGCAUUUUUGGAUUUUACAACAUGUUUGUAAAACUCCAAAGGGUAUUGGCCAAUAUUCCAAAAAAACUAUAAAAAUCUUUUUGGGGGAAGAAAAUUUAUUUAUUAUUCACCGCUAAUGUUUGGAUAAAGAAAUCCUUAAAAGGAUGAAUAUCCAAAAUAUUAUUGGGAGUAAUAAAUCCGUACACAUUCUUGAAAGAAGCCUUGAUUAUAAUCGAGGACAUUUCAAAAUUUUAAUUUUUUUUUCCCACGAUUUAUGAGUCCCAAACUCUUGAAAUACUAAAGGGAAAAAUGAGCUUUCAAAGCACAUGGAAUCUCCUUAGAUUUCUAUCCAAAAUCAAUUGACGAGCCUAGAAAAUACCAACACCAUAGCAAUUAUAGAGCAAACGAAACACCAAGCAGCUUACCUUAGGUAGGGCGUACUAGGGGUGCUAAUACCUUCCCUUUACGCAACCAGUCCCUUGCCUUAGAAUCUCUGAAAGACCAGUUAGGGUUCCUAGUGACCAAAAUACUAGGUGGCGACUCCAAAGAACCAAAUCCGCUAAACAGAACAAAAUGAAAGUCGCCAGUCGAAUGUCGCAAAAAACAAAUUUUUUUUUUAUUUUUAGGAUUUUUUGGGGUGCGACAAUUUCUAUCAUCCAACUUGUGAAUAUGAUGAUAGCGUAUAGUAAAAUACUUCUAUUGGCCUGGAAGUUUCCCGGAUCUCUCUGGCAGAUGAACGUGGAUGAGGUUUUUUUUUUUUUUUUUUUUUGUGAUGCAAAUCAUGAGAUCAACAGCUUCUUCUUUUUUGUUUUUUUUUUUUUUCUAGCCAUCUGAAAAACUGUAGUAAUUUUGUUAAAUAUGAGGUGUGAUAGAAAAUUUAACAAGCCCUAACUUUCAGGGAGAGAAAUCUGCUCAUCAGUUUAGCUCACAGACUCGUAACUGGUGAUGACUUGACCGGCUAAGCAAGGUUUUUUUUAAUAAAAAAAAACAUAAUAAAAUUUAUAUUUCAUUUACAAUAAGACUCCUUCAACCGCAAAAGCACAUAUGAAAAUAUGAAUUUUAAUAAAAUAGCAGCGUUUGUUGCUGCGUUUGCACCUGUGUUUUGCUCAAAUUUGAUUUAUUUUUUUUUGUAAAAUUGAGUUUGAUUUGUAUUUUUUGGAUCGUUUUGAUGUGCUAAUAUCAAAAAUGAUUUUUAAAAAAUAAAAAAAUAUUAUUGGCAUGUAUUUCAGCACAAAAAACUAUUUAAAAAACAACUGCUACUACACUAUCAAACACGCUCAGUCUUAUGUCUAGAUUUGUCUGUAGAUUUUGCGAAAAACAGAGGAAAACAGGGCAUUUCUAGUUCUGAUCAUGACUUUUAUCUAACAAAACCAUGAUUGAAUUGUUAGAUAGAGCGCAGAUUAACAUAGAUCGAGGCAAACCAAUGGAUUCAACAGCCCGAUGACGAGUGCCAUGCAUGAUCAAUUAAGACCACAGUUGCAUCAUCAUGGCACCUACCUGCUGGAGAUUUAGCCAACAAACAGGGGUUAGUGGGCAUGGGAGUAGAUGGACGUUGACAAGGACAUAAAUACUCUGUCAAAUAUGCGAGCUUCCACGUUGAGGUGGUUGGGGUCUUUCUUGAGACAUGAUUGCUGGGGUCGAGAACUGUAGAACAAUUUCCCUUUAUAAAAUAUAGUUAUCAGAACUGGCUCGAGUUCUGAUCAUAAUAAAAAGCUAAGAUGAACUGAGUCAAUUCUAAAAUUACAUUAAAAAAAAUCUCAAGAAGUUCAUAGAUACUGGGAUUAGAAAAUCUUUCAUGAUUUUCCCAAUUUAGGGUUCUCUAAUACUGGGUUUAAUUAUGAAUUAGUGUAUUGAUGAGCAUUUAUUUAUUUUUGGUUCUAUAUGGUUUAUUCUCUUUUUGAUUGAAUUUUUUAACAAUCAUUUAUAUAUAGAUUGCUUUGUUCACCAAAAAAAAAUAAAAAAUAUAUUAACUUUUUUAGUUUUGAUUUUUUCCGGUUUUAAUCAAAUAAAAAAUUAUUUUUACCAUCUUUAAUUUAAAAACCGUUUGUUUAAUUUCAAAUAAAAAAUAAUCAAAAUAAUGCUUUUAAUUUUAAAUCAUAGUUUAAAUAUAAUAUUGACUGCAUAGACAAACAUAAUCUUACACUAACAAAUAAUUAUAUAAAAAACAUCGUGAUAUUUAUAACAUGAUUUUCAAUAAUUAUAUUGAAAUAUUAUUAGUAUUCUCACUUGCAUGUUUUAACUAUAAGGUAAUUUGGAUAAUAUUAACAAGAAUGGGGAUUUUAACUUAAUCUCAACCAUAUAUCGAUAUAUAUAAAUUAAUUGAUCUGAAAAUAUCAAAAGAUAGAUGGAAGCAAACAGACGUAACACUUUUCCCCCGCAUGCAUGAUUGAGACGAUAGGGCGAAAUAAACGGAAUCAGCCUGGGAAAAAUACAAGGAUGAAAAUGAAAACAAAGUAAAAGAAAAGGGGUUACAAAUAAAGUAAGGAAACGUUUUAGCAGGGUCUAAUUGAAAGAACAAUUUUCCAAAAAGUGAAUCACCUUUGGGAAAAAAAAGAGGUUUUCGGCUGUGAUUGAGGAUUCAUAGGAUUUUUCCACCCUGUAGGGCCCAGUGGGAUUUUUUACUAAAUCCUUUUGACUAAUGAAAUUGAGUAAUUUUCCACUAAGAGACAAAAAUGCUUGUAUCGAUUUGAAAUUUUGCGUCGGAGGGAAAGCACAGAAGGGAACAAGAUUUGAAUUUUGAUCCAUAAGAAGAAAACAAAUUUCUUCAUUUCAAUGGCUGCCAGCUUCGCAAUAGAGUGGCGGGAAAAUCUGAUCUAGCUUUCUUGACAAAUACUACAAGUCAAUCAGAGAAAUAUUUGAUUAUGAAAUGGGAUAAUAGAGAUUUGGUGCAUCUUAUGGUAACUGAGAUUUGAAUAUUAGGAAAAAGAGUAGAUAUCUAAAUAUUAGUUUGGGACUGGUAGUUGGAGUAUGAUAUCGAUCUUGCUGUAUUUUAAAUGUAUUUAAAUUCUCAUUAGGAAAAAAAAAAAAAAAGAGUUAAUAGUGACAGGGUAAAUUAAAGAUGUGUUAAAACAAGAAAAAUAUCCUGUUUCAAAUUGUAUUUUUUAACUACAAAUAUCAUUUUAAUUGUUAUUCAUUUAAAUUCUAGUUUGAAACACAACAUAUCAUAUAAAUAAACAAGUGAAGUCUUAAUCUAUAAACAACGUGUAUUAAUUGUUAUCAUAGAAAAUCUGUUAGAUACAAACUAUGAAUUAAAAUUUAAUAAUUAUAAUUUUUUUUUAAAAAAAAAUCAAUUUAUAAUGCUUUUAUAGGCUUAACUAACUCAUUUAAUUAUUUUAAUAAUAUGAUGUUGCUACUUAAGUUUACAUUAUCAAUCACUUUUGUUGAUAUUAUUAUCAUUAUUUCUAUUAAUAUCAUCAUUAUUAUUAAUUAUUAUCUCAACCAUCAUCAUUACAGAUAUUAUAUUUUUAUAUUAUUACUUUUUAAAUAACAUAAAAUUUGUUUUGUAAUAAUAUAUCUUAUGAAAAAAUAUUUUAUAAGUACAAUAUUUUAUGGCAAUCAAAUGCCUUCUCGCUUAUUAAGGAUUUGCUGACGUGGUUGAUAGUUUUUUUUUUCAAACUUAUUAUAUCAUUGAUAUAUAAUUUGAAAUAUCCGCAUCAUGACAUCAAUGAGCAGUUGCUUGGUGAUUAAGGGGAGCUAUAAAAUCAUGUCCAAAAUUGCUGGCAACCCACAUUAAAGUCAAGAAUUUGCUAAACGACGAGCUGGCCUUUAAAAUCUCUCCCUGUGUUUUCUUUAUUCAUUUAUUAGUGACAAAGAAACCAAAUUCUCCCUUACACGUUCAGUUUUUAUUUCAUAAUUUUAAGGGUUUUAGAAGUGUGAUGAUGAUUAUUUUUUAAAGUAUGUUUUAUUUAAAGAUAUAUUAAAAUAAUUUUAUUAUUAUUUAAAAAAUAUUUUUGUCACCAGCAUAUUAAAAUGAUAAAAAAAAUAUUUUUAUACAAAUAAAAUUAAUUCUUUAUGAAAUAUUAUUUAGAACUCAAUUUCAGUUUAAUUUGAUGAGUUGAUUUAAAAUCCAAUUAGAGUAGAGUUUGUAAUUAGAACGACCAAAAUUUUAACCUGAUAAGACUAGUGGUUUUGAUUAAUACUAAAUUAGAUAAUAAUAAUAAAAUACUUCGAAUGAAAUUAUUUAAAGUGGAAUUCAAUUUAGUUUUAAUAAUAUACUACAUAUUAAUUAAAAAACUUGGAACUUUUUUUAUUAAUUAAAAAGCCUAGCCUACUUACAAAUAUCAACAUAAAUAGUUCUAUUUAGUUUUAAUAUAUAUAUAUAUAUAUAUAUAUAUAUAUAAGCAGUAGGAAGUUGAAUUUGUUUUAUUAAUUAAUUCACCUGGUGGUGUAUUCAGUCAAGAGUGAAAGAUGAUAGGUUAUUUACAAGUCAAAAUCUUUAAAAAUUAAAAAACAUAAUAACUGAAAAAAGAUACAUAAAAUAUUUAAUAUUUAAUUAUUUAAGUCUCACUUAUCAAAAAAAUCAAUUAAACCUUUUAUAUAUAAAAAAACUGAAUAACCCUAUUAAUACUAAAUAGAAAAAUUAUUCCCUUUAAAUAUAAAAACUAGAAAAGCUUAAUGAUACUAAAUAGAAAAACAAAACUCAUAAACUAAAAAUAAAUAAAAAUUAUUGAGCAAAAAUAUUUAUUUUCCCAAAAAAACUUCUACAUUAAUUUUUAUAAAUCAGAAGAAACUCGUUCCGAGUUCAAAUUAUUCAUGGAGUUGAACCCUCUUGGUUGAAAAACAUCUCUUCUACCAUUAAAUUAUAUAAUGAAAUAUUCUUUCAGCAAAACCUCCUCAAUUAAAAACCAAUAAUCAUUUUAUGUGUGUUACCUCAUUACAAGUUCUUAACAUCUUUAUAAGAGUUGUUGUAUUAUAGAUCUGAAACAUAUUUAAAAGUUUAAAAUUAGUUUUAAUAUUAAUACAUCAAAACAAUUUGAAAAUAUAUUUUUUUUAAUUUUAAACAAAAAAAUAAAAUUUUAAAUUUUGAAAACAUGAUAUGCAUCAAGUUUCAAACCUAAGAAUAGUUAGAACUAGUUAUAUGACCCGCGCAAUGCCACGAGUCAAUUUGUUUUGCAUAAAAAAAUAUGAAAAAAAAAGUUAAGAUAUAAAAGUGUUAGGUUUUUUGCAAAGUUAUACUCAGGAGCCGUGAGUUUGACUGCAACGCCUAACUCAAGAGUAAUAUUUAUAAUAUUAAUAAUAAUAUCAAACUUGUAUGACCCAAGUUUAAGUGAGUUUUACUGCAAUACCAAAACCAAUAGUCUUGGAUGUGGAUGUGGCUGCAAAGUCGUGUCAUAAAAGUGUGAUAAUAAAAUAAAUUGAUUAAAAAAAAACCAACAGGAAGAAAAAAACUAAUAAAAAAAAGAAAAAAAAUCUGAAUUAACUGGGUUAACCCAUCAAACCAAGUUAACCCUUCAAACCUGGAAUCCGUGUCAUGAAAGUCUGAUAAUUAAACAGAAAAAAUUUAAUAUUAAGAAACUAAAUUAAAAAAAUAAUUAAAAAACAAAGAAAAAAGACAAAAAAAAAAACUAAAGGCAUUAACUUUUUCACUGUGAAUUGCACUAUGAAAUCCAUAGUAAAAGACUUAAAAAGAAAAGGAUAAGGAAAAAAACACAAAGGCAUACGCCACGGGUUAAUUUUUUUUUUCUUGCAUAAGAAAUAUGAAAAAAAAACUAAGAUUUAAGAGUGUUAGGUCUUUCUACAAAAACAUACCUAUGAGCCUUAGGUCUAGCUGCAACGUUUGACCCAAGAGUAAUAUUUAUAAUAUUAAUAAUAAUAUUAAACUUACAUGAAUCAAGUUUAAGUGGGUCUGACUGCAACACCGGACUCAAGAGCCUUAGAUGUGAGUCUGGCUGUAAGGUCGUGUAAAAAAAAUAUGAUAAUUAAAUAGAUUAAUUAAGAAAAAACAAAUGAAGAAAAAGAAAAAAAAAUUGAAUUAAUUGGGUUAACCCUUCAAAUCAGGUUAACAUGUCAAAGUUGAGAUUCGCGUCAUGAAAUUUUGAUAACUAAAUAGAAAAAAAAAAGUUGACGGGUUAACCCAGAAUUAACUGGGUUAAUCCGUUAACACAGGUUAACUCGUCAAGCCCGAGACAUGUGUCAUGAAAGUUUGAUAAUUAAAUAGAAAGAAAUUUAACUUUAACAAACUAAACUAAAUGAAAAAAAAAAAAUUAAAAAGCAAAAAAAAAAUUGUGUUAACUCGUCAAAUCAGGUUAACCCGUCAAAUCUGGGAUAGUCUGAUAACCAAAUAAAAAAAAUUAACAUUAACAAACUAAAUUAAAUAAAAAAAUUCAUGAAAAGAAAAAAACAUAAAAAAAUUCAUAAAAACAUAAAAAAAAAAAAAUUAUUAUUUCACUGUGAAUUUUAUAGUAAAACACUGAGCAGAUUUAGUUUAUUGUUAAUACGCAGUCUGGCUGACACCUAAUGUCCUAAAUAAGAAAACCCAUUGGGUUUUACGUAUGAACAGAAAAAAAUAGAAAUGUGAACAAUUGAAGAUAAGAAAGAGGUAUUUCAAACAUUUUUUUUUUUAACAAUAAUAUAUGAAGAUCUGGUGCAUAAUUUAACUAACUGAGUCCUGGCCUCGACCAAAUACUUUGGCUUCUUCUUCCCGCAAGCUAUCCACAGAGCCAUUUCACGAAUCAUGUCAUGCAUUUUCUCAUCUCUGGCGCCUUCAUCUUCCAAUCAGCAUUAUUGAGUAAGACUGUCAUUGAUGUUGUAACCUUCAAUUCGAGCCCCUCAUACAUCUCCAUAUUCACCCAAAAAUCCCUCCCAUGGCCAACCAAUAAUCUAAUUCCGGGAAGAAAGCACAAUACAGGAAACAAUAAUUAACUUUGUUGCUGUGAAGACUAUCAUAACCAAGCUUCAGCAGAGCAAGGUCCCUAUAGGAAGUACCUGAAAAGUCUGAGGUGGCCUUACUUCUGGUAGGGAUCCUGAGACGCCACUACCCAUAUAACGAAAUCGAAAUGGAGCUGUGAGUUGAGCAAGCUGUUGCAGACUUGAGUCAAGAGAGCAGUCUUGAGAAAGAUUGACAUCCUGCAAACCCACGACAACAAUGAGAUAUAUGAGAAAGCAGUGAAAAUUUUGGAGAGAUACUGGGCUGAGGAAGAAGAUGGAGAACCAAUUGUCCAAGAUGGUGGAGAUGGAAAUCAGCAAGGUUUUGCUUUUGGAACUAACCAGCCAGCGUUCCUCAAGGUGGCUUCAAGUUUGGGCGAACGCCUCUCUAGCUUUUUGUAGAUUUUUUCACUUGCUUUGAAAUUUUCAACACUAUAUGUUCGUUGCUGCCAAGGCUCAGAAUUUUUGGUCUGGCACAUAGGGUUUCAGUAUCGAUGGAAAUUGUCAAAAAAUGUUAAAACUUUAGGACUCCACCUUGGAAUUAGUCGAGUUGAAUUGUAAAAUUGAUGUAAAGGAUCUUUGUGAUUGUCUUGAUAUGGAAUUAGACUCGUGCUAUGAUAUAUGAUGAGUUCUUAUAUAUUGAGAGCAUCAGACUUGUCCCGAAUGGCUGGUUUCUGAUGUAGCUAGAGCAAAUUUUCUGAUGUAGCCACUGAAAAUGUAGCUGUUAUGGAUUGUGCAUCAUCUUUUCAACUUACAUCUCGAAUGGAUGAGAUGUUUGAGCCUGCUGCAAUGAAUGCAAUGUGAAAAAAACUGCCGCAGCUUGGAGGCAGUAGCACUGAAAUGAUUUCCAUGUAGCUGUUACUCAUGUUUAUCAAUCCCCUCUUAUGAGGCAUAAAGGGUUGACAAGUGGAAAGCGUUGAGGCACAAACAACCAUAGUUAUCAGACAUGGUUAUGGUUUGAGUUGUGGAUUUUGUUAGAUCAAUCAUAAAAUGAAGUUGUUUUGUUAUUUAUAUAAAUAAAAAUUAAAAAAAAUUAUCAAGUCAAUUUUUAAAUCAAUUCAAAAUAAAAACCUAAUCUGAGUUCGAUUUCAAGUAUAUGAAUUAUCGAAUUAAUCUGGCCGAGCAAGUUUUCAUAACCACGUACAAAUCAAAAGCCCUUUGAUUGAAUCAACAAAAUUCGGGAGAGGAUCUAAUCUCCAUCAUUAGACAUUAUAAAGAAGGGCUAGACGCAAUAUUAAAUGGGCCAGAAAGAUCUUAUCAUCUGAAAAUAAUAAAUGAAGAUUAGAGGGUUCAUUUUUUACAAUCAAGACUAGGGCUUUAAGUUUAUAGGCCUUUGUAAAGUGUAGUAGCUCUGUCCUGCGUAGCUCAACCAUGGCAGACAGCAACGAGAAUCAGCAUGACAAAGGCAAAGAGCAAGAGCAAUAUGGUGUCCUGCUUUACUACAAAUACACAGAAAUCCCUGAUCUCAACUCCCUCCUCUCCUUCUACAAUUCCAACUGCACUUCCCUCUCCCUCCUUGGCCGUGUCCGCCUCUCUCUCCAUGGAGUCAAUGUCACUGUAAUGCGCCCAACUCAAUAACCCCAACUUUUUGCAGUUUAAAUCUCAAAAGUUUGAAUCAUUUUGGUUAUUAAAAUUUUGGGUUUCCUUUGUUUUCUUCAAUCAUAUCACAAUCUCAUUGAAAAGUUUGAAACCUUUUGCUGUUUGGGAUUUUGGGUUUAGUUAUUUGAGUCCAAAAAUUGGAAAGUUUGGAACUUUUUGCUUAUUAGAAUAUUGGGUUUCUUUUGUUUUCUUCAUUGGUUUAAGUUGGAGGCAAGUUGUCUUCAUUGGAGAAACAUAUUGAAGCUGUGAAAGCUAUUAGUUUAUUUGAAGGGACUGAUUUCAAGCUUGCUUCUUGUCAUUUCCCAUUGAAUGACAAGGUUGCUCAUGAAUGUGGCUUCACUUCUCUUUCCAUUCGCAUUGUCAAGGUAUGAAUCUUUGUUCUAUCAAACUUUGGUUUCUAUUCGUAUCAUUGUUUUGAGCUAUUUGGUAUAGUAUAAGUUUUGAUUUGAUAUGCGUUUGUGUUUGCGUUUGCUUGCUUGGUCUAACAUCUUGAUGCGUUUUGGUGUGGCUAGGAAUUGGUUACUCUUAGCCCUUAUCCUCUUGUUAAAGCACCGGAUGUUUCAAAUGCUGGUAGGCAUUUGUCCGCUGUGGAGUUCCAUUCUCUUCUUCAAAGUGCUGGUGAGUUGUGAUUUUCUUUUUGAAAUUUUAUUGCAUGCUUUACUUUUUGGUUUGCUUUCGUUUUAUAGGCUAUGUUUAUUCUUCUUUGUAGUAUUUUGUUCUCUAAAUUUGGUUUUGUUGUUUUGAUAUGUAAGAGAAUGACUAGUAAUGGUUAACUAUGUGUUGGGUGAUUCUGUUUAUGUUUCUCAGGGAAGCUUGUAGAUAAAGAAAGUCUAGUUGAUGAUAAAGGUCUUGUUUUAUUAGAUGCAAGGAAUCUGUAUGAGACGAGAAUUGGGAAGUUUGACAUGCCAAAUGUGGACACUUUGGAUCCUGGAAUCAGACAGUAUAGUGAUCUGCCAUCCUGGAUAGAUGAUAAUUCUGAACAAUUGCGAGGAAAGAAUGUCCUGAUGUAAGUGCUUGUUCCAAAAUUGACUUUUUAUUGGUGUUGACCUGAACUUCACUCUGUUUUCCAUCUGAUUUGUAAAAUCAUGUUAUCAUGGUUGAAAGUUGGUGCAGUUAUGGCUUCAAACGCCCAUUUUUCCACUCUAAUCUUAGUAUGUUUUGUUUGGGUGCUGUGUAGGUAUUGUACUGGAGGAAUCAGGUGUGAGAUGGCAUCGGCCUAUAUUAGGUCAAAAGGUGCUGGAUUUGAGAAUGUAUUUCAGGUAAGCUUGGGAUCCAGCAGAAGCUAGUGUUAUGCUUACCUUGACCAUAAGAUCCUGAGGAAGUUAGGUCCUGAUUGUUGAUCGAUGUACUGAUAUAUUUUGCAAUGCUGGCUUUGUUGCAGUUGUUUGGUGGAAUACAGCGUUAUUUAGAACAAUUUCCAGAUGGUGGUUUUUUCAAAGGAAAGAAUUUUGUUUUUGAUCACAGGUAUGAUUGCUCAGAGUAAUUGCGACCCUAUUGAUUUUAAAGUUUUUACCUUAUCCUUUGGUGAUUGCAUAACAUCAUGCUUUUAUUGAACUUUCUGGUGUUCAAUAAAAGAAAACAAGCAAAGAAAAAGAAGUGUCGAUUUGCCGAGUAAUUUUGUAUUGUGGCUGUAGGAUUUCUGUUGGGAGCUCAGAUACAAAUAUCUUGGGAACCUGCCUUCUCUGUGGCUUAUCCUUUGAUGAUUACUCUUCACGAUGUAGAUGCUCAUAUUGUAGAAUGCUAGUAUUGGUCUGUGAUAGUUGCCGGGUAAGUUUUGAUGACUAGAGUCCUUCUACCAUUGAAUGUUAAUAUUUCUGACCAUUUAAGCAUGUCUAUCAUACUUUAGCUAGCUCCAUCUUGUCCAGUGAAUAUUCUAAGAACCUUAACCAAUGCUUCUCGAUUUUUAUCUAAAGUGAAACUUAAAAUAAUAGCUUUUCAGAUUUUCAUUUUCCCUUCUAAAAACAAUCAUUGCCUAAUAUGUAUGUGUUUUGAUGAACUGUUUGUUCAGCUCCCAUGCCGCUUGUAGGUUUCUGUAUUUUGUUGGGUCUUAUUUGUUAAUUUUUGUGGGUGGGCAGAAGGAGGAAGCUGUUUAUGCUUGCGAGCUGUGCCAAAAACAUGGAAAGGUAAUUGAGUCAAAUGUUGCUGAAAAUGGUGAACAGCAAAAUAUAUUGCCUCAAGUUGAGCUCAAAACCAUUUCCUCAGAUACUAUCCUCUCGCCUCAACUUCAUGGGGAACAGGGUAAGGUCUGUCUCCUUAUCACUUGGAUUGUUUUGGUUCCGUGUUUACCAAGAUAACAUGUAGUACAAUGGUGUAUUUAUCUUGGCUAAUAGUGAACAUCUGUCUUUUUUUAUCCCUGUUACAUCUUUCAUUUUGUUUUCUUCCAAGAACUUCUCAGUCUUAAUGUAAUUGUUCAUCCAAUAAAACAGGUGCUAGACCUCCAAGAAAGCUAAGAAUCUUGUGCUUGCAUGGGUUUCGGCAGAAUGCAUCUGGUUUUAAAGGAAGAACUGCAUCAUUAGCCAAGAAACUUAAAAACAUUGCUGAGCUUGUCUUUGUUGAUGCACCUCAUGAGUUGCCUUUCAUAUACCAGCCAUGUGUCUCGGAACUAGAGUGCAGUGAUGAAUCAUCAUUUUCGUCACAACAAAUUCUCCCCCCAACAGAAACUUGCAGGGGAAAGUUUGCGUGGUUGAUAGCACCUGAUUCCAAAGGAAGGAGUGCAACUGAUUGGAAAAAGGCAGAUAGUCCAUUUGAUCCCCUCCAGUACCUGCAGCAAACUGAAGGGUUUGAUGUAUCAUUAUCGUAUUUAAAGACAGUAUUCUCUCGGGAUGGGCCAUUUGAUGGGAUCCUGGGAUUUUCUCAAGGAGCAGCGAUGGCUGCUUUACUUUGUGCACAAAAAGGGAGGCUAAAAGGUGACAUUGAUUUCAGAUUUGCAAUUUUGUGUUCUGGGUUCGCUCUUCCAUUUGUGGAGAUUGAGAGUGGAUCGAUUAACUGCCCCACUCUCCAUAUAUUCGGAUGUGUUCCAGGCAAGGACAGGCAGAUUGCAAACAAAACAAGCAGAGAACUUGCUUCAUUAUUUGAAGAUGGUUGCUCAGUAAUUAUUGAGCAUGAUUGUGGUCACAUCAUUCCUACUCGGACUCCAUACAUCGAUGAAAUCAAAGGCUUCCUUCAACGCUUUCUGUAAUGCGAUUAAAAAUCCUUUGUUAACCAAUAUGGUUACUUUAAGAUGGCUUCUCAGCUAUUACCUGAUCCGUAUUUGCUUGUUACUCAUUACACCAUUUUUCUUCAAUCACUUGCAAAUACAAUUUAAUUCCAAGAUUUAUCUUUUUAUUAAAAAUAUUUUCGAAGUCCAUUGAAGCCCCUCAACUGAGAAUUUAAGAUUUGUACAACGUACAGACGGAAAUACUUCAUAAAAAACAGAGGAGAACAGUCACUCGUCUGCCUCAUAGAAGACCAGACAACGAACACGCAAGUUCUUCAGAAUGAAAACUGAGAACCAACAAAUCCUAAAUUUAGAUUUUUUGGAAUAAAAACUUUCAGCUUGUGUUUGGAAUUCUGAAGCAUUAUGGUUCUUAUAUCUUUACUUCAGCCAAUUGAGCCAAACAACAAAGCUGAUGGUUUCUAUAUGCAUUUCUCAGGAAGAGAUUUACAGUCAUAUACAUGAAACAAACAAGUAUGAAGCUUUGCCGACCUGGUGUUAGCAUUCGGCAAAUACACACAACUAUUCGUUAUGAACUUGAAAUCUAGAUUUUCGUUAUGACCUGGUCUUGUCAAUUUUUAUUUUCAACACGAAAAAUAGAUGCAUGAGUGUUAUGAUAUAUGCUUAGCAACCUGAAUUCCUUGGUGAUGAUCGGACAGGGGCUGGGAUGAACAUAUGGACCAGGGUAGUUUGGGCCACGUACUCACCUCCAGAAACUCCAAAAAAAAACUUGUUUUACAAUCGUGAGAAUCACCUCAUUGACCCAUUAGAUCAAUGACAAGCCCGAUCACUCCAAGAAUGGGCCAAUUCAUCAUUCAAUAAACCAAGUCAAGCUCAAUUACUUCACUGGCCUAAAAUCACAUUCCAUGGAAAACCUAAUUUAGUAUGAAGUUUUUAUAACCUCAUCAGAUGGCCUCAAAUUCUAUUAUUAGCAGAAAAAAGAAACCAUCCAGGCAUUUCAUUGUUGUGGGAAUUACGUAGAUUAAUAUCAUCUGCUUCCCAUGUUGGAAUGUUAGGGUGUGUAUUUGUUAUAUAUACUUGCAUGUUGUAGCAAACAAAGCUCAUUUAUAGAUAAACAUUUCCAUUUUCCAGCUAUAAUUAUCGGAUUUGGCUUGAGAUUUGACCCAGUUUAGAGCUCGGUUUAUUAGGUUAUUGGAUUAACUCAUGGUCACUAAGUCAUUCCAUAUUACUUCUAAUUCGACACUGUUUUGAAAAUUAAAAAAAUAAAAUUCAUUCGAGUUAACUUAUGGAUCGUGAAUCAAUUAUAUAGUCAUCUAAAUUUUAACUGAAUUAAUAUUUAAAAUAUUCAAAAUAAAACCUAAUCUAGAUUGACGACAAAUUAUUGAAUCGACCAGUCGGUCGGACAGGCCGAGCAGGGAUGGAUAUAUAUGUCCAUGAUAAUUCUAACACCAGCUACGAUCGUCCAUCGAAGCAAGUGUUGUAAUCAAUCAGUGUCAGUACUGUUUCUACCCUUUUUGAGUUGCUUAAGAACUAAGAUGUUGUUGUAAAUAAUAACAGUAAAGGAUGUUAAGAGUUAGCUGAGAACCACGGAGCAUCAUUUUGAGGUCGGAGCUUCACGCCCUCACCGCCCAAGCAGCACCAUCAAAACAACCAUCUAGAUGUACAAAACUACAAAGGCUCCUGGGGAUAAUCCAAGCAUGCAACUAUUUGGGUUGGUAGCUCGUCUAUUUCUGCACAUGGAAAGAAGCUUCAGACUUGUGUUUUCUCUCUUUUCUUUCACUCACGCAAGCAACCGAUCGUGAGCAUGAAGUGUUUUGACUUUUGGGCGUAGUCUGAAUCAAUGAAAUGCUUUCCUUCUUGUGUUUUUUUUAUAUGAUGUAUUGUUGAAGUGUUCUUUAUUAGUAAAAAGAAAUAGAAAUCUCAUUACAUGCCUUGAUCGGUAAAUUCUGAAGAAAGUAGAGUGGAUUAAGUUGAGAAAACCUGCACUAAACCUGAUAUGAACUGAGUUUAAUGAUAUAUUGAUUCGAUAAAAUUAAGUUGAUAUUAAAGAAAAGUUUUUUAAAAUAAAACGAAACUGCUUUAAUAAAAAUAAAUAACCUUAAUUGAUUUUUCCUUCGGUAGGUUGUAACAAUUGAGCCAGGAGUCUACAUCCCAUCCAUUUUUUACGGUCCGGUCCAGAUAGGUACUUCCCUUCCUGCGAAAGCCAUUAGGACACGUCAUGCAAGAAGCUAGUUGCUCUGCAGCUUGCAGAUUACAUUAAUGACAUGUUUGGAAUUGUAAAUCUGAAAAAUAUAUUCAGACUCGUCGUAAUUCAUAUAGAAAAUCCUUGAAUUUUACUAAGCUUUCAGGAGCUGGGAUUAGUUCCUGAGUAGCUCCAUGCCAAAAGAAGUAGAACACACAGUCCUUGCUAAACAACCGCAGUCAUGGAAGAGUUAAGGAAGCUCAAAAUAAUCUGGAAGUUGCUUCGUGUGAUCCACUUAAAAUUGUCAUUGGGACAAGACAAUGUCUUGUUGCCCUAAUUUCUAACUCUAAAAUCGUUUUACGACACAUUGGGCUUUCGCUACAUUGAUGUGAUCGGAGCGCGGAAGCAGAGUUAUACAGAAGCUGCUUCCGGUUGACAAUUCCCUCGAACAGUUGAAGAGUCAAUACAAUUGCUCAUUGCCUCAUCUCACUCCACAGGUAUUUUCAGGCCUGUAUCCUUUUUCACGUUGGAGAGGUAGGACAACGCCAUGGUUCUCAUUCCUGAGGCCUUUUCCCUCGUUUACCUCCUCUAUUCUUGUGAAACUAUAUAUUUAAAAAUAAACUCAGGUUAAUCUAUUAAUUUAUAGGUUGAUUUAUCAACCCGCAACAAGGAUAUUAAACCGUGAACAAUUGAGUCGGGUAUACUAACUAUGGCUACAUUAUUGCCAUUUUGUUCUGGUUAAUUAAUUUUAUUAUGCAAUCUCCAAUAAAUGGCUACGGUCAUGUUCACACCAAGAAGAACUUUAUAUUGACAGAUGCUUAUCGUUUCUUUUCCCCUGAUCGAUGUGAAAGAUGAUACCAUGUUUAGUUUUUUGGGGUGGCCGUAGGAUAAUAAAACAUUCGUUCUUUUUUUUUUUUUUUUUUUUGAGAAGUAUAAUAUUGCAUUAGAAGACGCCAAUAGAUGACGGGAACAUAGAGAUUCUGUUUACAGGACACCUAAACAGAACUAUGCAAUGAAAUGAACAACAUACCAAGAAACGAAAAGAACAAAAUGCAGCUACAAUAUACAUAUUUGAAGCCAAGAAAUCAAAGAAGCAGCUAAAAGAUGCAGAUUUGGAGCCACACCAGGAAGAGAAGCCAAACAGACUUCUACCGAUAUCCAGAUUAGAAGAAAAACAAAAUCUUUCCAUCUUGCAUCUUCUUAUCCAAAACAAAAUACCAGCCAUGGACUCUUCACAGAACAACCUUUGACAACUUAACAAUAAGAGAACCAAGAUACUCGACGCAUUAACAUAGAAAAAACCAUAGCAGGCAAAAGGAAGCCCAUCAACAGAAGCCCCUAGACUUGCAACAUCAAAAUCUGAAACCAAGAAGUUUCACAAAAGACAAAGAUCUGACCAGCUGGAAUUGCUUCUGUAUAGCUAGAUGAUUCUUCUCCUUUCUAGAAAUAGAGUAAUCUGGGAAACAAUCCAGUUUCCUUAGCAUCCGUAACCAGAAUUUAAAGAAAAAAAAAGGCCCAAAUAUCAAGCAGAUUAGAGCCAAGCGACCCAUUCAGAGUUUCUAAACACCCCCUCUUUUUUGCCAUGUGAUCUGCCAUAUGAUUACUCUCAUGAAGAGAAUGAGUGAAUGUGAGUGAACCAAAACAUGAAGCUACUCUCUGAAUAGAGGAGAAAAGAUUAUGAUGCAACCAAGGUCUAUUAUGAGGGUUAUUCAUCCAGCUAAUGACAUUGGUCGAGUCAGAUUCAGCAAUAAUUUGUUUAUGAUGCAGAUGACAGUUAGAAGCUGAUAAUUCAAUAGCUUUGACAACCGCUUUUAGUUCAGCUACAUUAGAGUCUAAAAUCCCAACUGGCAAGGAGAAUAUACCAAGAAGAAUCCCAUGAUGAUUUCGCAAGACUCUGCCUAUACCUGAGGAUCCCGGCUUCCCAAGAGAGGAACCAUCCACAUUCCAUUUGAAGCAAUUAGUCAUAGGGGGAGACCACACAACAACUGCUCUAUGAUUUGAAGAAUUAGUCCAUCGAACUAGCCCUUCUAUUGACCUUAUUAAUUCUGAAGUGGAAUAAGAGAAAUCAGGCUCUAUAGCCUUUAUCCAAAAGCAGAGACGAGUAAUAAUAAGGAUAAACAAAGUAUCAUAAUUCGGGGUUGUUUGCUUGAAUAUUGCAUCAUUACAAAGAAGCCAAAGAGACCAUGUCAUUGAAAAGAACAACAUCAACCAAGCUUUUUUUUGAAAUUUUCCAUAAACCAAGGAAUCCCACUGAGAGAAAAGAGCCGCCAAGUCUUUUGGGCAACACCACGCUAAGCCCCACCAAUUGAUAAUUUUAAACCAAACUAUCCAAUUUUUAUGACAAUGCAGCAAUAUAUGAUCCACCGAUUCUUCCUCAACAAAGCAAAUUGGACAAGCAGCAACUGAGAUGUUCAAAAUUCCUUUUCUGACCAGCAUACUACGAGUAUUAAUUUUUUUUAAUUAUAGCCAUUCAGCAAACAUUCGUUCUUGUUUGGUAAUGAAAUGAAAGAGAGUUCCACCACUGUUGGUCGUGCGAGGCCUCGCCUUUAUGUUACAUAUUUAUGCUGUUCCUCACCUACUUCCUAACAAUGGGCUGAUCUCUCCCCCCACCUCUUCACUGAGUCUGCUUCUUGAUGAACAGACAGUAACAUCGUCUUCUUUUUUCCAUGAAUGUGCUGCAAUUUGUAUUAUCAUCUCUUAUUACUCUUUCUGAUGCGGCCAAGCCUGAUUAGAUUAGGAAUCAGAGAAGAAGAUGAUGGAAAAAUCACAAAAAAAUUUCAAAAACAAGAAGCCUGCUCGUGCUGUUGUUUCUCGAUAAUUUAUUCUGCCAAAAUCUUCUCCAGGAAAAAUAAAAGGAUAAUAAUAGCUUAAACUGUAGCUGUCCGAACGUAAAAGGAAAAAAGGGAUCUUGGUAGGAAAAUAAAAUCAAAAGUCCAAAAUUAAAGGCUAAAACAAUAAAAUUGAUUAAAACAAUAUUUUUAUAGGCUUAAUUUGAAGGAGCCAAUUAAAUUUACUAUCAAAUCUAAGACCUAUUAAUUUUUUCAAGUUGACUUUGAGUAACUUAUUAAAUCUAACACCUAAAAUUUGCUCUAGAUUAAUUCUUGAAUCGGUUUAAAAACUAUAUAUCUAGUAAUGAUCACACGAGGAUGUUAAGAAAUAUUAAACCUAGAUUCUAAAUUUUACCAUGCACUAAAAGCAUCUCUUGAAAUUCAAUCGCUAAACCAUAAGAGAUGAUCUAAAAUUUAGGAAAGCUUUGCCACUACCCAAUUUAACCCAAACCUAUAGCUCAAGAUUAUAGUUUUUAUAAUCCAUUAAGGCUAUGUUUAUUUACUUGUAGUUUUUGUAUUUUCGGUGCAAAAAACAUAAUAAGAUAUUUGAUAACACACCAAACUAUGUUUUUUUUUUUUUUUAUUGUGGGGCUUACUAAAAAAUUAAGUUUGAAACGCAGUUUUUGAGAAACAAUUUUUACAUGUUUUUAUAACUGAGUUUCGUAAAAGAGUUUCGUAAAACUCUGUUUGUUUUUGCGUUUCAAAAGCACUUUUGAAAAAAAUUAUUUUUUUUUUACUUCAAAUUCAUUUUUUUUUGUUUUUAUAUCAUUUUGAUGCGCUGAUAUCAAAAAUAAUUUUUAAAAAAUAAAAACUUAUUAUGAUACAUUUCCAAAUAAAAAACACUUUGAAAAAUAACUGCAAUCACACAACUACCAAAUAUUUUAUACAUAUUUUUUAUUGUAUAUAAACCUCAACCAUAAUUUUUACUAAAUACAUAUCUAAAUAUAACUAAUUAACCACAUAUAACAAUACUUUUUUAAAAUUUAUUUUUAAAAAAUUAUAAUUAUGAAAAUUAUCUAAAAAACAAACGGCACUCUCUAAGUUGUCCUCUGAACAAGGUUUUAGAAAGCAAUCAAAGUAGAUAAACGACAAGACAAAAGAAUCACUUUUGAGUUGGCAAGGUCCAACCUUCAGACAAACAAAGGACCCGACAUCACUAGGUGUGCUGGGUUGUGUUGGACCCUAAACAGUGAAAAAGAACAAACGUUCUUGGCAGUUAGCAAAUUGUUGUUCAAAUAAAAUAAAUAAUCACAACAAAAAAGCAAACAUGUCUUCCUUUAUUUUUGCAAGAAUCAAGUUGACUCUCAACAUCCAGAAAAUUGUUGGGUUUGGAAUUUGUGUUGCAAUGGUUAUUCCACGCACUUGCAUCUCCAUGUUUGCAGGCUGGGGAUAAGGACCUCUCCCUCCACUGUAGCUUCGCCAGUGACCACACAGUCUACCCCCAUUCUGGGGUUCAAGCUAUGGUUAUUCAUCAUUAAUAACAUUAUAAAAAAGAUUAAGUUGUUACAUGAAAUUAAUUAUUUAAUAAAAAAAAUAAGUUGUUAAUGAAAUUUAACUGUUCUUCCUUCAAAGCCGAUCCAUUCAAUUCUCAACGUGAUUCGUUCUGAAGUAACUACUAUAACCUUAUCUUUAGAGUGUGAUUCCAAAGCUGCAGUAGAAAAGGAACCUAUGACCUGAUGAUUCAUAUCCAUUAUGGAAUAACUAUUACCUUAUCUUUAGAGUGUGAUUCCAAAGCCUAACUAUGAAGGUGAAAAUAAAAAAAUCAGAAGUUCAUGUUUUAGUUCAUGACUCUAGGGACUUUGAUUUGGAGUGAUUCUCAAAAAAUAAUUUGAAGGUGAAAAUACAAGCCUCUCAAUUAUGCAUUUGGAACAUUAAAUUUGAGAAUCAAUAGCAAUACAAAGUUAACUAGUUGCUGAAACAGCAAUAAAAUUUUUAAUAAUAGUUUGUCCAUUAUUAUAUAUAUAUAAAGGGCAUCAAAUUUAAACAAUUCUAGUCUCAUGAAAGUAACUUUUAAUUCCAACCUUCAUUUGCAAAUCUUAAUUAAAAAAGAAGGAAUACAGUAUAUUAUGCUUUCAAAAACUACACAAGCCACUCAAUUAUUUUAGCUUUGGAGGCAACGUAAAGAAAACAUCAAAGCUAUUAGCCAGACAUGGGAAACUAGGAAGGAGAAUUUGCUUAGAACUUUGAUAAUAGAACUGACGCAUGCUGACCAAAUUUUGUUCUUAGCCAACCUAACUGGCAACCAAAACCAAACACUUUACAGCAAAGUAGCUUAUUAUACAAAGAUAACACUUGACAACAAAAACUUUUGAUUUGAUAGCAACCCCACAUUUCAAAAAUGGGACUAAGCUAUUCUUUUUACUGUUUAACAGUUUUGAACACAAAUGAACCCGUGCAGCCAACCUUAACCAGUUCAGUUUGUGGCUUAGUGGAGUCAAAUGAUACUGUAGAAUAGUACAGCUGCAUAGUGGAGUAUACACUGCAUGAUAUAAUCUCGAGGAAGGUAGCAUAGUGACACCACAAUUUUGCAGCCAUUUGAUACAUGACAAAAAAAAAUUGAAAAAGAAGGUAGAGGCAGGAAAACUAUUUCCAAAUUCCAGUUCACCGACUCAUAGGGAAUCACCAUUCAUCAUUGUAUGACCACUUCAUCUAAACUCCCAUAGAUGCAAACUUUCCUUAAGAGGAUAUCAAAAUAUUCCUACACAUUAAGCACUCUCCGAUCACCCAUCUCGUUAUGCUAACUUGCACCUGUAUAGCAAAGAUUUUCACAGAUAUUCCUUUGCCUAUUCUCAUAAUUCCUUUCCCAAAUAUUGCAGAAAAUUGAACAAGUUAGUGAAUACUCAGCAUAAUCAAACAAGAACCAUUAAAAGGUAAGAGUCGUUAUUUAAACUACACAUCUGAUAUUAUGUAGAAAGAAUAUUUUGAAAUUAAUACAAAAGAAGUAAAGCAUCAUCAAAAAGAGUCCACAAGAUGAAUAACCUGAAAGAGCCAUAACAUCAAGGAUUCUUUGAGCUAGUAACAAUUCCAUUAAAACUACGACUAAAAGAAUUUAAAUAGAUGUUUACAAUAACCAAUUUCAUCACUCAACUUGCAAUAACUCCACAUUGUUAGAAUCUAAACAAACACAAACAUGCAUGAUUUAAAAAAAAAAAAAAACUCAUGCAAAUUGAGUUGGGGAUUAAGAAUAAUUACUUGUUGACAAGGGAUGCCUAGUUUUUUGAGCUUCAAAGUCCGAGUAACAAGAAGUUUGUGAAAGUCACCAAUUUCAGAUUCAAGCUUGGUUACAUGGGCUUCAACUCCUUUCCCUAUUCCAUUUAGAAACUCUGGAAUUCCAACUUUCACUGCAACAAAAAUAACAAAAAAGUAACAACAUUCUUCAAGCUCAGCCUCUUAUUAAUUGCAAAGAUUAAAAUCAAAGAAAAAGAAACUUACAACAGAAAAUCUAUAAGAACAUCGUUGUUCCAACAAUGAAAAACAAUGCAUCCACCAAAGAUUCAAUCUUUCAAAACUCAAAUCCAUUUUAAUCUCUCACAGAAAAUCACACAAAAAGAAAUAUCCUUUUCCAGUUACUAUUUACAUGAAAAUCAAAUUUUCUUCAUUUUACACAUGCAAAAAAUGAAAACUUUAUGAGCAGCAAAAGGGAGACAUGAAAAUUAAAGCAAAACCCACCAAUCUAUUCCCAUUUUCAAUCCAAGCAACUAAAAUCGAUUAAGAAAUUAAUUCAAGAACAUGAACUUAGUUAACGAUUACACAAAAAGAAAGAGCUCAAACGAAAAUGUUACCGAGGUAAGGAGAGGAGGAUUUGGAGAAGAAUCUAGAGAGCCCAGGUGUAGAAAUCGCUCGUUGUGGUGGGAUUGAAAAGGCCCUUUUAGUGUUUGUGAAUAUUUGCCUCCAUGUCAUUGCCAUCUCCGUAAAGCUGCUGCCUGCUACGGGGUUUUGGGGUUUUAGCAGAGCGGCCACGUUGUCCAGUGUUUUGAUGUGUUGUAAGUUUAGAAACGACUGGUCAUUGAGACAUUAGGAGGUCAUAGACGGUAUGUCAUUUAUGAUAACAAUAUGUGUCAAAUUAUAUUAUAGUCCCCAUGAAGUUUCUAAUAUUAUAAAUUAGUCCUUUUAGUUUCGAAGAAUCUAGAUAACCCAUUUGUAGAGAUUGCCUGUUGUGUUGGAACUGAAAUUAUUCUUUUUGUGAUUAUAUGCAUUCAUGCCAAGUUUUUUUACUAAAAUUAAAAGAUUAAAUAAUAUUUUUUUCUAAAAUAAAAUUGUUAGUUAAGUGUUAUCAGGAUUUAUCCAACUUGCUAACUUCUAAUAAAACUCUACUACUCAAUAUUAAUCCACAACUCUCUUAUAAAUUAUCUUCAUCAAUCAAUCCUUUGCUCUUAUCAAAAUCUUGCUCUCUUUAAUCCCUAAACAAGCUAGGUUUCUUUCGUUGUUUGUUUCUUGAGAAAACUAUGCAGAUAUUUGUGAGAACCCUGAGACUCAAAACCAUCACCCUUGAUGUUGAAAGCUCCGAGACAGUCGAAGACUUGAAAGCAAAAAUCUAUGAGAAGGAAUUAGGCAUCCGUCCUGAGAACCAACGUCUCAUAUAUUGUGGAAAGCAAUUAGAGGAAGGAAAAACCCUGUCAGAUUACAACAUCCAGAAGAACUCCACUAUCCACCAUGUUCUUAGGCUUUGUGGCGGCGGCAAGCAGCAAGCCUUUUAUUGAUCUUUCUUCAUGAUAUGGCAGAGAAAAUUCACAAAGUGCCUCCUUCUUGAUCAGUUUGUUGCUUAUUUAUCAGAGUAAGUCAUGUAGCUUUUCGUUAGUAUUUCGAAUUCUAAGAGACAAAGACAGAUUUUUUGAAGAAGACAUGGUUUUGGAGAUUGAAUUUUCUUUCGUAAACUUUUUUAAGAUUUUAUAUAUUAAUCAGUUAAGUUUCAUGAUUUUGUUAUCUAUGAUGGUUUGCCAUUAUUGUUAUUCCAUGUUAUCAUGUUAUAAUAGAUGACAUAGUAAUUAAAUCGGUUCUAGCUUAUAACCAUGCCCAAGACUUGGGAUAUAUAUCAUUUUAUUUUUUUACAAUGUUUUUUUUUUUUUUAAAUCAAAUCCAGGUGUGUAUUAAUGACUUAGAGAAAACUCAAAAAUCAGAUCUAAAUCAUUAACUAAAUGCGUUAAUGACCUGCAUUUUAGAUUAUUAAUUAAAUGUGAAUUGAUAAUUCGUAAUUUGAAUUUACCUAUCGUAUUAAUAAUAAUAUAAUUAUGAUAUAAAGAUUCUUAACAAUAAUAGCUAUCACAUGGCCCAUAAUAUACAUUUACGAAAUUGAUUUUUUUCUUGGAUGAUUUUUAUAUUUCAAUUUCAUGUUUUUAAUGAAGAUUAUUAACAAUAAUGGCUUUAACAUAUUAAUGUAACGUUUAUAUGACACCCCCCCCCCACUAGUUUAGUUCGAUUCAAUCUAAUUGAUGGUAAUAACAAAAGAUUUAAUCCCUAGUUGCCUUUUUACCGUACUAAUUCUCUACAAAGGUUAGAAAAAUUAUAAAGUUUCUUCUUGAUUACAAGUAGCUGAAACAUUAUAAUACUUCAAGUGCAAUUCCUCGAUCAUAAUCUAGAACAACGACUAUGUAAAACAAAGUUCUUGAAAAAAAAUAUGUGGCAAGAAGUGGUGGUCUUUAUCCUGUUAAAUUACUCCAUCAUUGUCUGCCAAGAAAAUGUACUUUGUCUUUCAUGACAAGGUAUAGUGCAUUCAAAACCCAAGGCUUUGGCAAUCUGUGCUUGAACAUGAUGCUACCUCCAACUUUGAUUUCUUACCGUGCUGACAUGUUGAUGCUUUUUGCCACCUCUCAAAAGUUUUGACAGUGAAAACUUACAACAGGAUUCAUCAACAGGAAUAGAGGGUCCAUGCAUUUAAAACCGCUAGCUGUACGUAGUUGCAUAGAACAUGCUAACUUGAGUAGGUGCUGAUAUAUAUAUAUAUAUAUAUAUAUAUAUAUAUAUAUAUAUAUAUAAUUUUUUAUUAUAAUAUAAUAAUAUAUAUUAUACAUUAAAACAAAAUAAAAACAAAAAAACUCUAAAACAUUCCAAAAAUCCUUUCAAAAAAUUUAUGAUUUUCUUGUGUAUUUUUUUAUCAAUUUUAAUUAAUAUUAGUUUGUAUUUUUAUAAUAUAAAUAUAUAAUGUUUUUUUUUGGACCGGGUACAAACCAACCCAGCUAUUCAGGUUGAGCUAGAACUAAACCGUCCAAGACGGGGGGUUAAAUAUUCCCCCUGUCCCUCCUUCCUGCAUGCAGAAUGAAUUCUGCAUGCGGGCGCGGCUUGAAGCCGAGGGAAAAUAGAAGGGGAGAAGAGAAAGUUGUGGGGGGGGGGGGGGGGAACCUGGUCGUAGCUAGCUGUCACGGUGAUGGUCAUGCCGUGGAAUAUGCCGAGCGGCUGGUGGUAGUUGCGGCGGAGCUGGCAGCGACAGGUGGUGGUUGUUGCCUUUCUCCUCCACUGUGCAAAGACACAGGGAUCUCUUUUUUUUCUUUCCCUCUUCUGCUUUUAUUUCUAUUAUUUCCACCCCCUCGUCUCUUUUCUAUUUCUUCCCUCCUGGUUCUUUUUUUUUCUUUCCUCUUCUCUUCCCCUCCUCUGUUCUCCCAUGUUUUUCUUCCAACUCUCAAAAUUCCCCCCUCCUGUUUUUUCGUCUCUGCCUCUGUCUCAUUUACCUCCCCAAAACCAUUCCUCCUCUAAAACUUCCCCCAGCUUCUGUUAUUUAUAAGUGCAGGGGAGAGGUAGCCACCCUAUCCUGUACAAGCGCAAGGUAAGGUGGCAUGGGGUGGGUUUUGUUUUGUUUUUUUUCCAAACAGUAUAUGAAACGGUGAUGAUGCGGCCAAAAUGAGCCAUUUUAUUUUAAAAAAUAACGCCAAAAUAUAUCAAUUAUAAAUCGAUCCUCAAUUUUUGAUUUGUUUAACUAAGUUUUCAAUUUCAAUUUUUAUUUUAAAAAUUAAUUCAAUUAUAUCCCUGUCAAAUUCUAAUUUCAUCCAUAAUGUUGGCCAAUGUUUUCAUUUUAGUCCUUGGUCAAAGAUUUAUGCAAUUUGACCCUCAAUUGAUCAACAAACUUUCAAUUUCUUCAAUUUAGCAUCUAAUUCGGACAAUUUCAAUUCCUCUAUUUAUGUGUCUUUUCUAGUUUGGUUCUUGGUUUUGGAUUUCUUCAAUUAAGUUCAUAAUUGGCCAUCAAACUUUAAUAUUUAUGCAAUUAAGCCCUUGAUUUGACCAAUUCAACUCUUGAAAAUUAUAUUUUGACCUCUGAACUUUAAUCUCUUCAAAUUAAAGCUCAAAUUCACUUAAAAAUUAAUUUUUCUUGCAAUCAAACCCUUUAUAAGUUCAAUUACACUUUCAGUUAAAUUUGCAAGUGCACAAAUCGUAACAAGUAAUAAAGUGAUGAGUAGAGUAUCGUCCCACGAGGAUUUGUAAAAAUUACUACUAAUUACCAAAGUCUUUUAAAUUAUGAUCUAUUUGAGGAAUCGAAUAAGAUAGUUUAUGAAACAAAAAUUAAUGAUUAAAAACAAACAACCAAUUGAUUAAAUAUUAAUGAAUUCAAUUGUACUGGUUCUAGGAUUUCUGACUUACCGUAACUAUGCCUACAUGAACUUUCUUGAUUAAAUUAAUUACUCCUAAUGUUGAUAAUCAGGUUUUCCUUAUGUAAAUAUUAAUCUCUCUCGAGCAUCAAUAAAUUAUUUCGACAAACAAAUUUCAUAUACUUUACAAAAUUUCUGAACUUGUCGAAAUUUAUUAAGUACUGUAAAACCUGUAACGAUUACAAAAGUUCUUAGGAUAUCUCUAUCCUAUAGAUUUCUUACGGUAUUUCAAACAAUAGCUAAAACAAUUAUCACUUCUCAGUUUCAAAUUGAAUUCUAAAUCAUGCAGAUGUUGGCCAAACACACGCAAGCAUUACACAUAGAAUGAAAUACUCAACAUCUUAAUGUAAUAAUUCAAUCGAAGAAAUUGUUCACAUAAUCAUAGUAAGGUUACAUCAAAAAUCCCAGAAUAAAAGUCUACUCCAUAGUUAAAUUAAAGAGAAACAAACUUGAUACGAUGAACAUCAAUCAAGAGCAGAGAAUUUCCGUCGAAAAGAUAGGUGUCCUCCCGGUUUUUAAUAGUUUUGCCUCUGCCCCUCUUUUGUUCCCCUUGGUGCCGCCUCCUCUCUUUUUCUUUUCUAUGUUGUAGGGUUUCUGUUCGUCCUCUCUCCUCCUUUUUCUUCUUUUAUAUUGUGGCUUUUCUACCCCUGCAGUAAUGAGGAAAGUUUCCUUUUCUGCAUUAAAUUCCUUCCUACUCAGACAUUGCGGGCCCGAUUUGAGGUAGAAAACGUGCGAAUUCAAAGAUCUCUAUUUCUGGAGAAAUUGUAGAGAAUCAAAUUUUCUUUCCAACGAAACUGAUCUUGCAAUUUUUGGACAUCUGAGGGUUGAGAUAAGGGCCAUAAACCGAAACAGUCUUUGCAGUGCAGGAAUUUCGGGCUGGUUCAAUCCUUGUUUUUCAACUCGCUUUUUGGGCUUCGAAACAACAAAACUGAGUUAUAUGCCCUUCAUAUGUUUUGUAGACCUUCAUCUCAGCUAUUUGAAAAUGGUUACGAACAUCCGAACUAAAUUGUAUAGCUUCUUUGCAGCACAUAAUGAAUCACUGUUCAGUUUCACUGCCGGCUCUGCCUGUUCAGUAACCUAAGAUCUGAAAACACAUUAAUUUCCCACGAGGUCAAUAGUUCAAAAAGAGAUUCAAAAUUCUAAUUGUCUUGUGCAACAUAUCCAAAAUAUUUAAAAAUCAAGCAUGAAUAGAAAAUAUACAUGCUAAAAAUUCCCUUAUCAAAUACCCCAAACUUGAAUGUUUGCUUGUCCUCAAGCAAAAAGGAAACCAUGAAAGCAGAGUGCUAAAAGCUCAUGAUAAGUUCAACUUUCACAUUUAAAAGGCUCCAUCAUGCAGCAUUCACUUCUUGACUUAGCUCAUAGACAAUAUUAGAUAAUGAAAAAUUAAACAUUCCUACUCUCUGUGCAGGUCGUUGUACAAACUUCCAACUCAUCCAUGUGUUUGAUGUGUUUAGCAUCCUUGAACCGUGCACAGUCAUUCCGUCAUUUUUUUUUUUGAACAAGGUAGCCAACUUUAGGAGUAAUAACACACUUUUACUUGUCUUUUGACAAGGGUGAUUUUUUUAAAUUUAUCACUUGUCUUUUGACGCGAAUACAAACAUUUGUGAUGAAUGCACCCGGUUACUUAACAGGUCAUAAACUUAAAAUGCUUUGCAUACUCAUAUUUUAAGUUGCCGUUUGACGUAAAAGUAAACAUUUGUGAUGAAUACUCCUAGUUACUAAGCAACUCAAAACAUUGGAGUAGAUACACAUCAUAUACUUAUUCAUUCACUUUCAUACUCAUUAUCACUCCUUGUUUUAAUAUUUUUCUUAGAGGUAAUAACAAGAAAGAACAACACACUUAUCUCUUAUGCAUAACUACACAAUUCACAUGACUGUGCUGGAAAAGUGUACUUCAAUAAUUCAAAAGAAAAUAGUCAUGCUUAAUCCAACUUUAUAAGAUAUCAUCCGCUCUAAGCCAAGAAAUAUCAUGGUUACAUCAUGAAGCACCUAAAAAUAUCAAAGUUGGUCUUAAAUGCAUAUCACUUUCACCCUCUGUUUUCAUGGUUCUAGUGUGCAGUGUCUUUCAUAGUCAAAGCAUGCAAUGUCUCCCCCAAACUUAAAUAUCACAUUGUCCUUAAUGGAAAAAUAAAGAAUAGAAAGGCUUACGAAUACUUCCUUUUGACUAUGUGGGUGUAAGUUUGUUGUUGCUCCUGGUUAUUUGCUUGUAUGAUCAAUUCCUGCACAAAUCAAUGAAACAAAUAAGGGUUUUUUUUUAAAAAAAAUUUCUUUUUCAUUUUUUUUCUUUUUUGGGUUGCCUCCCAAUCAGCGCUUAGUUAUAGUCAUUAGCUUUACUUUUCCAUUUAUCUAAGAUGAAGUGAGAGGGAUAUCAUCCCUUUUCCCAAUAGACUCUCCAUUCCUAUAAUGCUUCAGACGCUGCCCAUUCACUGUGAAUGUUCCCUUUUCAUCAUGGGUGACCUCUACUGCUCCAUAAGGAAAUACCUUCACAACCGUAAAUGGUCCUGACCAUCGUGAUUUGAGCUUACCAGGAAACAAGCGGAGCCGUGAAUUGAAGAGUAAUACUUGUUGACCAGGGACAAACUCCUUGCGUACAAUGUGUUUGUCAUGCCAUGCCUUGGUUCUUUCCUUGUAUAUCUUGGCAUUUUCAUAGGACUCAUUGCGAAAUUCAUCCAUCUCAUUAAGUUGCAGGAUUCUUUUCUCACCUGCAACCUGCAAAUCCAUGUUCAGUUGUUUCAUUGCCCAGUAUGCCUUAUGCUCUAAUUCAACAGGAAUAUGACAUGCUUUUCCAAAAACUAAUCGAUACGGAGACAUUCCCAAUGGUGUUUUGAAUGCUGUCCGAUAUGCCCACAAUGCAUCAUCUAGCUUUCUUGCCCAAUCUUUCCGAGAAUUACUUACUGUUUUCUCUAAGAUUUGCUUCACCUCUCUAUUUGAUACCUCUGUUUGGCCAUUUGUCUGAGGAUGAUAAGCCAAUGCUCUUUUGUGUCUGACUCCAUACUUAGAUAACAGUGCUUCAAACUGCUUGUUGCAAAAAUGAGUUCCUUCAUCACUGAUGAUGGCUCGAGGAGUACCAAAUCUGGUAAAGAUGUUCUUUCGUAGAAAAUUAAGUACCACCUUGCCAUCAUUUGUAGGCGUUGCAAUUGCCUCGAUCCACUUUGAUACAUAAUCCACUGCUAAGAGAAUGUAUUUGUUGUUAUAGGAUGAAGGAAAAGGUCCCAUGAAAUCGAUGCCCCAAACAUCAAAUAAUUCAACUUCUAGGAUAUUCUGCAGUGGCAUUUCAUUUCGUCGAGAUAUAUUCCCAGUAUGCUGACAUCUAUCACAAGCAGUAACAAAAGCAUGAGCAUCUUUAAACAUAGUGGGCCAAUAAAAACCUGACUGCAAAACUUUGGCUGUAGUGCGUUGUGUUCCAAAGUGCCCCCCAUAUUCAAGUGUGUGGCAAUGCUUCAAUAUAUUUGUCAUUUCCUCUUCUGGAACACACCUCCUGAUGACUUGAUCUGCACAAUGCCGAUAGAGUAUCGGCUCCUCCCAGAAGUAGUGUUUGACUUCAGAAAAAAAUUUCUUCUUUUGCUGGUAAGAAAAAUCUGGCGGUAUGAUCUUACCUGCAAGAAAGUUGACAUAAUCUGCAUACCAAGGAAAGAAUUUGUUAGUGGAAAUUGCUAAGAGUCUUUCAUCAGGAAAACAUUCAUUUAUAACCGUGAAUUUAGGCUCCAGCUGCUGUGUCAAUUCCAGCCUUGAAAGAUGAUCUGCCACCACGUUCUCAGUCCCCUUUUUAUCUUUAAUUUCUACAUCAAAUUCUUGCAGUAAUAGGAUCCAACGGAUGAGUCUAGGCUUGGCAUCUUUCUUAGACACUAGGUGUCUAAUUGCAGCAUGAUCAGUAUACACCAGUACUUUGUUUCCCAUCAGGUAAGGCCGAAACUUAUCAAAUGCAUAGACCACAACAAGCAACUCUUUCUCGGUUGUGGCAUAAUUGAGCUGGGCAUCGUUGAGUGUUCUGCUGGCAUAGUAUAUGGUGUGAAACACAUUAUUUUUCCGUUGCCCCAGUACUGCUCCAACUGCAUAAUCACUUGCAUCACACAUAAGCUCAAAUGGUUUCUCCCAAUCCGGUGCAAUUACAAUAGGAGCUGUCACUAACUUCUUUUUCAACAGCAUAAAGGUUGUCUUGCAUUCCUCAUCAAACUGAAACUUUGUGUCUUUUAGCAGCAGACUGCAUAGCGGUUUGGAUAUUUUAGAGAAGUCUUUGAUGAACCUCCUAUAAAAUCCCGCAUGACCAAGGAAACUCCUAACCCCUUUUACUGUAGUUGGCGGCAGAAGCUUGUCUAUUGCCUCAAUUUUAGCUCUGUCUACCUCUAUUCCUUUUUCUGAAAUCCGGUGCCCCAAUACUAUACCUUCCUUUACCAUGAAGUGACAUUUUUCCCAGUUCAAUAUCAAGUUUGUCUUUUCACAACGCUCCAAAACCAACGCCAACUUUGCAAGGCAGUCAUCAAAAGAAGUUCCAAAUACAGAAAAGUCAUCCAUGAAGAUCUCAAUGAUUUGCUCCACCAUAUCUGAAAAAAUAGCCAUCAUGCACCUCUGAAAGGUAGCUGGUGCAUUACACAACCCAAAAGGCAUUCUUCUGAAAGCAAAAGUACCAUAAGGGCAGGUGAAAGUGGUCUUCUCUGGUCCUCAGGUGCGAUGGCUAUUUGGUUGUAUCCUGAAUAGCCAUCUAGGAAACAGUAGUAUUCAUGCCCAGCUAACCUGUCCAGCAUCUGAUCAAUGAAUGGUAGGGGGAAGUGAUCUUUGCGAGUUGCCUUGUUGAGCUUUCGAUAAUCCAUGCAAAUCCUCCAUCCAGUUACCGGUCUAGUAGGUAUCAAGUUGUUGUUUGCAUCCUUUACCACUGUCAUUCCUCCUUUCUUUGGCACAACUUGAACUGGGCUCACCCAUGAGCUGUCAGAGAUUGGAUAAAUAACACCAGCAUCUAACCAUUUCAGAACUUCUUUUCGGACUACCUCUUUCAUGGUCGGGUUAAGCCUUCUCUGAUGUUCUACUGUUGGCUUGACUUCAUCUUCCAACAGAAUUUUAUGCAUGCAAAUAGAGGGACUGAUGCCUUUGAUAUCUGCUAAUACCCACCCGAGAGCUGCCUUAUGUUUUCUCAACACCCUCAACAAUUUUUCUUCCUCUGUUUUGGUCAGCUUUGCAGAGAUUAUCACAGGAUAGGUGGAAGCUUCUCCAAGAUAUGCAUACCGAAGGUGUUCUGGCAGAGGUUGCAAUUCCAGAACCGGUGCUUGUUCACUGGUUGAUUUUAUUUUUGGUGCUGGUUGUCCCAAAUCUUCAAAGUAUCUUUUGUGGUUAGGUUCAAAAGAGUCCAUCCAACAUGAAUAUUCUGCUAUUUCAGCAUCCUCUUCCAGUACAUUAUUUACCAAACAUGCUUCCAACGGGUCGGUUGGAAGCUUAACUUUGUUGUUAAUUAAGGAGUCCACCACUUGAAUGCUGAAGCAACUCUCCCCUAUAUCUGGUUGUUUGAUGGCUUUGAACACAUUGAAAAUCACCUCCUCUUCAUUCACCCUUAACCGCAGCUCCCCUUUCUUCACAUCAAUUAACGCACCUCUAGUGGCCAAGAAUGGCCGGCCAAGCAAGAUAGGAAUCUCAUUAUCCUUCUCCAUAUCCAGUAUGAUAAAGUAUGCUAGAAAGAUGAACUUGCCCACUUUCACCAGUACAUCUUCAAUUAUUCCCCUUGGAUGCUUCAAUGACCUGUCAGCUAGCUGUAGUGUUACUGUGGUUGGCCUUGUUUCACCUAAACCAAGCUUCUUAAAAAUAGAUAAAGGCAUGAGAUUAAUACUUGCACCUAAAUCACAUAAAGCUUUUUCAAAUAUAGAAUUUCCAAUGGAACAUGGUAUAGUAAAACUCCCUGGAUCCUUAAGUUUAGGAGGCAGUUUCUUCUGCAAAAUAGCACUGCAUUCCUCAGUAAGAGCGACAGUCUCAUAUUCCUCUAGCUUUCUUUUGUUUGAGAGGAUGUCCUUCAGAAAUUUCACAUAGCUUGGCAUUUGUUCAAGAGCAUCUGCAAAAGGAAUGUUAAUCUGCAAUUUUUUAAACACAUCAAGAAAUUUAGAAAAUUGCUUAUCAAGUUUAUUCUUCUUGAGACGUUGUGGAAAUGGAAUUCUAUGCAUUAUUUCUUGCAUUGGUUCUGGCAGAGGAUCAGAUUUUUUCAUAUUCUGAAUUGGUUCGGCCAUUUGCUCCUCUACUUCUUUUUUUGCACUCUUGUUUCCAGCAGUCUGCUCCACUUCUUUUCCACUUCUUAAAGUUAUGGCCUUGCAUUGCUCCUUAGGAUUAAUUUCAGUUGUGCUUGGUAGAUUUCCUUGUUGUCUACCCGUGAGCAUGUUGGCUAACUGACCAACCUGAACCUCCAAAUUUCGAAUUGAGGCUGCUUGGUUCUGCAGAUUGGUAUUUGUUUCAGUCAUGAAUCUGCUGGUGUUGUUUGCUAAUUGUGUCAUAGCUUCUUCAAGUUUUGAUUUCUCUUUCAUGUGCUCACUUGAAGAUGGCAUGGCUGGAUUCUUCAUGACAGUUUGAUUGUUCCACGAGAAAUUAGGAUGAUUUCUCCAACCGGGAUUAUAUGUUGCACUGUAGGGGUUGUUCUGCCGGCUGUAUUUGACACAAAAUGAGCAUGCUCUGCUUGAGAGAAUGGGUUCCCAACCUGACACUCUUCACUGUGUGAUUUCCAUGCAAAAAUCACACGUUGUAUGGAUGGCAUUUGCUGACAGUUGAGUGGUUUUCAGUUGCUGAGUUAGUGAAUGGACUUGAGCUGUUAAUGUCGUGAUUGCAUCAAUUUCGUGCACCCCAACAGUCUUUUCUGUAUGCUUCUUUCAUUUGGCCAUUGGUAAUUGUUCAUAGCCAUUUCUUCCAAUAAGUUGUAAGCAUCAUCCUGUGACUUACUCAUAAAAGCUCCUCCUGAAGCUGCAUCAAUUAGUGUUCUUGUGGAGGCAUUCAAUCCAUUGUAAAAAUUUGCACCUGCAUCCACUUCGGUAGUCCAUGGUGGGGGCAUCGCCUGAGCAAAUCCUUGUAUCUCUCCCAUGCCUCAUACAAUGGUUCACUCUCAAGUUGGGCGAAGUUAGCUAUCUCAAUGCAUUUUUGCUGUCUUGGCUGGUGGAAAAAAUUUAGCAAGGAAUUUCUGAGCUAAAUCUUCCCAGCUGAUAACUGAAUCUGCAGGCAUGGAGUUUAACCAGUUCUUCGCUCUAUCUCGCAAGAAAAUGGAAACAAUCUGAGGCGAAUGGCAUCAUCAGUAACGCCAUUAUGCUUAAAUGUGUCGCAAAUUUCCAAGAAACUUGCAAUAUGGGCGUUAGGAUCAUCACUUGGCAACCCAUAAAACUGAACUGAGGUCUGAAUCAUCUGCAGUAUUGCUGGUUUGAUCUCAAAAUUAUUGGCCUCAAUCCUUGGUUUCCUGAUAACAGAACGGAUUCCUGUCACCUGUGGGAGAGCAAAAUCUCUCAAUGCCCGUGUAUCUUGCUCAGGAUUUUCAUUGUCUGCCAUGAUGCUGAACUGUUUGAGUCUCUCGUGUUUUCUUUCUUAAUCCCCUUGCAGUUCUCUCAAUCUCAGGAUUAUAAGGUAGCAACGGCUGUUUUUGUUGCUUCUCAUGCACUAGACACACACCUAAAGAGCUGAAGACAAAAGGCAAUCAAAUUAGAUCAAAUUUAAUUUAUAUUGAUAUUAUUAGUAAUUUUAUCUAAAAUCCCCGGCAACGGCGCCAAAAACUUGUUGGUUAAUUUGCAAGUGCACAAAUCGUAACAAGUAAUAAAGUGAUGAGUAGAGUAUCGUCCCACGAGGAUUUGUAAAAAUUACUACUAAUUACCAAAGUCUUUUAAAUUAUGAUCUAUUUGAGGAAUCGAAUAAGAUAGUUUAUGAAACAAAAAUUAAUGAUUAAAACAAACAACCAAUUGAUUAAAUAUUAAUGAAUUCAAUUGUACUGGUUCUAGGAUUUCUGACUUACCGUAACUAUGCCUAUGUGAACUUUCUCGAUUAAAUUAAUUACUCCUAAUGUUGAUAAUCAGGUUUUCUUAUGUAAAUAUUAAUCUCUCUCGAGCAUCAAUAAAUUAUUUCGACAAACAAAUUUCAUAUACUCUACGAAAGUUCUGAACUUGUCGAAAUUUAUUAAGUACUGUAAAACCUGUAACGAUUACAAAAGUUCUUAGGAUAUCUCUAUCCUAUAGAUUUCUUAACGGUAUUUCAAACAAUAGCUAAAACAAUUAUCACUUCUCAGUUUCAAAUUGAAUUCUAAAUCAUGCAGAUGUUGGCCAAACACACGCAAGCAUUACACAUAGAAUGAAAUACUCAACAUCUUAAUGUAAUAAUUCAAUCGAAGAAAUUGUUCACAUAAUCAUAGUAAGGUUACAUCAAAAAUCCCAGAAUAAAAGUCUACUCCAUAGUUAAAUUAAAGAGAAACAAACUUGAUACGAUGAACAUCACUCAAAAGCAGAGAAUUUCCGUCGAAAAGAUAGGUGUCCUCCGGUUUUUCAAUAGUUUUGCCUCUGCCCCUCUUUUGUUCCCUUGGUGCCGCCUCUCCUCUUUUUCUUUUCUAUGUUGUAGGGUUUCUGUUCGUCCUCUCUCCCCUUUUUCUUCUUUUAUAUUGUGGCUUUUCUACCCCUGCAGUAAUGAGGAAAGUUUCCUUUCUGCAUUAAAUUCCUUCCUACUCAGACAUUGCGGGCCCGAUUUGAGGUAGAAAACGUGCGAAUUAAAGAUCUCUAUUUCUGGAGAAAUUGUAGAGAAUCAAAUUUUCUUUCCAACAAAACUGAUCUUGCAAUUUUUGGACGUCUGAGUUGAGAUAAGGGCCAUAAACCGAACAGUCUUUGCAGUGCAGGAAUUUCGGGCUGGUUCAAUCCUUGUUUUUCAACUCGCUUUUUGGGCUUCGAAACAACAAAACUGAGUUAUAUGCCCUUCAUAUGUUUUGUAGACCUUCAUCUCAGCUAUUUGAAAAUGGUUACGAACAUCCGAAACUAAAUUGUAUAGUUUCUUUGCAGCACAUAAUGAAUCACUGUUCAGUUUCACUGCCCGGCUCUGCCUGUUCAGUAACCUAAGAUCUGAAAACACAUUAAUUUCCCACGAGGUCAAUAGUUCAAAAAGAGAUUCAAAAUUCUAAUUGUCUUGUGCAACACAUCCAAAAUAUUUAAAAAUCAAGCAUGAAUAGCAUAAAUUAUACAUGCUAAAAAUUCCCUUAUCAUUUUUUAUUCCACAAAAUCAAAUCAAUUGUUCAGAACACAAUAAGUAUGAAGAAAAAGCAAAGUAGUUUACACAGCAAGUUGAAGGAUUUGACUAGUGACACUGAUUGUGGAUCCAAAGUUCAAAAUAAAACAAAUCCCGAUCCAGAGUUCGAGUAAACAGAUCACCAAGUUAAUAUGUCAAUCAAUGGCAGAUCCAAUGUAUGCGUGCGUCGUAGCAUUCCGAAGGAUUCAAAUUGUAAAUGAAGGCCUACAAUUUGUAUAUUUUUCAAUAGGUAACCAAACACUAGUAUGAAUGCGUUAAGAGAGUUGUUAGAAAAUCAAAUGCUCGAACAAAUGACUUUCCAAGUCUAUGAAGAAAAAAGCAAAGUAACUUACAGAAAAAGUUGGAGAAACACCCCGUUCCACAAGCUUGAAGAAAAACAUUAACAGACUAAUGAAAAUAAUUAUGGGGCCCAAGAUCAAAUCAAUUGCUCAAACAAUAAUCAUAAUUUAUUUUAAUUUUGUUAAAUUUUUAUGUUAAAAAAUUUAUGUUGAAAAAUAAUUUUUAAUAUUAAAAAUAAACGGGGUUUGUUUUUUAUUUAACUUUAAAUAUAUCAAUUAAUCAUGUUUUAGAUAAUGUUUUCAUCAAAUAAUUCAAUAUUACAAGAUUAAGCUUAGUUAAUCAUGUAAGAAACCCAUGCAUGCUUCCAAUCUAUAUAUAUAUAUAUAUAUAUAUAUAUUAUAGGAUGAUGUUACAAGUACUGAGGGAGUAUUGUUACAGCUGUUAUGGUCGCUGUUAGUGUAGAUUAAUUAUGGUAGCUGGCAGAUGCAUGGACACGUGUUAGAAAUCAUUUCACUCCGUUAACAAAAAUUAAGGAAGUGUUAGUGCAGAUUACUUAGGGUAGGCGAUAUUGAUAUUUCAAAAGAGAUAUUCUAAAUAUUUCACAAGAAAUAAAAGAGUAUAACUAAAAUUAGAUAAUGAAAUGAAUUAAAAAAAUGAAAGAAAUUUACCUCAUAAAACAAAAAAAGAGAAAUUUACAUGGGAGUGAGAGAGGUAUGCAAUAACAUAUCAAAAUGAAAAGAAGCUUUAUGUUAAUUAAUGAAAGACAAAAAAGAAUUUUUUUUUGAGUAAAUGAGCUGUACGUAUGUAUUAUAUAUUAUAUUAAAAUAUAAUUUAACAAUAACUUUUCACUUUUUUCACUUUUUCGUGUAUCAAACUCUCAUUAACCUAUUAUAUUAAUAUUAUAAUAUUAAAAAUAUAUUUUCAAAAACUUUAAGGGGCAAUUGCUCCUUUUGUACUUACGUGGCUCCACCACUGAGUGCGGAUUAUUUAGGGUAGGCGAUAUUGAUAUUUCAAAAGAGAUAUUCUAAAUAUUUCACAAGAAAUAAAAAUGAGUAGGUGCAGUAAGAAGAAAUUAUUGAUAAUACAAAUCAUUUUCUAAUCUCUUCUGCCAUGUAUUUCAUAAGAUCAAAUCAAUUGUUCAUAUACAGCACCUGACUUCCCAAGUCUAUGAAGAAAAGCAAAGCAGUAAACAAGAAGUUGAAAUUGAUAUCCUUUAAUCCAACACCACAAACCGAGCGAUCUGUGCCGUGAAGACUCUCACAUUCAAUGAAGCCCAAGUCUCCCUUGGAUAAUUCAGCACAGAAAAUUCAAUGAUACAGAUAAUUGUCACUGUCCGAUCAAAUGCAUGAAGAGGACAAAAUUGUCUAUAAGAGACAGCUUGCUUGCUUUUGUAUUUUGUCAAGUAGGAGCGUUAAUAUGAAGAUGAGGCAAAUGUGGAUGUGGAUGCUGCUCAUGGCACUGGCCUUCGUCAACGAGCGGUGCCAUUGUUGUCUAGAGGAAGAGAGAAUUAGUCUCUUAGAGAUAAAAGCUGGGUUCAGUCAUGCACGUGCAGCUGUGUCCUAUGAUCCGCUAGAAGGUUGGGAUAAAGAGCAUUUUAAUUGCUGUAACUGGCAUAGGGUUGUGUGUGACAACACCACAAACCGAGUGAUCGAACUACAUCUUUAUAGCGUAAAUUAUGUAGUUUCUCGACUCAAUGCAUUCGAAGACUUCGAUCUCAAUGCGUCUUUGUUUCUGCCUUUCAAAGAACUGGAGAUUCUCGACUUAGGCUUCAACCAAUUAGUUGGUGGCUUAAAGAACCAAGGUUCUAUGCUUUCAGUUUUUUCUUUUAGUUAACACAUAAAGUUAAUUAUAUUUCAAGUAACUUUACAUUGAAUCUUUAUGGAUAUAGGGAUGAUUCAUAUAUAUAUAUAUAUAUAUAUAUAUAUAUAUAUAUAUAUAUAUAUAUGUCUGUCAUGUUAAUUUCUUUGCUCUAACAAUCUUCUUUCAGGUUUUCAAGUGCUUGCUUCAGGGUUGAGGAAUUUGAAGAAACUUGAUCUGACAGGCAAUAGAUUUAACGAUAGCAUUUUAUCAUCUCUCAGUGGAUUUUCAACUCUCAAAUCUCUAGAUCUAUCAAGCAAUAGGUUCACAGGAUCAAUUGGUCUCAAUGGUAAAGUUGUAAAUCAUUCCUACCUCAGAUGACAUUACCUAGUAAGGUUUAAUAAUUACAUGUGUAUUAACUCUUAAGUUGUUUGGAUGAAACCUUAAAAAGGCUUUAUAUAAUUAAUUCUUUAACGAGUGAAAUAAUUUGAAACUUACAUAUACACGCUAUUAACUUUUGUUCAAUUUUUUUUUUAAUUUUUUUUAAUAAAUGAAGGUGAAUAAUUAAUUAAUUAAAUUUUAAUAUUAUAUUAAAAUUAUUUGAAUUUAAAAACUUAAGCUAUGUCUUGUAUAUUAACUCUAACAUUAUAAGUUUAUUUAAUUAUUGUAAAUCAUUAUUAUUGAUUGUUCUCUCUAUCACAGGUUUAAGGAAUUAUUUGAAUUUAAAAACUUAAGCUAUGUCUUGUAUAUUAACUCUAACAUUAUAAGUUUAUUUAAUUAUUGUAAAUCAUUAUUAUUGAUUGUUCUCUCUAUCACAGGUUUAAGGAAUUUAGAAAUCUUGAAUCUGGUAAACACUGACUUCAAGGAAAGCAUUUUGAUAGAGUCAUUGGGAGCGUUGCCAUCCCUCAAGACCUUAUAUGCCGGUGAUAGUAAUUUUAAACACUUUGGGAAAGGUUAGUGACAGUUUAAUUUGGUGCCUAAAACAAUAUGAUAUUUAUAAUUUAUUGAUGGAUUUAUCUGAUCUGUACCACAGGGUUGUGGAAUUCGUCUAGCCUUGAAAAAGUGUUCCUCAAUUAUUCUUCUCUCCCAGCAAACUUUUUUAGGAACAUUGGACCCUUGUCUACUCUUAAAGUACUAUCUUUGACCGGAGUUGACUUCAAUAGCACCCUAUUUGAUCAAGGUAAUUCUACAAAUGAACAAUUAUAAGAGUAUUGAAAUCCAAAUAACAGUUGUUCACUAGAAGUUUAUAGAAAAGUAUAAAAUCUAGAGUUUCUCAAUCUCUAAAUUUUCUCAGUUUUAAAUUUAGGGUAGUUGGCAGAUGCAUGAACACGUGUUAGAAGUUGUUAAGAGAUGGUUAGAGUUAGUUAACAAUAUAAUAAAUCGUGUAAUAUAUGUGGGGAAGUAUAUAUAUAAUGGUAGGAGGUUUACGCACGCAAGAAAUAAUAGAAUCAUUCCUCUGUUUUUCCUUCUGCUUAACAGAUGAUUAUAUUACAAUACACAAAAUGGAUACUUCCACUUUAUAUGUGAUACGUUAGAAUUCAUGAAUAUUUGGUUAUUAAAAUAUUAAUAUAAUGUCAAAAAAUUAACACACAAUUUAUAUAUUGAUAUAUGUGAUACUUCUUAAUUUCUUUGCUUUCGACAAAUUUCUUUCAGGUUUUCAAGUGCUAGCUUCAAGGUUGAGGAAUUUGGAGGAACUUGAUCUAAGUUACAAUCAAUUUAACGACAGUAUUUUAUCAUCUCUCAGUGUAUUUUCAACUCUCAAAUCUCUAGAUCUAUCAAGCAAUAGGUUCACAGGAUCAACUGGUCUUAAUGGUAAAGUUGUAAUCAUUCCUCCCUCGGAUGGCAUUCCUUAGUGAGGCUUAAUUUAUUCUUUAGUGAAUUUGUCUAAUAAAUAGAUGUGUAUUAACCAUUAACUUUUGUUCAAUUUUUAAAAUUUUAUUAAAGGAUCAACUAGUUAGAAUUUAUAUGUGAUAUGUUAGAAUUCAUGAAUAUUUGGUUAUUAAAAUAUUGAUAUAAUGUCAAAAAAUUAACACACAAUUUAUAUAUUGAUAUAUGUGAUACUUCUUAAUUUCUUUGCUUUCGAUAAAUUUCUUUCAGGUUUUCAAGUGCUAGCUUCAGGGUUGAGGAAUUUGGAGGAACUUGAUCUAAGUUACAAUCAAUUUAACGAUAGUAUUUUAUCAUCUCUCAGUGUAUUUUCAACUCUCAAAUCUCUAGAUCUAUCAGGCAAUAGGUUCACAGGAUCAACUGGUCUUAAUGGUAAAGUUGUAAAUCAUUCCUCCCUCGGAUGACAUUCCUUAGUGAGACUUAAUUUAUUCUUUAGUGAAUUUGUCUAAUAAAUAGAUGUGUAUUAACCAUUAACUUUUGUUCAAUUUUUAAAAUUUUAUUAAAGGAUCAACUAGUUAGAAUUUAUAUGUGAUAUGUUAGAAUUCAUGAAUAUUUGGUUAUUAAAAUAUUGAUAUAAUAUCAAAAAAUUAACACAUAAAUUUAUAUUUCAUUGAAUAUAUAUAUGUUAAUUUCUUUGCUUCCAACAAUUUUCUUUCAGGUUUUCAAGUGCUAGCUUCAGGGUUGAGGAAUUUGGAGAAACUUGGUCUGAAUUAUAAUAAAGAUUUGAACGACGGAAUUUUUUCAUCUCUCAGUGGUUUUUCAUCUCUCAAAUCUCUAGAUCUAUCAGGCAAUAGGUUCACAGGAUCAACUGGUCUCAAUGGUAAAGUUGUAAAUCAUUCCUACCUCAGAUGACAUUCCCUAGUAAGAUUUAAUAAUUACAUGUGUAUUAACCCUUAAGUUGUUUGGAUGAAACCUUAAAAAGGCUUUAUAUAAUUAAUUUUUUAACGAGUGAAAUAAUUUGAAACUUACAUAUACACGCUAUUAACUUUUUUUCAAUUUUUUAAUUUUUUUUUUAAGUAAAUGAAGGUGAACAUUUAAUUAAUAAAAUUUUAAUAUUAUAUUAAAAAUUAUUUUAAUUUAAAAAAUUAAGCUAUGUCUUGUAUAUUAACUCUAACAUUAUAAAUUAUUUAAUUAUUGUAAAUCAUUAUUAUUGAUUGUUCUCUCUAUCACAGGUUUAAGGAAUUUAGAAAUCUUGAAUCUGGCAUACACUGACUUCAACGAAAGCAUUUUGUUGGGAGCGUUGCCAUCCCUCAAGACCUUAUAUGCCAGUGGUAGUAAAUUUAAACACUUUGGGAAAGGUCAGUGAUAGUUUAAUUUGGUGCCUAAAACAAUAUGAUAUUUAUAAUAUAUUGAUGGAUUUAUUUGAUCUAUGCCACAGGGUUGUGGAAUUCGACUAGCCUUGAAGAAGUGUUACUCGAUGAUUCUUCUCUCCCAUCAAGCUUUCUUCAAAACAUUGGACCCUUGUCUACUCUUACAGUCUUAUCAUUGAUCGGAGUUGACUUUAAUAGCACCCUACCUGCGGAAGGUAAUUCAUUAGAUAUUUUUGUUAUAUCUAUGUUUUAUUAAACUAGAAAUUUACUUCUAAUGUUACGUAUAAAAAAGGACAAAAUCUAGAGUUUCUCAAUCUCUAAAAUUUCUCAGUCUUAAAUUUAGAGUAGCUGGCAGAUGCAUGGACACGUGUUAGAAGUUGUUAAGAGUCGGGUAGAGUUAGUUAACAAUAUAAUAAAUCAUGUAAUGCAUGUGAGGAAGAGUGUAUAUAAUGGUAGGAGGAUUAAGCACGCAAGAAAUAACAGAAUCAUUCCUCUGUUUUCCUUCUGCUUAAUAGAUGAUUAUAUUACAAUACACAAAAUAGAUACUUCCACUCUAUCCUUCUUGACCAAAAAUGCAUAAAAACCAUCCCUCAAGACACAAAAUGGAUACUAAUUUAAGUCAAUAUUGAAAGGAAUGGAUAAUGUGUACCACCACUAUUUUCAUCGUACCUUUUCUUCUUUCUUUUUCACAUGGACUUUCUUCAAUUCGAGAUAUUAUUGAUAUAUUACAUAAUUGAUAUAUUACAUAUGGAUAUAUUCUACAGGCUGGUGUGAGCUGAAGAAUCUUGAACAACUAUUUCUCUUACAAAACAAUCUAAAGGGCGUACUCCCUCCUUGUUUUGGAAAUCUAUCAUUUCUACAAUUCUUGGAUUUAUCUGACAAUCAAUUGGAGGGAAAUAUUGCCUCUAGUCACCUUUCCCAUCUUACGCAACUUGAAUACUUCUCAGUUUCAAAUAACUACUUUCAAGUUCCAAUAACAUUUGGUUCAUUUAUGAACCUCUCCAACCUCAAGUUCAUUGCAUGCGAUAACAAUGAGCUAAUACCUGUACCCAGUUUUCAGCCUUCAGCUCCCAAGUUCCAGCUUCUUUACUUCAGUGCUUCAAACUGUACUUCAAAACCACUCAAGGCUGGAUUUCCAAACUUCCUGCAUAGCCAACAUGAUUUGGUGUUUGUUGAUCUAUCCCACAACAAAUUCGUUGGAGAACCUUUCCCAUCUUGGCUGUUUGAGAAUAAUAGAAAGUUAAAUCGACUAUAUUUGAGAGACACCUCAUCUAUAGGUCCUUUGCAGCUGCCACAACAUCCAACACCCAACCUUCAGACAGUAGAUAUGUCUGGCAACAACAUACAUGGUCAAGUUGCAAGGAACAUAUGUUUGAUUUUUCCACGUUUGAAGAACUUCAUGAUGGCUAACAACAGCCUCACAGGUUGCAUUCCUCCUUGUUUUGGGAAUAUGAGCUCUCUCAAAUACUUGGAUCUUUCCAACAAUCAGAUGUCUUGUGAACUGCUUGAGCAUAAUUUUCCAACAGUAGGCUCCUCGUUGUCGUUUUUGAAGCUGUCCAACAACAACUUCAGUGGGCGAUUACCACCAUCUGUGUUCAACAUGACUCACCUAGACUACCUCUUUCUCGAUGGAAACAAAUUUGUAGGACAAGUAUCAGGUACUUUGUCUCUUGAAUCAUCACUUUUCUGGUUGGAUAUCAGUAACAAUCUUUUGUCAGGCAUGCUUCCAAGGGGAAUUGGAAACUCUUCAAUAAACCAAUUUGCUCAAGCAAUUGAUUUGUCCAGAAAUCAGUUUGAAGGUACCAUUCCAAUAGAAUAUUUCAAUUCUUAUGGGAUUGAAUUUUUAGAUCUUUCUGAAAACAAUCUGUCUGGGACAUUACCGUUGGGCUUCAAUGCACCAUAUUUACGCUAUGUCCACCUUUAUAGAAAUCAAUUGAGCGGUCCACUGCCAAAAGCUUUUUAUAAUAGCUCUCAUUUGGUGACAUUAGAUCUCGGCGAUAACAACUUAACUGGGCCCAUUCCAAAUUGGAUUGAUAGCCUUUCAGAAUUGAGCAUUUUUGUUCUCAAAUCUAAUCAAUUCAAUGGGAUACUUCCUCAUCAGUUAUGCUUGUUAAGGAAAUUAAGCAUAUUGGAUCUUUCACAAAAUAACUUUUCUGGUCCGUUACCCUCAUGUUUGAGCAAUUUAAAUUUUACAGCAUCAGAUGAAAAAACUUUGGUUGUCACUGAUACGGAGUCAGAAAAUGAUGGAAGCCGGAAAGAAAUAUUUGCAUCCAUAGGGGGAAGAGACUUGAAGAACAAAGGUUUUUAUCUUAAUGACAAAGUUUUGUUGCCAGAGAUCAGUGUAAAUAUAUCUGUAGAGCUUACAGCAAAGAAAAAUUUCUACACUUACGAAGGUGAUAUCCUUCGUUACAUGUCUGCUGUGGAUCUCUCUUGUAACAGAUUCACUGGAGAAAUCCCGACAGAAUGGCGAAAAUUAAGUGGGAUAUUUGCUCUAAAUCUGUCACAAAAUAAUCUCACUGGAUUGAUCCCUCCAUCUUUCUCCAAUCUGAAGCAGAUAGAGAGCUUGGAUCUUUCUCACAACAACUUGAAUGGGAGAAUUCCAGAACAACUCGUUGAACUGAAAUUUCUAGAAGUUUUCAACGUGUCGUACAAUAAUUUGUCAGGAAGAACACCGGAGAUGAAAUAUCAAUUUUCUACCUUUGAUGAUAGCAGUUAUAAAGGGAAUCCUCUUCUUUGUGGACCUCCAUUGCAAAACAGUUGCGACAAAACAGAAUCACCAUCAGCGAGAGUGCCUAACGAUUUCAAUGGAGAUAGUGGCUUUAUAGACAUGGACAGUUUCUAUGCCAGCUUUGGUGUGUUUUACAUAAUUGUGGUGUUGACAAUUGUAGCAGUACUGUGCGUAAAUCCGCAUUGGCGACGCAGGUGGUUUUACUUCAUUGAAGAAUGCAUCGACACUUGCUACUGCUUUUUGGCUAUAAACUUUCGCAAGUUGUCCAGAUUCAAAGGUGAUUGGGUCUUAUCAUGAGCGUGUGGGCUGCUUUCUGAAUUUGUUGUAAUCCUCUGUGGGGAAGCAUUCGCAUUCCAAAUCAAGGGUUGCUCACUGCAUGUUUAGCAAUUUGCCUGUGAGAAGUGUUCUGUCGAAUUGUCUGGUUCUUGUUGCUUAGCCUUUCUGUUUUGACGUGACUUGUGUUUGUCCUUGUGCUUGUAUCCAUAUUAGUUUGUUUCUUUGUUAUGUCUUAAUUAUGUGGCGUUUUUCUCUUAGAUUAGGAGAAUGAGCAACCAACCGAUAUUUCUUGGCUUCUUGUGAUUUCUAUAUCCCUAAUAAUAUGGAAUUUAUUCACAAUUGUAAUAGUUUACAGUAUCAAAUUUUCUCAAUUAAAAAAAUAAUUGAUAGAACCAAAGGAUCAUACCAGCAAGGUGGAAUGUGGUAAAGCAAAAAUUUUGUUUGCUGAAAGAACAUAACUCUAAACUUAAAACAAGGCAAUAUUUUAUUUAUUUAUUGAAUAAUCAAUAUUUAUCUAUUUUGGCAAUUUUCUCAGCCCUAGCUAUUUAAGCCUUACUUGUGGGCUAUUUUGAACAUCAAGAGUUUAUUUCAGAUUUUUCUCUCAUGUUGGGUCUCUUUCAAGCCCAUUUUGCACUUAAUUUGAAUUCUUUUAAUUAAAUCGGUUUUAAACUUUUAUAUCAACAAUUGGAGUAUUGUCUUAAGAUUAGAUUAUUUAAUUGUAAUUUUUCUAAAAAAUACGAGAGUUUUUUUUCUUUAUUCUUUAUAAUUUCAAGGCUAUAAGAGAACCCUAAUUCAUUCACGCCUCAUGAAAUUCAAUUUGGCCAGUAGUGGUAUAAGGAAAUGAAAAGGUUGUUAGAAAAAUUAGGUUUUUUGAAUGUUUCAUUUUAAAAUGUUGACUACUUCUCAACUUCAGAUUCUUCAAUCUCCUAUUACCUAUUUAGAUCGAGCUCCCCUUUCCACCUUCCUACCUGAAUUGGUUGAACUGAUUCAUUUGAGAUACUUAAGUAUGAGAUGGACCAUGAUAAGUGAGCUUCCAGGGUCCAUAAGGAAGCUCAAGUACUUGGAAAUACUUGAUUUGAAAAGGAGUCCUGUGUCUUCUUUGCCUGCUGGGAUCAAACAAUUGGCAUGUCUUUGCCAGCUCCGUAACUAUCGACACAGUUUGCAGUCAUCAUUGUUCUUCCCAGACUCUCAUGGAAUGAGAGUUCCAACAAGAAUAGGAAGAUUGACGAGCCUGCAGAAAUUGGGAAGCAUUGAAGUGAAUGAAGAUUAUGAGUUAGUCAGGGAGUUGAGAAAGCUAACUUAGUUGAGAAGGGAAUGGAUCUCUGUUAUACUUUGUGUUGCUUCUCAUUUUUUUAUCCUCACACAAAAAAAAAUACAAAGAAAUGAAAAAAAAAUAUCAGAAGAAAACAAAAAUAUAUAGCAUUAAAAAAAAGAUAUAGGGACGCCCAGAAAAUGAUCAAAGAUUGGUCGUGGAAGUUCAAAAAUACAAAAAAUGAAAUUAAACAAUGUAUUUUCAAUUCAAUGGGAGGAAGAAAAGUUUAAAAUCAGAUGUUUAAAGACUCAAUUAGAUUUUGUUGAAAGAUUAAUUGAGUUUAUAAAGGGUUAAAUUGCAAGAAAAAAUGAUUUUUAAGUCAAUUUUAGCUUUAAUUUGACGAAAUUAAAUUUGGGGGUUGAAUUACAAUUUUUAAGAGUUAAUUUGAUCAAAUCAAGGCUUAAUUGCAUAAACAUUAAAGUUUGAUGGCACUUAAGGACUUGAUUGAAGAAAACCAAAACUAAGGACCAUACUGGAAAAGGCAUGUAAAUAUAGGGGAUGGAAUUAACCAAAUCAGGGGCUAAAUUGAAGAAAUUGAAAGUUUGUUGAUCAAUUAAGGGUCAAAAUGCUCAAAUUCAAAACCAAGAACCAAAGUAAGAAAAGUGGUCAACUUCAGGGCUAGCUUUUGAAUUUGACAGGGAUGUAAUUGAAUUGAUUCUUAAUUGAGGGCUUGAUUGAACAAAUUGAAAAUUAAGGGCUGAUUUGGAAACAAAAGCUUUCUAGCACCAUUUUCUUUUAAAUAAAACGACGAGUUUUAUUUAAAACGACAUCUCUUCAUUCACUGUUCACAUAAAAAACAAAGAGAAAACGGUGUUGUUUUUUACGAAAUUGUACAUCUUCUCCUUUCUUUGGAUACACUACAAGCAAUGGAAGAAGAUGAUUGUUCCCGUACUUCCCCUGCAACGCCACUCUCCCUCUCUCCCAAAAACCGACAAGACCCACAACCAUGGCCUCCUACCAGAUGAAAAAAAAGAAGGGAGCCUUGUGGGCGGCUACCCAAUGGCUGUCUGGCCACAUUAUCCCUGCGUCAUUAUUAGACAAAGAUAGUACAUCUCUCCCCCCCUUUCCCCCGUAUACAUAUCAGGGGAUGAGAGAGGAAAGGAGGAGAAAAAGAGGAGAGAGAACAAAAGAGGGACGGAAAAAGAAAAACAGGGGAAAACAUAAAAAGAAAAAGAAAAGAAAACAGAUGAGACAAACAGAAAAAAAAAAACAACAAAUAAAAGAAAAGGAAAAAAGCAAAUGAAAAAAAAUAGAGAAGGAUGGAAGAAAAGCAGCCUUUCUCUCUCUAUUUCUCUUACCGUUAGCUGCAUCACCACCGCAAACCACCGUCAUUCUUCCUCCUCACCGCCACCAGUAGGGGUGUUCAAAAAAACCGACUAACCGAUUAAACCGAAAAAACCGAGAAAAAAUUAACCGAAAAAACCGAACCGCUAGAAAAAACCGAAUAAACCGAUUAAAAAAUAAAAAAAACCACUCAGUCCGGUUCGGUUCCGGUUUAAAAAAGCUUAAACCGAUUGAACCGGACCCAACCGAACCAGUUUAAAAAAAGAGUAUAAAAAGAAUAAUUCCUAACCCUAAAUCACUUACACUCUUAACAGUCGUCAACCCCCCCCUCCCCCUCCAGCCUUCCCCUUUUUCCCUUCCCCUUCCCCUUCCCAAAACCCUAAAUCACUUUCUCCCUUUCUAGCCGCCAACCCCCCCUCUCCCCCUCCAGCCUUCCCCUUUCCCUUCUCCUUCCCCUUCUUAGAACCCUAAAUCACUUUUCUCCUUUCCAUCCGUCACCCCCCUCAAGCCUUCCCUUCCAUUUCCCCCCCGAUCACAAGAAACCAACCUAGAAGAAAGAAUGAGAAUGAUAUAAUGUCGGAUAAGGACCAUUCUGCUGAUAAUGCAAGUCAUCUUACUUCACUGACCAAGGAACGCAAUGACACUCGGGGACCGGAAAAACUGCUAGAUUCCAGCAUUCAUCGAUGUCACUCCUCAAUGUUUCAGCGGUCUAUUGGAACUUCUCCAACAACGCGAUCAGUAGCCAGAGCAGUAGACUCAUGCCAUUCUCUCCCAUUGUCAAUGUUGGAGGUAACUUGAUUGAAUUGAACUGUUCCUAACAAUUAUUCCAGCAAGGUUCCUAAACAACUGAACUUUGGUAAAGAAUAGUAAUUUUUUGUAUUUCUCGGUUCUCUGUCCUUGUCUUUUCAGCUAGCUUGGAAUGAUACUUCAAAGCACGGAUCAGCUGACAGAGCUUGCGCAUUGUUUUCUUAUCCUUCAAUGGACCCUAGUCUCUCAGCUCUAUGCUCAAGGUUCAUAAAGCACUAUACACAUUAAGAUGAAAGCCUAGCAACCCUAUCAAAAGUAUAGCACGCACUGGCUGCUGCAAAUCCAAUUACAUGUCAUGCAUGUUAGUAAAUGUAAAGGCUGAAGAUGAGUCCGGUUUUUCCUUUGAUUUAGCUCAGUGAUGAAGAUGAGUCCGGUUUUUCUAGUUUUUAUGCUAAAAAACCGACCCGAACCGAAUCAAACCGGUUCGAUUUGAACCGGUUCUCGGUUCGGUUUGGGUUAUAUUAAUAAGAAAUACUGUUUUUCGGUUCGGUUGAAUUUUUAGAUUAAAACCGAACCGGACCGUGAACACCCCUAGCCACCAGCAUCACCGUAAGCCAUCACAAGUCUGCUUCCCCCCUCUCCUUCUCCUUCUUCUUCUCCCCCCCCCCCUCAAUCUUCAUUGUUCUACUAAUGAACAAUAGAGAGUGAAUUAUAAUUCACUCUCCAGUGUUUACGUAGCAUGUGAAUAGUGGAGAGCCAUUAUUCCUAGGUCGAACCAAUGCCUGCCCAGACCAAAACAUCUGGGUCGGGUCUAACCUAAUCCCCCUUAGCAUAGAGUAUAAUGGGCUGAAAUCGGUCCAACCCCUAUUUUGGGCUGAUAUUGGCCUAACUCUACUGGGCUAACCUCAGCCCAGUCGCUUUUUAGGUCGACUUUGGGCUAAUUCCUUUUAAGUCAAACUCGGCCUAACUAGGGUGGGCUCAGCCCACAUAACUAAGCGAAGCCCAUCCUAAUAUAUUUUAAUAUAUAAUUAUAAUUAUAUAUAAUAUUAUAUAUAUAAACAACAACAAAAUUCCAAAAAUCCUUUCAAAAAAAAUUAUGAUUUUCUCAUGUAUUUUUCUAUCAUUUUGUAUUAAUAUUGGUUUGUAUUUUUAUACUAUAAAGAUACAAAUCUAGUAUUAAAAUAUCUGGUUUUCUCUGAAAUAUUGCAAAAAAAUAUAUAUAGAAAAACAAAACAAAACAUCUUGUUUUUAUGCAUACGAUCAAGUAUCUUAAGCUUAUAAUAAAUUUUCAUAUCAUAUUUUCAUACAACAAAAAAAUCAAAAAAUAUGUAUUAACAUGCAUUUUAAAUUUUAAUAACCAGUUUAAUAAAGUCAUGAGAACUAGAUCAAUAUUUUAAAAAUACAAAAAAACAUUAUUUUAUUUUCAUUUAAUAUUUGGGAUUUUAAACAUAUACGUACAACAUAUUCUUAAAAUUAAAUAAGAAGUAGUUCUUUUUUUAUUUUUUAGGUUAGAAUGAUUAGGUUUUACCUGAUAAGAUAAUGAUCUCCUUACUGAAAAUGAUUUCUCUUAAACCUUUGACAGACCAACAAUUAAAAAACACAACAACACCUUAGUAUACAUUAGACAAUAAGCAAUGCAACUUACCUUAGGUGGAGUGUAUUAAGGAUGCUAAUAUCUUUAUUUUAUGCAACCAGUCCUCGCAUUUGAUCUCUGAGACCAGUUAUGGUUUCUAGUGACAAAAAUAUUAAGUGGUGAUUUCCAUUCCCUCUUUCCACAAAUAAAAGACAAGAAAUCCUUUUCUACCCCAUUUCCCAAUACCACCCAAAAGGACAAUCACGCACACCACUUUGGACAGGUUGAUUAAUUUGUUGCUUAUUUAUCACACUAUGUCAUGUAGCUUUUAGUUAUUAUUUUGAAUUCUAAAAGACAGUGACAGACUUUUUGAAGACAUGGUUUUAGAGAUUGAAUUUUCCUAUGUAGACUUUUUAUUUUGCUUCUCUCUCUCACUCUAAUACUUGUCACUUAUGUCCUAAAACAUUAACCAAAAACAAUCCACUAUCAAAUUUAACAGUUUUACUGAUGAAAUUUGUUUUUCAAUAUUUACACUCAUAAUUUGUCGGUAUAUAUAUUACCAAUGGGCUAAUGGAUGGAAACAGUCUGUCAAAAAAACUCUCGUCUGUAAUUUAUUAUUUGUCAGUAAUAAAUAUAUUGAUGAAUUUACAAACGAUAAAAGCACGUAAAAAAAAUUUAUACGUAAUGUCAUCAGUGUUUUUAUUUAUCCAUCAAUAAAUAUAACAUAUCGCCAACAAAAUACCAUCUGUAAUUCUAUCAGUGAGUUAACUGUAGAAGUGAUAUUUACAGUAAUUCUUUUUCAACUCUCUCUAAAUAUACAGACAGAGUUGUUCCUUCAGUAACCUUGUUAGUGGUAUAUAUAUAUAUAUAGAAGUAGAAAAAUAAUUAAAUAAUAUAAAAAUCAAAUAUGGAUUACAAAUUUAAAUAUUUGUAUGUUCAAAUACAAUAAAUCUAAAUUAGAGGCAGUAUUAGAGGAGAAGGAGGUUGGUCGUCAUCGAGAUCGUGGGGCCAAUUAGAAGGUGUGCAUGUACCACCUAUCUGUGAUAUCAUCUUCACUACCAAUCAAUGAAGUUCUUUAUAAUUAGCAAUGAUUCAUUCAUUUUUUUUUUAUUAAGAUGAGUUAUUUGAGCCUGUAUUCGUUGGUCUAACAUCACAACGAGCUUGAGAGUUUGAGUGCUCAGAAUUGAUUGUGAGCAUCCAUCCAUCAAAACACUACGGGUCGUCUACAAGUUUUUAGUCGUAGUGUUAAAGAGUUCAUACACCCAAUUUCUAUUGGUUCCACCAAACAAUCCUGCCUAUAACCACAAAUCUAGAUCAAGAUUUGGAUGGGUUGAAGGAUCAUCCUCGUAUCUCUUCUUCAACUGGUUGUUACAUGUAUUCUAGAAAGAAAAAAUAAAUUCAUCAAAUUCAAGGAAAUAUUAAAAAUAAGUUUGAGUUAAACUAAUAUUUUGUUGUUUAUUUAGUUUGCAUAAUUAAUUAAUACAUGUUGUCAUCAAUAUUCUAUAUAGGUUUGACAUAAGUAAUGGAUGAUCGUUCAUAGAUGUAUUGAGAUUCACCUAAAAGGUUGCAGGGGAUGGAUUGUUGUAAUAGGGUUCAGGGUUUUAUUAAUUGUGCACUAUUUAAUCCGAGAAAUAUUAAUGAAGGCAAUAUUAGAUGUCCAUGUAAGAGAUGUAAAAAUAAAAAGUUUCUUGAUUCAGAUGUUGUAACGAUGCAUCUUCUACAAAAAAAGGUUUGUGAAGAGAUACUUGUGUUGGUUUGCACACAAAGAACCAUAUGUUCCUCAUGAGACCGUAAUAGAAAGGAUGAUUAGGUCAACUUCUAGUUCUAGCAACGUGCAUGAAAUUAUAGAUAACAAUAGUAAUCCUUAUAGGACUUUGGUUAUAGAUACGAUGAAAAUUAAUCAGGGUUAUGCUAGUCAAUGUUCAAUCAUAAAUGAACAUAAUGCAAACACGGCCAGGUUUUUUUAUCUUUUGAAAGACUUUGACGAUGGUUUGGGAUUUAGAGAAAUUGACAAACUCAUCGGCCUAGGAUACCAUAAAAUUGACAUGUGUCCAAACUUUUACAUACUGUAUUACCUUGAAAAUAUAGAGUUGAUCAAGUGCAAAACAUGUGAACAUGCUCAUUAUAAAUCCAAAACCGGUAAGGAAGGACUUUUGUCGCACAUAGAAAACUUAGAUACUUCUUAAUCACACCUAGACUACAAGGGUUAUUCAUGUCACCAAAAAUUGUUGAGCACGUGAUAUGGUAUCAUUCACAUGAUGCAGUGGAUGAAGUGAUAGUUCAUCAUUAUGAUGGUGAAGCCUGAAAACAUCUUAAUAGGGUGCAUCUUUAGUUUUCAAUGGAAUCAAAGAACAUACUUCUUGGGUUAUGUACAGACGGAUUCAAUCCUUUCGAGUCAUUUGCUGCUUCUUAUUUUUAUUGAUCAGUGAUACUCAUGGUUUAUAAUUUUUCAUUGGGGAUGUGUAUGAGGCCGAAGUUUAUAUUUUUAUCUAUAUUCAUAUUCGAUCCUAAUAAUCUGUGUCGGAAUAUAGAUGUUUGUUUUCAUCCAUUGAUUAAUGAGUUGAAAUAGUUGUGGUCAUCUGGGGCUUUAAUAUAUAAUGUAUUGAGAAAACAAAAUUUUCAGAUAAAGGCACUUUCUUUUGGAGAAUCAAUGAUUUUUCUAUGUAUGGAAUGGUUUCUGGUUAAAGCACACAUGGAAAACUAACAUGCUCAUAUUGUAUGGAAAAUAACAAGGACCUUCAUGUUAACAAAUAGGGGUGAUUUUGAUGUUUUUAAGCUAAGAAAAAAUGUCUAAAACUUGUUCAGGUUAUUGAAGAAAUUGAUCAAACUUUCUUUAUGGGCUGACAAAAAAUAUUCUUUAUAGAUCAAAUAUUUAUUUUAUAAUAAACUCAAAUCAAAAUCUAUAAUAGGUUAGCGAGUUUGGGGCCUAUGCCCAAGUAAAGUUGAGCACGCGUGUGGGAUAGAGAGUUUUGGGUUUCAUAAAAACAUUUAAACUAAGGGGUUUUUUAGAUUAAUUUUUUAUUUAUUCACAAUUUAUUACUUUAAUCAUAUUAAUGUUCCAUGUUAAUAAAUAUUUUUUAUCAAUAAUUUCCAACAAAGUUUUUACUCUAAAAGUGAUUGAAUUUCAUUUUAAAUUUAGCCCCAAAUGUAUCAAUUCAACAUGUUUUAUUAAAACAAAUUCCUACACUAUUAUCCUUAAACUACUAGUUAUGAUGAAAACAUUGGAUUAUCAUUACAUAGCCGUGUGCAGAAACUAAACAUGUGCUGAUUAUGAUUAUAUCUCAACAGAAUACUUUUAUCUUAAAAGAAAAAAAAAAGAAAAAAAAGAGAAGAAUUUUGUGUCAUUUCUAUCAUCCACCUCGUGGAUAUGAUGAAAGCGUAUAGUAAAAUACUUUGAUUGGCCUGGAAGUUUCCCGGAUCUCUCUGGCAGAUGAACGUGGAUGAGGUUUUUUCUUUUCUUUUUUUUGUGAUGCAAAUCAUGAGAUCAACAGCUUCUUCGUUUUUGUUUUUUUUUUUUUUAGCCAUCUGAAAAACUGUAGUAAUUUUGUUAAAUAUGAGGUGUGAUAGAAAAUUUAACACGCCCUCACGUUCAGGGAGAGAAAUCUGCUCAUCAGUUUAGCUCACAGACUCGUAACUGGUGAUGACUUGACCGGCUAAGCAAGGUUUUUUUUAAUAAAAAAAAAAACAUAAUAAAAUUUAUAUUUCAUUUACAAUAAGACUCCUUCAACCGCAAAAGCACAUACGAAAAUAUAGUCUUGUGUCUAGAUUUGUCUGUUUCUAACCAAUACAAAAAAUCGCAAGAUUUUGCGAAAAACAGAGGAAAACAGGGCAUUUCUAGUUCCGAUCAUGACUUUUAUCUAACAAAACCAUGAUUGAAUUGUUAGAUAGAGCGCAGAUUAACAUAGAUCGAGGCAAACCAAUGGAUUCAACAGCCCGAUGACGAGUUCCUGCUGGAGAUUUAGCCAACAAACAGGGGUUAGUGGGCAUGGGAGUAGAUGGACGUUGACAAGGACAUAAACACUCUGUCAAAUAUGUGAGCUUCCACGUUGAGGUGGUUGGGGUCUUUCUUGAGACAUGAUUGCUGGGGUCGAGAACUGUAGAACAAGUUCCCUUUAUAAAAUAUAGUUAUCAGAACUGGCUCGAGUUCUGAUCGUAAUAAAAAGCUAAGAUGAACUGAGUCAAUUCUAAAAUUACCGACUAUUAAAGCACCCAAUUUUUAUUUUUAUUUUGAUAAACAAAGCAUCCAAAAUUGAAAUAAUUUAAUGCUCCAUUUAACCAUUAACAUUACCGACUCAAGAAAGAUCUCAAGAACAAAAGAAGGCACAAAAUAACAAGGCCAGCAACAAAAACAAAAAGGGUCAAAACAAAAAGCUUCCUUUUUACCAGGGACUAAAAAGUUAAGCUCUUCAUUCCUCAACAACAUCAACCUUAACCCACUAACGUGGCCACCCCCCUAUUGGCUAACCCAUAAUCAAAUAAAAUAAAUAAAUAAAAGAGUGAAAAAAAUAUAUCAGCCCCCAAGUGCACGUGACUCACGUGCUUAGCCAGGCCAUCAACCACAGAAUUGUUAACUCGACCACCAAACUCCUCCCCGGAUGAGGUCAUUCUCCGGCAACAUACCACCAGGAACAUUGUAGAAACUUCUUCAAGACUAGACAUAACAUCCUGCCUUUCUUUCUUUCCUAAACGGUGCAGCCACAGAAGAGAAAAAAGAAAGCCAACAUGGAGACAAGAGCUACUGACUCAAAAGCAGUGACCAAGCUCCAAACCACAUCGUCCAAGAUCGAGAAGUCCAGCUCCGGCCACCUCAUCAACCUCGGUGGGGCCCACCACCUUGAUGGGUUCGUCGUUGUUGUUAACUGUGACGGCCACCGGAGGACGGAGAUGGAAGAUGCCCAGAUAGAAGAAGUGGAGUAAGCUACGUCAAGACCUAGCCAUUGUCGGAAUGUUGACGUCGACCACCUCCCCGCCAUUACCACUCUCCCCUCUCUCUGUCUCCAAGUCUAGAGCAGAGAGGUUUGUUUUCUUUAAAGAGAAGAGAGAGAGUGAGUUUUUGUGUGCAUGAUGCUAGGAGGUUGUAGGGUUUUUAUGGUUGUAAUGAUGUGUUCUUGUUUAUUUGAGAUAGGUUUUUGGUAGGACCCAAAAAUAUUUUGACCUUAGUCUAUGUGAGAAGUUCAUAGAUACUGAGAUUAGAAAAUCUUUCAUGAUUUUCCCAAUUUAGGGGUCUCUAAUACUGGGAUUAAUUUUCAUUCGUAUUGAGCUGUUGAAAACUUGUUUAAUUAUGAAUUAGUGUAUUGAUGAGCAUUUAUUUAUUUUUGGUUCUAUAUGGUUUAUUCUCUUUUUGAUUGAAUUUUUUAACUAUCAUUUAUAUAUAGAUUGGUUUGUUCACAAAAAUAAUAAAAAAAAAAUAUUUCCUUUUUUAGUUUUUAUUUUUUCCGGUUUUAAUCAAAUAAAAAAUUGUUUUUACCAUCUUUAAUUUAAAAACCAUUUGAUUAAUUUCAAAUGAAAAAUAAUCAAAAUAAUGCUUUUAAUUUUAAAUCAUAGUUUAAAUAUAAUAUUGACCACAUAGACAAACAUGAUUUUACAGUAACAAAUAAUUAUAUAAAAGACAUCAAUCAUCCAGGUCAAGUCAUGGUAUUUAUAACAUAAUUUUCAAUAAUUAUAUUGAAAUACUGUUAGUAUUCUCACUUGCAUGUUUUAACUAUAAGGUAAUUUGGAUAAUAUUAACAAGAAUGGGGAUUUUCACUUAACUCAACAUAACUAUAAAUUAAUUGAUCUGAAAAUAUCAAAAGAUAGAUAGAAGCAAACAGACGUAACACUUGUUUACCUUUGUCCCCCACAUGCAUGAUUGAGACGAUAGAGCGAAAUAAACAGAAUCAAAUGGGAAAAAUACAAGGAUGAAAAUGAAAAUAAAGUAAAAGAAAGGGGAUUACAAAUAAAGUAAGGAAACGUUUUAGCUGGGCCUAAUUGAAAGAACAAUUUGCCCAAAAGUGAAUCACCUUUGGAAAGAAAUUUUUCGGCUGUGAUCGAGAAUUCAUAGGAUUUUUCCACUCUAUAGGGCCUGUCUGAGAGUGUAAUUGUAGUUGUUUUUCAAGUGUUUUUUGUGUUAAAAUACAUUAAAAUGAUUUUUUUUUAUUUUUGAAAAAUUAUUUUUGAAAUCAAUGUAUUAAAAUGAUCCAAAACAUACAAAAAAAAUUAAGUUUUAACAAAAAUAAAAUUUUAAUUUUUUUAAAAACGUUGUGCAACUGCGUUUCCGGAUGCUUUCGUAGGCCCAAUGGAUUUUACUAAAUCCUUUUGACUAAUGAAAUUGAGUAAUUUUCCAAUGAUAAUGAAACAAAAUUACUAUUGUGUGGAUGGGCAAGAGACAAAAAUGCUUGUAUCAAUUUGAAAUUUUGCGUCGGAGGGAAAGCAUAGAAGGGAACAAGAUUUGAAUUUUGAUCCAUAAGAAGAAAACAAAUUCCUUCAUUUCAAUGGCUGACAGCUUCGCAACAGAGUGGCGGGAAAAUCUGAUCUAGCUUUCUUGACAAAUACUACAAGACAAUUAGAGAAAUAUUUGAUUAUGAAAUGGGAUGAUAGAGAUUCGGUGCAUCUUCUGGUACCUGAGAUUUGAAUAUUAGGAAAAGGAGUAGAUAUCUAAAUAUUAGUUUGGGACUGGUGGUUGGAGGAUGAUAUCUUGCUGUAUUUAAAUUCUCAUUAGGAAAAAAAAAGUUAAUAGUGACAGGGUAAAUUAAAGAUGUGUUAAAACAAGAAAAAUAUCCUGUUUCAAAUUGUAUUUUUUAAUAAUAAAUAAAUAAUUAUAUAAACAAGUGAAGUCCCAAUCUAUAUACAACAUCUAUCGUGAUUAUAGAAAAUGUGUUAAAUACAAAUUAUGAAUUAAAAUCUAAUAAUGAUAAUUUUUUUAUUAAAAAAAUUCAAUUUAUAAUUUUUUAUAGACUUAACUAACUCAUUCAAUUUUUUUUAAUAAUAUGAUGUUGCUACUUCAAUUUACAUUACCAAUCACUAUAAUUUUAAUUAUUACCAUCAUUUUUAUUAAUAUCAUUAUCACUACUAUUAUGCUCCUCAUUAUUAUUUCAACCAUCAUCAUUCAUUACACAUAUAUUAUAAUUUUAUAUCAUUACUUUUUAAAUAUCAUAAAAUUUGUUUUGUAAUAAUAUAUCUUAUGAAAAAACAUUUUAUAAGUAUAAUAUUUUAUGGAAAUCAAAUGCCUUAUCACUUAUUAAGGAUUUGCUGACGUGGUUAAAAUUUUUUUCAAACUUAUUAUAUCAUUGAAAAUUUGAAAUAUCCGCAUCAUGACAUCAAUGAGCAGUUGCUUAUUGAUUGAGGGGAGAUAUAAAAGUAUUGGCAACACGCAUUAAAGUCAAGAAUUUGCUAAACGACGAGCUGGCCUUUAAAAUCUCUCUCUGUGUUUUCUUUGUUCAUUUAUUUGUGACAAAGAAACCAAAUUCUCCCUUUCACAUUCAGUUUUUAUUUCAUAAUAUUAGGGGUUUUAGAAGUUUAAUUAUGAUUAUUUUUUAAAGAUUUUUUUACUUGAAAAUGUAUUAAAAUAAUUUUUAUUAUUAUUUAAAAAUUAUUUUUUAUCACCAAUAUAUUAAAACAAUAAAAAACAAAAAAUUAUUUUUAAACAAAAAAAUUAAUUCUUUCUGCAAUAUUGUUUGGAACUCAAUUCCAAUUUAAUUUGAUCAGUUGAUUUAAAAUCCAAUUAGAAUAGAGUUUGUAAUUAGAACCACCAAAAUAUUAACCUGAUAAGAAACUGGUGGUUUUGAUCAAUACUAAAUAAGAUAAUAAUAAAAAAUACUUCAAAUCAAAUUAUUUAAAGUGGAAUUCAAUUUAGUUUUAAUAAUAUACUAUAUAUAUUAAUUAAAAAACUUGGAACUUUUUUAUUAAUUAAAAAGCCUUACCUACUUACAAAUAUCAACAUAAAUAGUUCUAUUUAGUUUUAAUAUACUAUAUAUAUUAAUUUAAGCAGUGGGAAGUUGAAUUUGUUUUAUUAAUUAAUUCACCUGGUGAUUUAUUCAGUUAAGAGUGAAAGAUGAUGGGUUAUUUACAAGUCAAAAUCUUUAAAAAUUAAAAACAUAAUAACUACAAAAAUAUACUUAAAAUAUUUAAUUUUUAAUUAUACAAGUCUCACUUAUCCAAAAAAUCAAUUAAACCCUUUAUAUAUAUAUAUAAAAAGAUAACCCUGUUAAUACUAAAUACAAAAAUUAUUCUCUUUAAAUAUAAAAACUAGAAAAGCUUAAUGAUAUUGAAUAGAAAAACAAAACUCUUAAACUAACAAAAACAAAUAUUGAAAAAAAAUAUUUAUUUUUCCAAAAAGCUUCUAUAUUAAUUUUUACAAGUUCGAAGAAACUCAUCACCGAAUUCAAAUUAUUUGUAGAGUUGAACCCCCUCAUAAAAUUAUCCAACGAAAAUGUUUUUUGAGCAAAACCUCCUCAAUCAAAAAACCAAUAACCAUUUUACGUGCAUGUGUUACCUUGUUAUAAGUCCUUAACUUCCUUGUUAGAGCCGCUCUAUUAUAGAUUCGAAACAUAUUUAUAUGGUUUGCCUGCCCUUAAUUAACAUCCUUAUGAGAGCCACUCUAUUAUAAAUCCGAAAGAUAUUUAUAUGGUUUGCCACUUUGUAUUAUCAUGAAUCCUAUUAUAAAUCUUAUCAUCAGAAUUUUCAAUAAUAAUAUACAACAUCUAAUCAUAAAAAAUUGCUAGAAGUCUUGUUUGAAAUUAUAAUAGCGGUGACGGUUCAAAGUAUUUUUUGUUUAUAAAUAUAUUAAAAUAAAGUUUUUUUAAAAAAAAAUUAUUUUUAAUAUCAAUAUAUCAAAACAAUUUAAAAAUAUAUAUAAAAAAAAAUUAAAAAUUUUCAGAAUUUACUCCAAAACACACCUAAAGAAUUGUUAGACUCUGCGGGCUGACACUUAAUGUCAUAAAAAAGAAAACCUAUUGGAUUUUACGUAUGAAAAGAAAGAAAAAGAAAUGUGAACAAUUGAAGAUAAGAAACAAGUAUUUCAAACAUUUUUUUUUAACAAUAAUAUAUGAAGAUAAGAAAACCCAUUGCAUAAUUUAACUAACUGAGUCCUGGCCUCGCUUAUUCUUCCCGCAAGCUAUCCACAGAGCCAUUUCACGAAUCAUGUCAUGCAUUUUCUCAUCUCUGCCUUCAUCUUCCAGCAAGCAUUAUUGAGUAAAAUGUCAUUGAUGUUGUAACCUUCAAUUCGAGCCCCUCAUACAUCUCCAUAUUCACCCAAAAAUCCCUCCCGUGGCCAACCAAUAAUCUAAUUCCGGGAAGAAAGCACAAUACAGGAAACAAUAUUUAACUUUGUUGCUGUGAAGACUAUCAUAACCAAGCUUCAGCAGAGCAAGGUCCUGAUAGGAAGUACCUGAAAAUUCUGAGGUGGCCUUACUUCUGGUCGGGAUUCUGAGACACCACUACCCAUAUAACGAAAUCGAAAUGGAGCUGUGAGUUGAGCAAGCCGUUGCAGACUUGAGUCAAGAGAGCAGUCUUGAGAAAGAUUGACAUCCUGCAAACCACGACAACAAUGAGAUAUAUGAGAAAGCAGUGAAAAUUUUGGAGAGAUACUGGGCUGAGGAAGAAGAUGGAGAACCAAUUGUCCAAGAUGGUGGGGAUGGAAAUCAGCAAGGUUUUGCUUUUGGAACUAACCAGCCUAGCGUUCCUCAAGGUGGCUUCAAGUUUGGGCGAACGCACUCUCUAGCUUUUUGUAGAUUUUUUCACUUGCUUUGAAAUUUUCAACACUAUAUGUUCGUUGCUGCCAAGGCUCAGAAUUUUUGGUCUGGCACAUAGGGUUUCAGUAUCGAUGGAAAUUGUCAAAAAAUGUUAAAACUUUUGGACUCCACCUUGGAAUCUGUCAAGUUAAAUUGUAAAAUUGAUGGAAAAGUGGUCUUCGUGAUUGUCUUGAUAUGGAAUUAGACUCGUGCUAAUGAUAUAUGAUGAAUUCUUAUAUAUUGAGAGCAUCAGACUUGUCCCGAAAUGGCUGGUUUCUGAUGUAGCUAGAGCAAAUUUAUCUGAUGUAGCCACUGAAAAUGUAGCUGUUAUGGACUGUGCAUCAUCUUUUCAACUUACAUCUCGAAUGGAUGAGAUGUUUGAGCCUGCUGCAAUGAAUGCAAUGCGAAAAAGACUGCUGCAGCUAGGAGGCAGUAGCACUGAAAUGAUUUCCAUGUAGCUGUUACUCAUGUUUAUCAAUCCCCUCUUAUGAUUUCCAUGUAUCGCAGUUAAUGUUGGGAAUGUGAUGUAAAUUAUGUUUUUAAAAAGUUUAUUUGUUUUAUAAAAUAUUAUUAUUUUUUUAAAUUGUUUUGAUACAUUAAUUUUCAAAAUAAUUUUUUUUAAAAUAUCAUUUUAAUAUAUUUUAACAUAAAAAAUACUUUAAAAAACAAUUACAAGUUAUAACUUGAUUUGAAUUAUAAAUUUUAUUAGAUCAAUCAUUAAAAUAAAGUUAUUUUAUUAUUUAUAUAAAUAAAAAUAUUUUUUAAAAAAUAUUAAAAAAAAUUAUCAAAUAAAUUUUUAAAUCAAUUCAAAAUAAAAACCUAGGGUGUGUUUGUUUUCAGGAAAACAGAUUCCGGGAAUUCACUUUCCCUGUUUUUCCAUGUUUAGUAACCAUUUGGAAAAGCAGUCAACGGAAUCUAAAUUCCAGUCAAACUUAAGAAAUUAACGCUCGGAAAGGAAAGUGUUUUCCUUCUGUUAAUGAAAGGAAAACACUUUUCUUUUGGCGUGCGGGGCGCACGCCUGCCGCUGCACAAUGAAUUAAUUCACUUGCUACAGAAGCAGCGAAUUAUAAUUCACUGCUACUGUCGCUGCUACUGUAGCAGAGAAUUACGGUUGGUUUAUUUUAUUUAAUUCCUGGGUUUUUGAUUAAAUUAAAGUUUAAUUAAGUCCUCAAACUCAUUAAUUCUUUAAUUAAACUCUUGAUUUCAUUAAUUAAAAUAAUCUAAAAUUUAAUUAAAUCAAUUCUCCAAUUAAACCCUUGAUUUAAUUAAUUAAACUAGUCAAGAGUUUAAUCAAAUCUUUAAACUUCCAAUCAUGUUGCCCUUAACCCAAAUUUUAAUUCAUCCUUCAUUUAUUUUAUUUUUAUUUUUCAUCAUCUUUUUUUUUUUAAAUAAAAAAGGUCAAAAUUUGGGUUAUGACAAUUGUAAGUGAUUAAAUAUUUUAUAUAUAUUAGAUAAACUUGAAAAAAAAUUUAAUUCAUUAAUAAAUUAUUUUACAGUUCAUUUUCCAUAACACAACCAAACACUGGAAAGUGUUUUCCAGUUCAUUUUCCAUAACACUACCAAACAUCGAAAAAUACUUUCCCGGAAUUCACUUUCCAGGAAUUCACUUUUUCCGGAAUUCACUUUCCAAAAAGAAACCACUUUCCUGCAAAUAAAUGUAGCCCUAAUCUAAGUUCGAUUUCAAGUAUAUGAAUUAUCGAAUUAAUCUGGCCGAGCAAGUUUUUAAUAACCACGUGCACAUCAAAAGCCCUUUGAUUGAAUCAACAAAAUUCGGGAGAAGAUCUAAUCUCCAUCAUUAGACAUUAUAAAGAAGGGCUAGACGCAAUAUUAAAUGGGCCAAAAAGAUCUUAUCAUCUGAAAAUAAUAAAUAAAGAUUAGAAUGGUUCAUAUUUUACAAUCAACACUAGGGCUUUAAGUUUAUAGGCCUUUGUAAAGUGUAGUAGCUCUGUCCUGCGUAGCUCAACCAUGGCAGACAGCAACGAGGAUCAGCAUGACAAAGGCAAAGAGCAAGAGCAAUAUGGUGUCCUGCUUUACUACAAAUACACAGAAAUCCCUGAUCUCAACUCCCUCCUCUCCUUCUACAAUUCCAACUGCACUUUCCUCUCCCUCCUUGGCCGUGUCCGCCUCUCUCUCCAUGGAGUCAAUGUCACUGUAAUGCGCCCAACUCAAUAACCCCAACUUUUUGCAGUUUAAAUCUCAAAAGUUUGAAUCAUUUUGGUUAUUAAAAUUUUGGGUUUCCUUUGUUUUCUUCAAUCAUAUCACAAUCUCAUUGAAAAGUUUGAAACCUUUUGCUGUUCGGGAUUUUGGGUUUAGUUAUUUGAGUCCAAAAAUUGGAAAGUUUGGAACUUUUUGCUUAUUAGAAUAUUGGGUUUCUUUUGUUUUCUUCAUUGGUUUAGAUUGGUGGCAAGUUGUCUUCAUUGGAGAAACAUAUUGAAGCUGUGAAAGCUAUUAGUUUAUUUGAAGGGACUGAUUUCAAGCUUGCUUCUUGUCAUUUCCCAUUGAAUGACAAGGUUGCUCAUGAAUGUGGCUUCACUUCUCUUUCCAUUCGCAUUGUCAAGGUAUGAAUCUUUGUUCUAUCAAACUUUGGUUUCUAUUAGUAUCAUUGUUUUGAGCUAUUUGGUAUAGUACAAGUUUUGAUUUGAUAUGCGUUUGCGUUUGCGUUUGCGUUUGCUUGCUUGGUCUAACAUCUUGAUGCGUUUUGGUGUGGCUAGGAAUUGGUUACUCUUAGCCCUUAUCCUCUUGUUAAAGCACCGGAUGUUUCAAAUGCUGGUAGCCAUUUGUCCGCUGUGGAGUUCCAUUCUGUUCUUCAAAGUGCUGGUGAGUUGUGAUUUUCUUUUUGAAAUUUUAUUACAUGCUUUACUUUUUGGUUUGCUUUCGUUUUAUAGGCUAUGUUUAUUCUUCUUUGUAGUAUUUUGUUCUCUAAAUUUGGUUUUGUUGUUUUGUUAUGUAAGAGAAUGACUGGUAAUGGUUAACUAUGUGUUGGGUGAUUCUGUUUAUGUUUCUCAGGGAAGCUUGUAGAUAAAGAAAGUCUAGUUGAUGAUAAAGGUCUUGUUUUAUUAGAUGCAAGGAAUCUGUAUGAGACGAGAAUUGGGAAGUUUGACAUGCCAAAUGUGGACACUUUGGAUCCUGGAAUCAGACAGUAUAGUGAUCUGCCAUCCUGGAUAGAUGAUAAUUCUGAACAAUUGCGAGGAAAGAAUGUCCUGAUGUAAGUGCUUGUUCCAAAAUUGACUUUUUAUUGGUGUUGACCUGAACUUCACUCUGUUUUCCAUCUGAUUUGUAAAAUCAUGUUAUCAUGGUUGAAAGUUGGUGCAGUUAUGGCUUCAAACGCCCAUUUUUCCACUCUAAUCUUAGUAUGUUUUGUUUGGGUGCUGUGUAGGUAUUGUACUGGAGGAAUCAGGUGUGAGAUGGCAUCGGCCUAUAUUAGGUCAAAAGGUGCUGGAUUUGAGAAUGUAUUUCAGGUAAGCUUGGGAUCCAGCAGAAGCUAGUGUUAUGCUUACCUUGACCAUAAGAUCCUGAGGAAGUUAGGUCCUGAUUGUUGAUCGAUGUACUGAUAUAUUUUGCAAUGCUGGCUUUGUUGCAGUUGUUUGGUGGAAUACAGCGUUAUUUAGAACAAUUUCCAGAUGGUGGUUUUUUCAAAGGAAAGAAUUUUGUUUUUGAUCACAGGUAUGAUUGCUCAGAGUAAUUGCGACCCUAUUGAUUUUAAAGUUUUUACCUUAUCCUUUGGUGAUUGCAACAUCAUGCUUUUAUUGAACUUUCUGGUGUUCAAUAAAAGAAAACAAGCAAAGAAAAAGAAGUGUCGAUUUUGCCGAGUAAUUUUGUAUUGUGGCUGUAGGAUUUCUGUUGGGAGCUCAGAUACAAAUAUCUUGGGAACCUGCCUUCUCUGUGGCUUAUCCUUUGAUGAUUACUCCUCACGAUGUAGAUGCUCAUAUUGUAGAAUGCUAGUAUUGGUCUGUGAUAGUUGCCGGGUAAGUUUUGAUGACUAGAGUCCUUCUACCAUUGAAUGUUAAUAUUUCUGACCAUUUAAGCAUGUCUAUCAUACUUUAGCUAGCUCCAUCUUGUCCAGUGAAUAUUCUAAGAACCUUAACCAAUGCUUCUCGAUUUUUAUCUAAAGUGAAACUUAAAAUAAUAGCUUUUCAGAUUUUCAUUUUCCCUUCUAAAAACAAUCAUUGCCUAAUAUGUAUGUGUUUUGAUGAACUGUUUGUUCAGCUCCCAUUCCGCUUGUAGGUUUCUGUAUUUUGUUGGGUAUUAUUUGUUAAUUUUUGUGGGUGGGCAGAAGGAGGAAGCUGUUUAUGCUUGCGAGCUGUGCCAAAAACAUGGAAAGGUAAUUGAGUCAAAUGUUGUUGAAAAUGGUGAACAGAAAGAUAUAUUGCCUCAAGUUGAGCUCAAAACCAUUUCCCCAGAUACUAUCCUCUCGCCUCAAUUUCAUGGGGAACGGGGUAAGGUCUGUCUCCUUAUCACUUGGAUCGUUUUGGUUCCAUGUUUACCAAGAUAACAUGUAGUACAAUGGUGUAUUUAUCUUGGCUAAUAGUGAACAUCUGUCUUCUUUUAUCCCUGUUACAUCUUUCAUUUUGUUUUCUUCCAAGAACUUCUCAGUCUUAAUGUAAUUGUUCAUCCAUUAAAACAGGUGCUAGGCCUCCAAGAAAGCUAAGAAUCUUGUGCUUGCAUGGGUUUCGGCAGAAUGCAUCUGGUUUUAAAGGAAGAACUGGAUCAUUAGCCAAGAAACUUAAAAACAUUGCUGAGCUUGUCUUUGUUGAUGCACCUCAUGAGUUGCCUUUCAUAUACCAGCCAUGUGUCUCAGAACUAGAGUGCGGUGAUGAAUCAUCAUUUUCGUCACAACAAAUUCUCCCCCCCAACAGAAACUUGCAGGGGAAAGUUUGCGUGGUUGAUAGCACCUGAUUCCAAAGGAAGGAGUGCAACUGAUUGGAAAAAGGCAGAUAGUCCAUUUGAUCCCCUCCAGUACCUGCAGCAAACUGAAGGGUUUGAUGUAUCAUUAUCGUAUUUAAAGACAGUAUUCUCUCGGGAUGGGCCAUUUGAUGGGAUCCUGGGAUUUUCUCAAGGAGCAGCGAUGGCUGCUUUACUUUGUGCACAAAAAGGGAGGCUAAAAGGUGACAUUGAUUUCAGAUUUGCAAUUUUGUGUUCUGGGUUCGCUCUUCCAUUUGUGGAGAUUGAGAGUGGAUCGAUUAACUGCCCACUCUCCAUAUAUUCGGAUGUGUUCCAGGCAAGGACAGGCAGAUUGCAAACAAAACAAGCAGAGAACUUGCUUCAUUAUUUGAAGAUGGUUGCUCAGUAAUUAUUGAGCAUGAUUGUGGUCACAUCAUUCCUACUCGGACUCCAUACAUCGAUGAAAUCAAAGGCUUCCUUCAACGCUUUCUGUAAUGCGAUUAAAAAUCCUUUGUUAACCAAUAUGGUUACUUUAAGAUGGCUUCUCAGCUAUUACCUGAUCCGUAUUUGCUUGUUACUCACUACACCAUUUUUCUUCAAUCACUUGCUAAUACAAUUUAAUUCCACGAUUUAUCUUUUUAUUACAAAUAUUUUCGAAGUCCAUUGAAGCCCCUCAACUGAGAAUUUAAGAUUUGUACAACGUACAGACGGAAAUACUUAAUAAAACACAAAGAGGAGAACAGUCACUCGUCUGCCUCAUAGAAGACCAGACAACGAACACGCAAGUUCUUCAGAAUGAAAACUGAGAACCAACAAAUCCUAAAUUUAGAUUUUUUGGAAUAAAAACUUUCAGCUUGUGUUUGGAAUUCUAAAGCAUUAUGGUUCUUAUAUCUUUACUUCAGCCAAAUGAGCCAAACAACAAAGCUGAUUGUUUCUAUAUGCAUUUCUCAGUAAGAGAUUUACAGUCAUAUACAUGAAACAAACAAGCAUGAAGCUUUGCCGACCUAGUGUUAGCAUUCGGCAAAUACACAACUAUUCGUUAUGAACUUGAAAUCUAGAUUUUCGUUAUGACCUGGUCUUGUCAAUUUUUAUUUUCAACACGAAAAAUAGAUGCAUGAGUGUUAUGAUAUAUGCUUAGCAACCUGAAUUCCUUGGUGAUGAUCGAACAGGGGCUGGGAUGAACAUAUGGACCAGGGUAGUGAUGGUGCACAGAUUUCUUUUUUUUUCAAAAAGGAAUGGUUUGGGCCACGUACUCACCCCCAGAAACUCCAAUAAAAAACUUGUUUUACAAUCGUGAGAAUCACCUCAUUGACCCAUUAGAUCAAUGACAAGCCCGAUCACUCCAAGAAUGGGCCAAUUCAUCAUUCAAUAAACCAAGUCAAGCUCAAUUACUUCACUGGCCUAAAAUCACAUUCCAUGAAAAACCUAAUUUAGUAUGAAGUUUUUAUAACCUCAUGAGAUGGCCUCAAAUUCUAUUAUUAGCAGAAAAAAUAAACCAUCCAGGCAUUUCAUUGUUGUGGGAAUUACGUAGAUUAAUAUCAUCUGCUUCCCAUGUUGGAAUGUUAGGGUGUGUAUUUGUUAUAUAUACUUGCAUGUUGUAGCAAACAAAGCUCAUUUAUAGAUAAACAUUUUCAUUUUCCAGCUAUAAUUAUCGGAUUGGGCUUGAGAUUUGACCCAGUUUAGAGCUCAGUUUAUUAGGUUAUUGGAUUAACUCAUGGUCACUACUAAGUCAUUCCAUAUUAAUUCUAAUUCGACACUGUUUUGAAAAAAAAAUAAAAAUCAUUCGAGUUAACUUAUGGAUCGUGAAUCAAUUAUCUAGUCAUCUAAAUUUUAACUGAAUUAAUAUUUAAAAUAUUCAAAAUAAAACCUAAUCUAGAUUGACGACAAAUGAUUGAAUCGACCAGUCGGUCGGACAGGCCGAGCAGGGAUGGAUAUAUAUGUCCAUGGUAAUUCUAACACCAGCUACGAUCGUCCAUCGAAGCAAGUGUUGUAAUCAAUCAGUGUCAGUCCUGUUUCUACCCUUUUAGAGUUGCUUAAGAACUAAGAUGUUGUUGUAAAUAAUAACAGGUUAAGAAUUAGCUGAGAACCACGGAGCAUCAUUUUGAGGUCGGAGCUUCACGCCCUCACCGCCCAAGCAGCACCGUCAAAACAACCAUCUAGAUGUACAAAACUACAAAGGCUCCUGGGGAUAAUCCAAGCAUGCAACUAUUUGGGUUGGUAGCUCGUCUAUUUCUGCACAUGGAAAGAAGCUUCAGACUUGUGUUUUCUCUCUUUUCUUUCACUCACGCAAGCAACCGAUCGUGAGCAUGAAGUGUUUUGACUUUUGGGCGUAGUCUGAAUCAAUGAAAUGCUUUCCUUCUUGUGUUUUUUUUUAUACGAUGUAUUGUUGAAGUGUUCUUUAUUAGUAAAAAGAAAUAGAAAUCUCAUUACAUGCCUUGAUCGGUAAAUUUUGAAGAAAGUAGAGUGGAUUAAGUUGAGAAAACCUGCACUAAACCUGAUAUGAACUGAGUUUAAUGAUAUAUUGAUUCGAUAAAAUUAAGUUGAUAUUAAAGAAAAGUUUUUAAAAAUAAAACGAAACUGCUUUAAUAAAAAUAAAUAACCUGAAUUGAUUUUUCCUUCGGUAGGUUGUAACAAUUGAGUCAGGAGUCUCCAUCCCAUCCAUUGUUUACGGUCCGGUCCAGAUAGGUACUUCCCUUCCUGCGAAAGCCAUUAGGACACGUCAUGCAAGAAGCUACUUGCUCUGCAGCUUGCAGAUUACAUUAAUGACACGUUUGGAAUUGUAAAUCUGAAAAAUAUAUUCAGACUCGUCGUAAUUCAUAUAGAAAAUCCUUGAAUUUUACUAAGCUUUCAGGAGCUGGGAUUAGUUCCUGAGUAGCUCCAUGCCAAAAGAAGUAGAACACACAGUCCUUGCUAAACAACCGCAGUCAUGGAAGAGUUAAGGAAGCUCAAAAUAAUCUGGAAGUUGCUUCGUGUGAUCCACUUAAAAUUGUCAUAGGGACAAGAAAAUGUCUUGGUGCCCUAAUUUCCAACUCUAAAAUCGUUUUACGACACAUUGGCUUUCGCUCCAUUGAUGUGAUCGGAGUGCGGAAGCAGAGUUAUACAGAAGCUGCUUCCGGUUGACGAUUCCCUCGUACAGUUGAAGAGACAAUACAAUUGCUCACUGCCUCAUCUCACUCCACAGGUAUUUUCAGGCCUGUAUCCUUUUUCACGUUGGAGAGGGAGGACAACGCCAUGGUUCUCAUUCCUGAGGCCUUUUCCCUCGUUUACCUACCCUCUAUUCUUGUGAAACAAUAUAUUUUAAAAUAAACUCAGGUUAAUCUAUUAAUUUAUAGGUUGAUUUAUCAACCCGCAACAAGAAUAUUAAACCGAGAACGAUUGAGUGGGGUAUAAUAACUAUGGCUCCAUUAUUGCCAUUUUGUUCUGGUUAAUUAAUUUUAUUAUGCAAUCCCCAAUAAAUGGCUACGGUCAUGUUCACACCAAGAACUUUAUAUUGACAGAUGCUUAUCGUUUCUUUUCCCCCGAUCGAUGUGAAAGAUGAUACCAUGUUUAGUUUUUAGGGGUGGCCGUAGGAUAAUAAAACAUUCGUUCUUGUUUGGUCACUGUUGGUUGUGCGAGGCCUCGCCUUUAUGUUACAUAUUUAUGAUGUUCCUCACCUACUUCCUAACAAUGGGCUGAUCUCUCCCCCACCUCUUCACUGAGUCUGCUUCUUGAUGAACAGACAGUAACAUCAUCUUCUUUUUUACAUGAAUGUGCUGCAAUUUGUAUUAUCAUCUCUUAUUACUCUUUCUGAUGCGGCCAAGCCUGAUUAGAUUAGGAAUCAGAGAAGAAGAUGAUGGAAAAAUCACAAAAAAAUUUCAAAAACAAGAAGCCUACUCGUGCUGUUGUUUCUCGAUAAUUUAUUCUGCCAAAAUCUUCUCCAGGAAAAAUAAAAGGAUAAUAAUAGCUUAAACUGUAGCUGUCCGAACAUAAAAGGAAAAAAGGGAUCUUGGUAGGAAAAUAAAAUAAAAAGUCCAAAAUUAAAGAGUAAAAUAAUAAAAUUGAUUAAAACAAAUAUUUUAUAGGCUUAAUUUGAAGGAGCCAAUUAAAUUUACUAUCAAACCUUUUGUUAUUAUUAUCAUCUAAAAAUAUAUAAAAAAUUAUAAAUUAUAAAACAUGAGUUAUAUUGCAACUCCAAAUUAAGAGGUUGGGUGACGACUACGACUAAAAUCUGAGGCCAAAGUACUCUAGUUGAGCUAACUGUGGUAAAGUCCCAUCACAAAUCUCUGUUGCAAUGACAAGAUGCCAUUAUGACAUUUCAUAAAAGGUGGUUGCUACCUCAUUAUGUGCUUGUACACCCUUCUACCUAUUGCCAUUAAUGCUGAGAGUUCUAUUUAAAAUUAUUUUUUAAAAUAUUUUUUAUUUAAAAAUAUAUUAAAAUAAUAUUAUUUUUAUUUUUUAAAAAUUAUUUUUAUUUUUUAAAAAUUAUUUUUAAUAAAAAUAUAUUAAAAAAAUAUUAAAAAAAAUUCAAUUUUUUUAAAAAUAUUUUAAAAACAUCAAAACAAACAUGACUUUUAUGGAAUUUUUUACCAUAUUUAAUGGAAUAGAUAAUUUAGGAUGUAAUUUUUUUAAUUAUUGUAAUAAUUAAUUUUUAAAAAAUUAUUUUUAAAAUCAUUUCAUUAAAAUAAUCUAAAAAUAUAAAAAAACAACACAAAAAAACCACAAAACACGGUUUCAUCCACAAAAAUAAAUAGCUUCUUAAUUAAAUUUCUUAACCACGAAGUCUAAUAAUACAGGAUUGCUUCAAGUAUGAAACCCCUUGAUCAUGUUCGAUGGAUUGGACAAUUUAGGAUAGAUCUUGAUGUAAUUAAUUUCUUAAACCAUAUAGUUUAAUCAAAGAGAAAUUAUCGACGGUGGUCAUAAGUUCACACCUACAAAGUGGUGGAUCCUCAAAUAAUCUUGUGGUGUUUUUCGCAUGAUUUAUGUGUUUUACUUGUGCGGUGAAACGUAAUUUGUGUGAAUUGAUUCACAUAAUUAUAAUACUUUCGUCCAAUCAAAGACUUGUUUAUGUUUAAAAUGGUUACGCAUUCCACGUGAAGUUUAUAUAUUAUUAAUUUUAAAAUUUAUUAUAAAAUUAAUUAAAAUACAUCCAAGUUAGUUUAAAUAACUACAUUAAUAUUAAUAAUAAUAAUAAUAAUAAUAAUAAUAAUAAUAAAAGGACUUGUGUCAUGUUAUAUGUGGUGGAGAUCUAUACCAUCUAGCUUCUUGAACUUAAGAAAAAAUAUUGGUAAAUAAUGGCUUGGUGCUUGUGUUCAUAGCAAUAUAAUAAUUUAGUCCUUCUGGUUUCAAUAAUCAUAACCCAGUCCUUAAACCACGGUUUAUUCAUUAGAAAUUUUGCUAUUUUUUUUCAGAAAAAAACCACUACUCCUUGUGUUUAGAGACCAUUGAGUUUCACAUUUUCCUUUGAUUAGGGUAUAUUUCAGUUAAUAUAUAUAGUUAAAAGAGUACUUUGAAAAAAGAAAACUUUCAACGAACACUCAAGGGAUGGAGUGAGUUAUGAAUAAACAUAAAAACACAGGAUUGCGAUAUGAUGUAUACACAAGGUCGCUUCAUGUGUAAAGGUGACCAUUCAAAGCAUUUUACUUUUCAUGGAGGGCCAUCGUGGACUCCUUCUCCAAACGUUUUAGUAUUCUUCAUGUAUGGAUGAACAAGAAAGCACCAAGGCCAUUUCUCACCAUUAAUUUUAAAAUUAAAAUUAUUAAACCCCCACCACCUGAUGAUGAUUUAAUGAGUUAACUCGGUAACCUAUUAAUCCAGAAUUUAAAAAAGAUAACUCUAAUUAAUCUUUUAAAAAUAUAUAUUAUUUUGUUGAGAUUUGAACGGUUGAUGUUUGCUUGGAAUUGUAAGUAAUGGAUUGACGUAAUCUUCAUGUUUUUUAAGGAAGCUGCACCGAUGCCUUUUUUAUUUCCACCUUUGUAUUCCUUUUUUGGUGGAAAAAUUGCAUCAAAACAAGAAACCCAUGAUGUGUUAGGUAUAUAUAUAUAUAUAUAUAUAUAAAACGAACGAGUACUUGGCUAUGUGCUGCUAACCCUUCAAUUCAUUUAGGACGUCAUUGACAAUAAAUAAGUUUUACCAUCUCAACUAUAAUACAGAUGUCACAGUUUUACUGGCAGCUGCCUUCCACCCACCGUUUCUCCUUUAAUUUUGCCAUAAAUUCUUCAACCAUCUCAUAAAUGCGCUAUCUUGUUAGAGCAUGACAAUCCUUCUCCUUUACCUAAACUGCAGUGUUCAUGGAUUUGGCCCAAGAAACACACUUCAACAUCUGAUUAAUUCACGACAAGGGUGACGCCUACGGUUGCAAAAGAUAGCAUCUAACUCAAGAUUAAAAAUACUAUAAUUAUAAGAAUAUAUCUAAAGUAUUUAUUUUUUUAUUUUAAUAUUUAUUUUUCAAAAAUACUACAACUCUCUCUGUAUAUAGAAAAAAAAUAAAAACUAAAAAAGCUUGGUAAUACCGAGUAGAAGAAAAUAAACUAAGAAAAUUAUUCCCUUCCUAUUGAAAAAAAAAACAUAAUAAUAUAGAAUUAGAAAUUUAGAAUAGAAAAAAAAUAAAUUAAUUAAAAAAUAUUUUUUAAAAAUUGACAAGAACUCGUCAUUGGAUUCAAUCUUCAUUUAGAGAGUGUUUAGAAAUAGAGGUCAAUUUACGUUUAUAAAAAAAUCAUUUUUUUUGUUAAAAAUUUAUUUUUAUAUAUAUUUUUAAAUAUUUUUAAUGUAUUAAUCUAAAAAUUAAUUUUUUUAAAAAAUAAUAUUAUUUUAAUAUAUUUUAAAAUAAAAAAAUAUUUUAAAAAAUAAUCAUAACAAUACUUUCAAAUAUAUGCUGGAAUAUAAAGCUUGAAAAUGACUUAGCCAGCCUCAUCCAAAAUGGGUGUUUUGGCAAAUAUUUGUGCAACCAAGGGUAAAUGUCAAACUUGGAUGCUAUAUUAGGGCAAUCACUUUCCAUGGUUUUCUCACACCACACCCAUCUCUUACAAGGUAAGCUCCAGAAGACGUUAAAACAACAUCAUCAAGUUUUUGGGGAAAAUGUCUCUUGUCAAAGAAGACAUCAAAGCCAAAGCUGAGGUCUACUAUGGAGAUGAAAUGGGAAAGGAGAAAUCUCAGGAAUUGCUCAGAGAAGUAGGCUUGCCAAACGGUCUUUUGCCCUUGCACGAUAUUAUAGAGUGCGGGAUUGUGAGGGAGACAGGGUUUGUGUGGCUCAAGCAAAAGAAGAGCAUAACCCACAAGUUUGAGAAGAUUGGCAAGCUCGCUUCCUAUGGAACUGAAGUCACAGCUUAUGUUGAACAAAACAAGAUCAAGAAACUUACUGGUGUGAAGACCAAAGAGCUUUUGCUUUGGGUCACUCUGAGUGAUAUCUAUUUGGAUGAUCCACCAACCGGAAAGAUCACUUUCCAGACUCCUACUGGCCUCUACAGGACUUUCCCUGUGUCAGCUUUUGUGGUUGAAGAAAAGGGUAAAGCAGCAACCUCAGCCGCUGCAGCAAAGGAUGUCAAGGAAGAGAAGAAGGAUGAUGUCAAGGGAGAGAAUGGAGCCGUGGAGGUGAAGGAGGCCUAAGGUUCUUAGUCUUCUGUGAUAAAGAGGCCUUCAUCUGCUCUGUAUUACUUUCAAUUUCAAUGUAUUAUUACCUCUUGCUAGUGUUUACUGGUAAUAAAGUACAUUAGAGUUUCAUUUUUCAGUCAUGUUAUAGACAAGAUCACAGCAUAUAUAGACACUUGAGUUGUCUACAUGUCUGUUUUCUCUUAGCUUGUCAUGACAAGAAAGGGUGAAAUGGAUUAAAUCAUGCUUGAAAUGUGAUCAUGAAUGGACAUUGUUUGAUGUUUAUCUCAGAAUU